GCUGUGUACAUUCGCCUGAUUCUUUGUAAUAUUAUGUAAAAAAAAAAAUUGAGAUUAAAGAAAAAGUGAAAAACACAUAUGACCAAGCUGAGGCGCUGAAAAGAAAAAAGAAACAAGGCUUUUUAAGGCAGAAGACGGUGAUCUCCUCUCAGUUUCCAGUUUCCGCCAUCCACAGCCAAAUCUCAUGGAUCCCCAUCAACACCAACCCAUUGGACAAGCAGACGAAACCUCACCCCCUCCCUCCAACACCGCUACCACUUCAUGCCGCUGCUGCGGCGGCCCCACCACAUGCCCACCUCCACCGGCAUGGUCCGACAUCUCUCCGCCACCCCCCUACCGCCCCAUCCGCGCCCCCGCCAUCAACCUUCCUCCUUCCAACUCUCAACAAGCUAUCAUCCUAGCCCCCGUUCCUCAAGCCCAGAAGACCCCCGUUGUCUCUCCGCCCUAUCUUUUCCAAAUCCCCGUCAAGCGAAUCCAGACCAGACGACAUUCGCCAUUUCCAUGACUCCGAUUCCGGGAAGAACUUCUUAGGUUUCGUCGUUUCCCUUAGCGAAUCCAUUCGCUCCCACAAAAUUUCCGACCCUUGCCACCAAUCACCAAUCCUCAAUUCUAUUCUCUCCAUCCUUCAAUCUCUAAUCGACUGGGUCGACGAAAUACCUCCCGUUCAACAAUCUUCCCGUUACGGUAAUCUCUCUUUUAGGGUUUGGCAAAGUCGGUUGUUCGAUAAUAGCGAGCAACUGAUGCUCCAAUUCCUCCCCGAUGAUCUCCGGUCGGCUACCGUCGAACUCGUCCCUUACUUUGCCGAUAGUUUUGGGAAUUCGAGUCGAAUCGAUUAUGGAACCGGUCAUGAGACCAAUUUUGCUGCGUGGCUUUAUUGUUUGGCUAGAUUAGGGUUGCUCAAGGAAGAGGAUUACCAGGCUCUUGUUUCUAGGGUUUUUGUGAAGUACCUUGAAUUGAUGAGGAAAUUGCAAUUCGUCUAUUGCCUUGAACCUGCGGGAUCCCAUGGAGUUUGGGGUCUGGACGACUAUCAUUUUCUGCCAUUUAUAUUUGGGUCGUCGCAGCUGAUCGAUCACAAGUAUAUGAAACCCAAGUCAAUUCAUAAUCAGGAUAUUCUGGACAACUUCUCCAAGGAGUAUAUGUAUAUUUCUUGCAUUGCAUUUGUGAAGCAGGUGAAGAAAGGCCUAUUUGCAGGGCAUUCCCCAUUGUUAGAUGAUAUUAGUGGUGUAGCUAAUUGGAACAAGGUGAAUAGUGGGAUGCUCAAAAUGUAUAAAGCUGAGGUGUUGGAGAAGGUUCCAAUUAUGCAGCAUUUCCUAUUUGGGUGGCUCAUCAAAUGGUAUGAUCACUGUUAAUGAGUAAUUAGCCCUGUAUGUGAUUCAUGCAUUUUUAGUUCAUUAUAAGUCAUCCACACUUUGCAUCAUGUUUAAUUGGGAAUCUUAAAAUUAUUACGAGUUUUUAUGGUGUUUUAUGAGCAUAAUCGUUAUAUUUAUAUCGUCUAUAUCAGUAACCUAUAUGGAUAUUUGGUGCUAAACCUGAUAUUUUUGGUCCCUGGAUAUUCAUCUAUUAUUUCAAUGACAAUGUUGGUUGAGGAACAACUCUAGUGUUGAUACCUUGAUCCAUGGGUUUUGUCAGGCUGAGACUUUCAUUAGCUAUUUGAUCCUCACCACCACUGAUUGCUAUACUGAAAUUUUUUUACCUAUGAUUUCUGUUAUCAUUUUAUUUAAAGCAUAGAACCCUACUUGUUAGCUAUAUGAUGUAGAAGUGAUGCACUGAGUCAAUGUUCAUGAUGAAAUAGAACCAAAGAGAUUGGCAUUAUGUUGGGUUGGUCCAUUUUUUUGGAUUCAUUAAAUCUAUCAAAAAUAAAUAAAAUUUGGAUUCAUUAACCAAGUUACUACAUAUGUUCCUUUGAUAUUUAUUAUUUGAGUAAUGUGUGUACAAACUACAAUAAAUAUCAGCCUUUUCAUAAAAAUUUUGCUUGAGUUUUCCUUAUCUCUGCACUUUUAACAUGUGUUAAUCUUUCAACGGUCUGCUUUAGUCCUCAUUCUAAGCUUGUUAAUGUGCCUUUACUUCAAACAUCUUUUCCCACCUUCUGAGUCAUUUCUUUUAAGUCAUGUAUCUCAUCUUAUAGAAAUUCAAGUGUAAUCUAAUGUCUUGAGCCAUUUUAAUUAUUUUAGUUUGAUUUGAUUUAAAAAAAAACUUUAAUGAUCAAAACUUUCAAAUUAUAAUGCAUUUGGCUAGUGAAUAUUACUUAUAAGCCCAAUGUCUCUAGACAAAUAUUUCUGGGUUUUUAAUACAUCUCAUGAGUUCCAUUUGGUAUUCUAGCCCUUUUAGCUAAGUGGUUGCAUUUCUACAUGGGAGGUCUGAGAAUCUCAGAAAGCUAAAACUAAAACAAAGUGAUUUAGUUAGUUAGUGCUUAUAUUCUGACUACUGGUUGUGUAAUAAGCUAAAACUAAAACAAACUCUGAUUUUGUGCCUGACAGCUUGUGCAGACGCUGGUAUAGUGUUUCCUCCAUUUCCAUCAACAACAAAGUCACCAUACCAUACCGGGCUUAAGGGAGGAAACAACCAUGGAAAACUGCUCUGAAGCCCUAAGAGUUUCAAUAAACUUCUGAACAGCCCGUGAUGCAUGAAUUCUUAACCAAGUCUCCAGCUAACACUGCUUGGAGACUCUAAUACCCAAAGUUGACAGAGAUAAGGGCUAAGAUUGUUUUACAGACAGUGAUAUAACAUGCUCAAGGUGAAUGUAAGAUGAGAUAUUCCUGGAUUUAUUAGGAUUGCCAGAAAGUCGAGGAGACUGAACAUUGAAGUAUGAACUCUAUGUGGAGAUGGUGCAAUUCCAGGGGGUUGUGCCCAGAGAUUCAAUGUGUCUAGGCUUCUUUCCCGGUAUACGGAUCAGCAUGUCAUUGCAACAAGCACAGAUUCCAGAAGACCACUGAGAUGGACUAUCACUGGUGUGACGAUGAACAGAGAGGUCACUGUAAUGAGGAAUAAUCUCUAUAUCCUAAUCUGACUGUCCUAAAGGAAUAUAGGGGGUGGUACAUAACUGAUGAUGCAUCUGAUCGGUCAUUACUGGGCUGUGGCACAUGAUGCCAUUCUGAAGCAGGUGGCAUGCUCUUGUUAUCAUUCGACUGAGGAAAGACUGAUGGCACAGAUUGUCCUUUGGCAACCCUCAAUAGAAGCAUAAGUGCGUUUUCGAGGCUCUCCAACAAGUUCAUCAACAUGAGCAGGAGGGAGGUCUUUUAAAGUGUUUUGGUUGUUUUUCCCAUCAAUAGGAGUGGUUCUAUACAGGGGUGAGGGGAGCAAUGACCCAUCUAAAGGUACGUACCUAAAUGACUUUUUUCUAAGAGGAACCCAAAGCCCCCAUUGGUUGGACUAGUUGUCUUGGGUUGUAUUUAACUAUGAUACUCCUUUGGUUAUUUCCUUCUUUGAUAGACAAGGAUAGCACAAAAUUCGUGAUAAUCAAAUAUGAAAUUGUCUAAUGCGUGAUAAAGUUUAAUUCAAGACCUUGCAAAAUUCAAAUAUGCACUUUCCAUCCACAAGAUUUAGCAAACUGAUGGGGCCUCUACCUUCUCUGUACCCUCCAACCGUACUCUGGCGUUUUGUGCUAUGGCACUAUAGACCUUCCAGGCUUUUAGUGCUUCAGGGAAUCCCAUUAUUCAUCUUCUAACCAUAUUUAAGAAAAUAUUUUGUUUUUUGUUGUGCUUUUUUAAGUGGUAUUUGCUAUCAACUUAGUGAUACGAGUCUUUCUUAUCUUGAGAUGUUUCCUUUCAAGGCAAAAAACCUAAAACAAAAGUUUGAAGAGCAACCCUUUUACAUAUUUUUUGGACAGAACGAAGAGAAGGAAAACAAAGGUCUUUUGAUAACGUAGAGUAAAUGUAUCUUUCUUUAACAAAUUCUCUUAUUUGUAAUUCUUUCUCAAGAAAGAUUUUUUCAGGUGAUAUUUGUUUUUUUAACUUUUUACUGAAAAUAAUUUAUUUUUAAAAUUUAGGUUGUUUGUUUUUCUAUUUUUUCAUGACUUAUUAUAAAUUUUUUACUAAUUAGAAAAAACUAAAAUAUAUAACUUUUUUUGAAUAAAAAAAAAUAAUAUAUUGAGUUUUUUUACUUUUUAAUAUUUAAUAGAAAUAAAAUACUAUAAAAAUAAAUAACCUAAUAUUUAACAUUAUAAACAUUAUAGUUUUAUUUAGAAUUAAGUAAAAAAACAAACAUCACCUUAGUAUCUUUGCUAAGUGAGGAAAAUUGUUUUUUUAGUCCUCUCCCUAUACAAUGGUUUACCUCGGUGCAUUUUUAUUUUUUAUUUUUUUAUAAAAUUCUUUUCAUUUGCCUACAUUAAUUUGGAUCUACUCAACUAUAUUUACAUGUCCUUCUGAUGUUUUUCUAAAUGCUUUUGCAGGAAGUGUAUAUAUCACCAAAAGUUAGGGAGAGAAAACGACGAACUGCGGUGGUGCGACGGGUUAAAUGAGAUUGCAUUUAGGCUGGCGUUCUGCAGCUUAACCCAACUGAAACUUGAUCGCAUAGUGACUAUCAUCAUUAUUGAUCACCGAAAACUUCGGUAUGUAUAGGCCUAUUGACACUGACGCUGAUACAAUAGUCAUAAAUAUUAUUUAUUGUUAUAUGUCUUCGCACACAGAGGACAUAUUUUCUGAUCAACAAGUGGCAAUGGCAUCUAGUUAACAUAAUUUUUGUAACAUAUAUCACAAAUGUGAUUCAUCACUCUUCCCCUUUGGAGAAGUAGUUGUGUGAUAGUGCAGCACCCCAUAAAGAGAACGCAAUGCUAGAGAAAAAAUUGGUACCUGUUUUUAUGAGACAAUGGGGCGGCGAACAUAUAUAAAAAAGAUAUGAACCCAUAGAGAUAUUGAAAAAAAUAAAAACGAUAAAGAUAACGUGGUAUAAUUAGUGUCCAUAUAUUUGGCACAUUUUUAAUGAUUUUAUACUUUUCGAGAUCGCCACAUAAAUAAAAAUAUCUUUUAGUCAAAUGAUCAUUUUUACAUUUUCAUGAUAUUGUUAUUAUUUUAUGAUAUGUCUUCUAAAAGCAUUUUUAAUGAGAAUUUUAAAUAUUUUUACAACAUAUUUAACAUUCUUAAUCUAUCAUUAUUAUUCUAUAAAAAUAUGAAAUUUUAUUUCAUAAUUGAAGUAAGAAAACAAAAACAUGUGUCUUAAGGAAAGUAAAAGAAAAAAAUAAGUAAAAGUAAAAAGUAAAUUUAAAAUUAAUAAACUAUUUCUAUAUAUUUAUUUAUUUAUAAUUAAAUCAUUUAAAUAUAUAUAAAGUUGUCAAAUUAAUUUAAAUUAUGUGUAAUCUUAUUUCCAAAAUUCUACCAUAAACCAAACCCCUGAACAUCUUUUUUUUUCCUUUAUUUAAUAUUAUUGUCUGAAACAAUAUUAAAGAAACAAACCACAACAUGAACCAUAGUAAGAAAUAUGGAAACAAGGCAGGAAAGGUGCAAAAAACUAGAUUGGAAAGUUGAGAUCUAGAGAAGCACUUGUUCAAAUAUUUUCUCCAAAUUCAAGUAAGAUGAUCCAUCUGGACCAGUGGUAGCCACUUCUGCCCUAUGCUUCCACUCCAUGGUUUUCUUUUUCAUUACUUUGCCUUUCUCUCCCACCAUCAACUCUCUCACAAGCUUUGCAACUUCAUCCCUCUUAACAUCACUGUCUAUCUCCAUUCCUACGCCCCACUCAGUGCAGCAGUAACGACAGUUGGUUUGCUGCUCUGCAAAAAAUGGCCAACAAAUCAUAGGCACUCCAGCGCAUAAACCCUCAAUUGUGGAAUUCCAGCCGUUAUGAGUUAAGAAGCCGCCAAUGGCCUGGUGCGUGAGAACUUGCUCUUGAGGACACCAACCUGCUAGUAAACCCCUGUCUUCUGUUUCUGCCACGAAUUCUGGUGGCAGAAUGGCCGACUCACCAGACACGAGAUCUGGCCUAAGAAUCCACAAGAAGCUUUGAUUGCUAUUUGCAAGUCCCCAAGCAAACUCAAUCAGUUGCUGGGGAGUCAUGACUGUGAUGCUUCCAUAAUUAACGUAAACAACAGAGUUGGGUUCUUUGGAAUCCAGCCAUUUGAGACACUCAGGCUCUUCCUUCCACAGAUUUGAUCCAAUCAACUUUAGUUCGCUAUCGUGAAUCUGAUCCGGAAGUAGCUGAAGAGGACCAAUGGUGUAGAUUGGGGGAUACAUGGGAGCAAUUGCAUCCAAAACCUCCUGCUCUAAAGCGUCAAACGUAUUGAAAAUGAUGGCAGAAGCCUUGCGAGCCCUUUCAAGCUCACCCAUGGCAAAGUCCAGCAUGAUAUCAUCUGGAUCGGUAGUCCGAAUGAAGCUCGGGAGAUCCUUCAAACGGAUACCUUUCAUGCCCGGUAUCCAAUCAACAACAGUAUCCAAAUACCCAUUUGUUAGAUAACUCUCAUCUGCAUAUCACAGAAGAAGGAAAAAUGAAAAAUCAGAGUCGGUAGGAGACUGGGAUUUGAAAAACUUGUAUUCAAAGCCGAACUUGGAAUAAUACCUUUGAGUGGUGUAAAACCCUUGUCGAUGAGACUGCGAUACUGCACAUAGGCCAUGAAGCCACAAGCACUAGCUGUCCAUAAAAGAAGGUCGGGAAUGCCGAGUUCUUGAGCCGCGUCUAAAGUGAAGCUCAUGACAGCGUCAGAAAAUAUGCAAGUGACGGGAGGACCUCUGUCGUUGAGUUUGGCGAGAAGGCGUCUAAAGGGAGCCAAACAGUUUUUUUUGGUGGAUGCACAGAGGGAAGGGAUGUCUUGGGUUGCGUCGACAUUGGACGGUGGGAGACCAUCGGGAAUGGUUUCGAACUGAAAGGUGGGGAGACCAUUGAGGGAGUUGGGGCCCUGGGCCUUGAGUAAGCGUGUGUGGUUGAACUCUGUGUUGACAAAGGUGAUACGAAAGCCUCUGAAAUGGAGGAGCUUUGCUACUUUUAGCAUAGGAUUGAUGUGCCCCUGAGCAGGGUAUGGAAUGCAAACUGCAUGAGGCUUCUCCAUGGAACCCAUUUUUGCUUUGGGAUGCCCUCCCGAUACAUCUGCCUCCAAUUUUAUAGAGUUUUUGAAUAUGGCAUCUAAGCUGUUUUUUUUUUUUUUUUUUCAAAAAAAAAAAAUCAUUGAUAAUACUGAUUUAAUCUAUGAAAUAAAACCGUCUCUGUCUAUAUUGGUUUUUAUUUGAAGUUGAAUAAAGAACCUCCGUCAUCGGUUUUGGUUCAAGUGUUUUUUAAAAAUCAACUUAAAAUCGCAUGUGCCAAAUCGAUUUAACUUUUUUCGAAAAGUCAAUUUCCGAGGCCACAGAAAGGCGGAAAGCAAGGGAGGUUGGUGGAACACCCUUUCCCUUUUUAAAACGGUACCGAACUCACUAAUUUAAUUGCACGAUCGAAGCUGGAAAUAUUUUGUUAUAAUUAAUCAAUCCUGUGCUGCAGCAACGUCUUCCACCUACACUUUUUAUCUUCAAAUCACAGUCGACUGGAAGGAUUAAGUCAUGCGGGAUCCCUUGUUAUUCAUGUAAAAGAAAAAGCCCGCGUUGGAGCCAGGGACUUCCUGUUUGUUUUUCCUGUCACGAUUGAGUGACCGCUAUCCAUGAAAAGUACGAGAAAGAACGUGACAAACUAGGAUCUUGUCAUGAGCCUCUAUCAUCUUCCGUUGAGAAUAAUGAAUUUACCACCUAUAUAUGUUAAAGCUGAUGCUCUGUUUAAAAAUUUUGGACGGCCGCUGCCCUUCCUAGCAUCAAUAUAUUGCACUGCCACGAAUCCAAAGCAAAUCUUUCUCGUUUGCAUCAGACUUUGUUUAAAAAAUGGAACUCAUAGAACUCCGCAGCUGCCCAACUAAUUAAAUCAGAGGACUAAGUUAUCGUCCAUGAAUUUAUUACUGAUAUGAACGUUAUAUAAUAUAAAGAUAAGAGAAGUGAGAGGGUAAGUUGACCAUGCACUCUCAUCUAGAUAUUAUAAUCUUCAACCAGCUCAUCCCUAAUAGGCCUCCCCUGAUAUUGGCUUCUGACUUCUGUGACUGUCUUGCAUAAUGCAUGAUGUCAAGCGAAGAAAGUGUUGGUAAUUUUUUUACUGGAAUUCAAAGAAUUGGAGAUUCGAACAAAAGAAAUGAAUGAUGAAUGAAAACCAUGUUCACGGUAUAGGAACUGCAGCCAAGUAUUGACUAGCAGGUGGAAUGAUACCAUCAGCGCCGAUUGCCUUGAAUAGUUAGUAUGCAUCCUUACUCCUUACCCAUCAUUAUCCAUCAAUUAUCUAGUAUUUAUUAUGAGUGACCAUAUAUUCGCCCACUUGUGCAGGCCCUGCAGAAGAAUAAAUUGAUGAUAUGAACUACUUUUUUAAAAAUAUCUUCCGAGUCUGGCUUGACAUCGAAAUUGAAACAGAGUAAUAAAUUGUACAAUGCCCAAUUCUCUUGGUCUGUGUGACAGAACGGACAUCUUGCUGAUCACUCCAAAGAAAAGAAUACGCAUUGCACCAUAAAAUAAUACAGUCAAGUAUUAUUGCGUCCCUCUUACGUACAUUAGAUUGAUACACUUUUGGAUAGGUUUCUGAAUUGAGAUACUUUGGAUAGUUUGGGCGGCUGGCUGACUCUCUCGUGCUUGGCCAAAUCCUUAAAACCACCUAAUAAAAUACAAACUAAAUUAAUUCAUGAUAAAAAGAAAAAUAAUAAGAGAAAUAGAAAUAGAAGGAAGAGACAUAUUUUCUUACCUAUGUCUUUAGAUAUGAUAAUUAAUUCACUAAUCUUCAAAAUCUAAAAUUGGCUAAAACUCCAACAACUUUGUAUAAAGUCAUUUUUAUACCCUUUGACUAAAGGACUUAUAUAUUCAUAAUAUCCCGAACUUUACAAAAUCAAUUCAUAAUCCUUGUGGGACAAGGAAUCGUAAAAUAUCAUAUCUUAAUUGAGUUCAAAAUUAACAAGCCAAUGUUAUUAUAUUGAUAUGUUUUGUAGCAUUUUCUAGAUGGUUAACGAGGGAUAUGAAUUUAUUUUAGGGGUUCAAAAAUAAAACAAAAUGGGCAUGUAACAUAAUGGGAACUAUGGAUUUGAUGCAAAUGCCUUUCGAAAUAGAUCAAAUCAUCAUUCUUGCUGUAUAAGGAAAUUUAGAGAAAAAAAUAUGGGUUAAACUUCUUUUAACUUGUCUUAUUUCUCAAUUAAUUAUCACUUAUCAUUAACUACGGAUAAACAUGAAAGGAAUAAAUACCCAUGUUGUUAAAUGAAGAUUUAAUCUCUAAAUUUAGAUAGCAUAUAUUUUUAAAUUUUGAAAAAAAAAAUGUCCCAAAAAACAUGAGGGCCAAGUCUAAUUAGACUCAAAGAUGUUGACAACUUAGAAUAAUAUUUCGAAUAAGAAUUUAAUGCAUCAAUUUGCUUUAUUAUUUAUUUGUCAACAUGUAUGCAGUAAGUUAUUAUUAUGACUUAAUUAUUUUCAAUCAAAUGUUCUACUAUAUGAUUGGAUUUAAUAUUUACAUUUGAGUGGGUGUAAUCCCCAGGAUUCGAACUUGGGUCCAAGCCUUAAAGUUUAGGACGUUGCCCUCCUAGUACCAUCUGGGCUACUAGCUCAGAUGGUACCAAGAGGGCAACGUCCUAAGCCUUAAGGCUUGGACUCAAGUUCGAAUCCUAGGGAGACCACUCUGUGAUGCCCCUGACUGGCACAUAGACUUUUUUUGCUCUGGUGCCCAACCAUACCAUCGAACUGUGCCAGACGAGGGCAUCACAGGAAUGGGCCGGACAGCGUAGAGUCUUAUAGGGCCAUUUGUUUAUUUGGCCCUUGGGUGACGUCUCCAGGAUUCGAACUCGGGGCCUUAACCCAGACAGUUGCCCUCCUGGUACCAUCUAGGCUACUAAUGUUGAGGUCUUGCGUCAUGAUCCACAUAACUACCAAAUGGACGCACACUUUCAACCAAGAUAGAGUUCUGGUUCAGUUUUCCCUGCAAAAGAUGUCCGGACAGGGUGUCCAGACACACCCUCCAAUGGUUUUUUCAGUCAUGGUUAGAGAGAUUAAGCAGUUGGCCUUUUACUAGGUAUAGCAAGCUUACCUUCCUCCUUAUGUGAAGGUCCUUAUAUAUAGUAUCAGAAGUUCUGCUUCCCUCUUUAAUGGUAGGGAGACUUUUUGACUCGUCAUGAUGCCUCUAGGUGGUGGCAGGGCUAUCAUCACCCUACAGGUGGCUGUCAGAGAUCGUGGGAAGUGACUUGCCAUCAUUCAUGUCCUUUCGCUCUACAGGUGGCGGAACGUGGGUUGUGGCAGGCUGUCGGAAUGAUGUAGUAAGACUUACUUACUUUAGUCAACGAUCCGGACAACAUAUCCGGAUAGGAUAUGCUAUCGUCCGGAUGUGAUGUUUGCGAGUGCCGUGUGCUUCUCCCUGAGGAAGUCCGGAUGGAGUCACUCCGGACAGCGAGGCGCCCACGUAUCAUAAGGGGGAGGGGUCCCUACAAUGAUGAGCAGUGCAUAAAUACAUUUCCACUUUAUUCACCUUACUAAUACUACAUUUAAAUAUGGUGCACAAAAGUUCAUCAUAAAACAAGGAAAGGAACGUGCGGAUGCUAAGUUUUAACUUGUUGGAAUGCUUGGGAUUUGGAGAAACACUUGAUUUAUCAUUUUGUCCAAGUUGGAGUAAGAUGAGCCAUUUGAAUCAAUGGUGGCCUUUUGUGCCAUCUUCUUCCACUCCAUGGCCUGCUUUUUCAUCUCUUUGCCUUUGUCUCCCUCGAUCAAUUCUCUCACAAGCCUCUCAACUUCAUCUCUCUUAACGUCACUGUCGAUCUCCGUGCCUAUGCCCCAUUCUGUGCAACAGUAGCGGCAGUUGGUUUGCUGCUCUGCGAAAAAUGGCCAGCAAAUCAUGGGCACUCCUGCACUCACACUUUCCAUAGUGGAAUUCCACCCGUUGUGAGUUAAGAACCCACCAACGGCAGGGUUGCUGAGAACUUCCUCCUGAGGACACCAACUUGCUAGCAGACCCCUGUUUUUGGUCUCUGCCAAGAAUUGUGGCAGAAGAAUGGCCGACUCACCAGACACAAUAUCCGGCCUUAUUAUCCAUAAGAAUGUUUGAUUGCUAUUUGCCAGUCCCCAAGCAAACUCAUUGAGUUGAUCUGUUGUCAGGCUUGUCACGCUUCCAAAAUUCACGUAAACAACAGAGUUGUGUUUUUUGGAGUUGAGCCAUUCGAAAAAACCCCAUUCUUCUUUCCACAGAUUUGAUCCAAUCAACUGCAAAUCAUUAUCUUGGACCUGAUUCACGAGUAGACUUAAAGGACCAAUGGUGUAAAUUGGAGGAAACAUUGGUGAAAGUGCAUCCAAAACAUCCUUCUCGCAUCAAACGUAUUGAAAAUGAGGGCAGAAGCUUUGUGGGCUCUUUCAGCCUCAUGCAAUGGAAAGUCCAGCAUAAUUUCAUUUGGGUCUGUAGUUCGAAUGAAGCUCGGGAUGUCCUUCAGACGAAUACCUCUCAUACCAGGUAUCCAAUCAAUAACGGUGUCCAGAUACCCAUUUGUUAAGUAACUGGGGUCUUCAUGUCACAGAAAAAACAGAUUCAAAAAAAAAAAAAAAAAAAAAAAAUACAAGAAUCGGUACUGCUAACUCGGAUUUGAAAAUGUAUAUGCAAAUUGGGGUUUAGGUUGAUACCUUUAAGGGGUAUAAAACCCUUGUCGAUGAGAUUGCGAUACUGCAAGUAGCCCAUGAAGCCACAAGUACUAGUUGUCCAGAAAAGAACGUCAGGAAUGGCCAGUUCUUGGGCAGCAUCAAGAGUGAAGCUCAUGGCACCAUCAGAGACUAUGCAAGUGACAGGAGGCCCGUCGUGGUUAAGUUGGGAAAGAAGGUCUCGAAAAGGAUCUAAGCAGUUUUUUCUGGUGGAGGCGCAGAGGUAGCGGAUAUCUUGGGUGGCGUCUUCAUCGGACGGAGGGAGACCAUCGGAAAUGGUUUUGAAUUGGAAGGAAGGCAGAUCAUCAAGGGAGUUGGGGCCACGGGACUUGACCAGGCGCUUAUGGUUAAACUCCGUGUUGACGAAAGUAAUAUGUAAGCCUUUGAAACAGAGGAGCUUUGCUAAUUUUAGCAUAGGGUUUAUGUGGCCUUGAGCUGGGUAUGGUAUGCAAACUGCAUGAGGCUUCUCCAUGGAGACAACUCAGCUCUUUAUCUUUGCUCUCUCUUCCAGUCUUGUAUAUCAUCGUGCCGACCCAGCUCCGGUCUUAUAGGGCGGGAGAGAGAGGGUCUCUACACAAUAUGUUUAACUCUCGAAAAAUAUUAUUAAGGAAAAAAAAUUAUUUAAAAAAAUAUUUUUUUUAUAUUUAACUUUACUAUAAAAAAUUUCAAAAAAAAAAAAUCAAAUACAAUUAAAAUUAAUUAAACUUCAUUUAUAUUAAAUUUAUUUAACUUAUUAAUAAAAAUAAUUAAAAAAUAAUUUAUUAAUCUUAAAUUUAUUUUUUACUUUUUAUUAUUUUUUUCUCUUUCAAAUUUUCAGAACCAAACACAGCGUUAAAGAACACGCAUGCAGUCAUUUUUCACAUGCGAGGAUGUUGAUGGGUGUUGUCGACCACCUAACUCUCACAGUUUAAAUAAUAUAUAUAUAUAUUUUAAAAUUUUAACUACUUUUUUUUUUUAUGUAAAAGAACCCUACUUUUACUGUACCAGAGGUGAUGUCUUUUUGUUGGAAUUAGUAUCAAAUGGAUGCUUCAUUGUACCUAAGUUAAAGCAUGCUUAAAUUUUAAUUCUUGUAUAUCUUGUUUUCUGCAGGAUAUUAGAGUAAAACAGGUUUCACGCAUUAUUGGACGAUCACGCCAUUUCUCUUCCAGAGUUGGAAAGUCCAACGGAGAGCAGAACUCGUUUUCAAUGACUCAAUUAUUUUCCGUUGAUUCCGUUGAUUAGACGGGAUAGCAUCAUGGUAGGCCAGACGGGAUUUAGUCGGACUGAAAACUCAAUAAUUUAGACGUACACAACUUUAGAAAAGGAAUUGGGUUAUUGAGGACGAGGUUCGGAAAGGAAGUGGAAUUAGGACAAAAAUAGAAGACGAGUGAAAGACUCGGUUGAGGAACUGAGAACCAUGUUGAUGAGUAAUGCUGCGCGCAAGGCAAAGAACAAAAAGUAUGAUACAAGCACCCCGAAUCCUUGCGGUUUCUCCGUGUACCCGUCUUUUGUUUCCAAGGAAAGUGACGUUGGAGUAGUGAUUAUCCUGAGGCACAUUGCGACUCCCGUAAAGAUAACAAACUGCACCCUUUCUUGCUCUUGGUAUACCAUUUCUGAUUUCCAUGAUUAGCAAAAUCAGAAAAAUUUCUCCUGUUAUAGAAUAGAUAGCUAAAUUAGAAAAGUCAAUCUGUACAUAGCGUGAUGAGGUCCCUCAAUUUCUCCCAUCUCUUUUUACUCACUCUCAAAGCAGUAGGAAAAAGUAAACUGAUCCCCAUGCUGUCGUCGGCCUUACCCAGGAUAAAAAACUGUUGAUGUGGAAUCGUGUACUGCAAAUAAAUGAAGCACAUGUUCCAUGUGGUUUCAGAUGCGUUUUGCAUGCGUAUGGACACGACAAAUUGGCUUUCAUGCAAGUAGGAUCAAUUAUAACUCAAUCUUUAAUGAAAUAUUCUUAAUAGUUUUUUUUACCAAAAAAUUAUAUACUAACUAAAAGUUUGAAGUACUUUUUAUAUGAAGAACACAGCAUUACAAAAUAUCUUCAAUAUUCAGGUACAGCAUGAGUAUUUUUUUAUUUCGUAAACAAUACGUCAGACUAUUGAAAACAACAAAUGAAGCAUCCAGAGCAAAAUAAUAGACGAGUCAGAAUUCGCUGAGUUGGGACAUUCGAGAAAGGAGUGUCUAGGGUCUAGAGAAGAGCUUGAGUGAUCAUUUUGUCCAAGUUCGAGAAAGACGACCCCUUGGGACCUCUAGUGGCCUCUUCUGCUAGAGUCUUCCACUCCAAGGCCUUCUUCUUCAACUCUUUGCCUUUCUCUCCCUCCAUCAACUCCUUCACAAGCCUUUCAAUUUCAUCUCUCUUAACAUCGCUGUCUAUCUCCAUGCCUAUGCCCCACUCAGUGCAACAGUAGCGGCAGUUGGUUUGCUGCUCUGCAAAAAAGGGCCAACAAAUCAUAGGCACUCCAGCGCUCACACUUUCAAUUGUGGAAUUCCAUCCGUUGUGAGUUAAGAAGCCGCCAACAGCCGGGUGACUGAGAACUUGCUCUUGAGGACACCAACCUGCUAACAGACCCCUCUCUUUCGUCUCUGCCACGAAUUCUGGUGGAAGAAUGGCCGCGUCACCGGACACAAGAUCUGGCCUAAUUAUCCAUAAGAACGUCUGAUUGCUAUUCACAAGUCCCCAAGCAAACUCAUUGAGUUGCUGCGAUGUCAUCACUGUGAUGCUCCCGAAAUUCACGUAAACAACAGAGUUGGGCUCUUUGGAGUCCAGCCACUCCAGACAUUCCGGCUCUUCUUUCCACAGAUUCGAUUCCAUCAACUUCAAAUCGUUAUCUUGGAUCUGACUCAUGAGUUGGUGCAGGGGACCGAUGGUGUAGAUUGGGGGAAACAUCUGAGAAAGUGCAUCCAAAACUUCAUGCUCUAGAGCAUCAAAUGUAUUGAAAAUGAGGGCAGAAGCCUUGCGAGCUCUUUCAGCCUCCCGCAAUGGAAAUUCCAGCAUAAUUUCAUUUGGGUCCGUAGUUCGAAUGAAGCUUGGGAUAUCCCUCAAACGGAUACCUUUCAUACCCGGUAUCCAAUCAAUAACGGUAUCCAGAUACCCAUUUGUUAGGUAACUCUCAUCUGCAUUUCAUAGAAAGGAGGGGAAAAAAAUAUGAGAAUCCGUAUUGAGCUUAGCUUUGAAGUAAUUAAAUGCAAAGUUGGUCAGUAUUUGAUUCAUUUGAAUGAUACCUUUGAGUGGAGCCAAACCCUUAUCGAUAAGAUUGCGAUAUUGCACGUAGCCCAUGAAGCCGCAAGCACUAGUUGUCCAGAAAAGAACUUCAGGAACGCCAAGCUCUUGAGCAGCAUCAAGAGUGAAGCUCAUGGCGCCAUCAGAAACUAUGCAAGUGACUGGAGGGCCAUCGUGGUUGAGGUUGGAAAGAAGGUCUCUAAAGGGAGGCAGGCAGUGUUUUCUGGUGGAGACACAGAGGGCGGGAAUGUCUUGGGUGGCAUCAACAUUGGAGGGAAGGAGACCAUCGGGAAUGGUCUUGAAUUGGAAGGAGGGGAUGCCCUUGAGGGAGUCUGGACCCCGAGAUUUGAGCAGGCGGUUAUGGUUGUACUCUGUGUUGACAAAGGUAAUGUGGAACCCUCUGAAAUGAAGGAACUUAGCUAGUUUUAGCAUAGGGUUUAUGUGGCCUUGUGCUGGGUACGGUAUGCAAACUGCAUGUGGCUUCUCAGCUGAGGCUAAGGAACCCAUUCUCUCUCUCUCUAUCUCUCACUUUCACUCUGUCCUCAAUUGGUAUAUGCCCAUGACAUUGGAAGUAGCUUGGGUUUUAUAGCCCCAGGAGAGAGGGUCAAACAAGUUACUUAUAUUUAUAUAUAUAUUAAAGACAGAAGUCAGAAGUCAAAUAAAUGCUGCAAUAUUAAUAUAUGUACAGCUGUAUCAGAGAGUAACUAAAGGUCAAACUUGGCUCUCUCCUUUAUCUAGGUUAACCCACCUGUCCUCCAUACUUCACGGCAGGUGCCUAAUGCUUUUCAUAGGAGAUGUACAACAGAUUCAAUAUUUACACAAUUAUCAACUUUUAAUUACCUACCCCUUUAAUAUAUUACUCUUAAGCAAUAUAAACGAUAUACAAAUACCUAUUUUUGUAAUGCAGUAGGAUCUUGACAAUCAAUUAUUUGGUCCUGAUCCUGGAACCAUGUAUCAACAGCCGGUCACCCUUUAAAAAUCAUGAAUUAGACAACCCAUGCUUUUUUCGGACAAAAAACAACCGACAAGGGAUUUCCACAACUUUUUCUAAUGGAUGAACAUACCUUUUCUGUAUCUCUUUAUGUACAUAAACCAAUAAUUUGGGCAGUCCAAAAGCUUUGCGGAUUCUAUGUGGGGCUAAAUGGUAUCAUUCAUCUUCUGUGUUGGCCCGCAGUCGACAUGGCACAAGAACUUCACAAUUUGUACUGGUAUGGAGUUUAUUUUCUUAUUAAGAAUGUUUGUCCAAACCGAUAUGAUAUAUGGUUUGUAUUUGUGAAAGAAAUAUCUUCAAAUUCUGAAAAGGCAUAAACCUAACCCCGCCGCAAGCUAAAAGUUGACCAAAGAAAGUCGAUAAGCUUUUAAAACUCGUUCCAAGUUGUCGGAUGUCCACACCUAUAUAUUAUUAUUUAUAGGUGUGCGAAUGGAUGAGAAAUCUAUUAUAUAUGAUGUUAAUGGUUAAGUCGGACCCAUACAAACAAAAGAUGAAGUCGGUAUAUAUAAUGGAAACAAAGAGGUGGAAACAAAGAGGUGCUAAUCGCUAUGAAUUGAAGACAGAAUGCAUCCACCCCAUACAAAAAUGUCGACCAUAAGAUGAAAUAAAAUAUUUAGAGAAGAUAAAUGUGAGGGCGGUGACAAGAUUGAGGAGCUUAAAACAAUGAUUAAAAUAUAGGGAUAUUUCAACGAUGUGUCUGUGUCGAUAUGAGCUAUUUACAUGCUGUCCGGCGAGUUGAAGCUUCAACCAUCCACAUUACUGUUGAGGCAAGUUUUCCCCUUGUUAAUAAUCUUACACUAUAUAUAUAUAUAUAUUAAAAGUUUUCAUAUACACUAAAUAUUUAAACAAUUAAUUAAUUAUAUUUAUUUUAUAAUUAAAUACAAAAUUUUCAUUUAAUUGAGUAAUAAAAAGUUUUUAAUAUCAUUAAUAUAUUAAUUAAAUAUUAAAAAAUUAUACAUUUAUCAUCAUUUAUUUUAUAUCAUUUAAUACAAUUAAAUUAAAUAUAUUAUAAUUUUAAUAUUAAAUAUAUUUUAAAAUUAAAUAUAUUAUAAUCAAAUAUCAUAAUAUUAUUAUCGAAUAAUAUUUGAUGUAAUUUAAUAAUUAAUAUACACUUUUAUACAUAUGUAUUAAUUUAUUCAAUAAAACAAAUUUAAAAUAUCUAUUACAUUUCUAAUUUAAUUUUUAAAAACUUUAUUUUAUAUUUUUAAAAGUUUUGAUCAAUUUUAAGUCGAUCAAUUUUUUGUAUCAAAAUAUCCAUCAAUAUAUUUUCGAUAUAUCCGUAAAAUCGAAUUAUCGAUAUAUUAGUGAUUACCGAUAAUUUUAUCAUUGGCUUAAAAGAGAAGUGAUGCUAUGGGACCAAAAAAAAAAAAUCUGAUCCUGUGAGAGAUUCCUUGGGGGGUCUGAAUGUUUUUGCUGGCUUCCUUUGCCAUUCUUUCACGUACCUUAUGUUCGCAUUCCUGGAAAGACAACUCCCAUUUUCAUUCUUUCCUUUCAUUCAAUCAUUACGAAGACCACAAACUUCAGUAUUGUACGGCUUUAUCUGGGUCUAAAUUUUCUGGUCAUUUUCUUGAUCCUUCCGUGAACCAUUGGAACGCCAUGGAGCUUAACUUCUUGUUUAUAUAUAUAUAUAUAUAUAUGAACAUCAAAUGCAGGUAAGUUAGGACAUUGUAGGGACCCCUCCCUCCGAGACACGUGGCACGCAUCUUACAGUGACACGUGGCACGCAUUGUCAUCCAGGUCAUUUUCAUCCGGACCUUCUCAUAAAGCACAAUGGCACGCUUUUCCGGACUACCUCAAGGAAGAUCAAACGACACUUAUAAGCAUAUCAUCCGGACGAUUUACACAAUGCAUCCGGAUGAUCAACAUAGGCCGUCCGGAUACAAUGGUCCGGACCACUAACUAAAGUAUAGCGAGUCUUACACGCUAUCACGACAACCAGCCAUGGCCCACGUCCCAUCACCUGCAGAGUGAAAGGACGGGUUGAGGUGACAACAAGUCACUUCCCACGAUCAUUCUACAUGAUCACUUCCCACGAUCAUUCUACAUGAUCACUUCCCACGAUCUCUAAGCAGCAGCAUCACCUACCACGGUUUCUGACAGCCGCCAGUAGGGUGGCGAUGACCAUGCUGCCUCCGAAUGUCAUCAUGACAAACAUAAAAUAUCUCCUCGCCAUUAAUGAGAGGAACAAUACUCCUAGCACUAUAUAUGAACCUUCGCACGAAGAAGAAGGUAAUCUCCAGAUACCGAGUAAAAGGCCAACUGAUUUAUAUCUCCCUCUCUAGCCAUGGCUAACAAAACCAUUAGAGAGUGCGUCCGGACACUCUGUCCGGAUGCCUUUUUGCAGGUAUAACGACUGAAUCAAGAACCUUUGUGUGUUGAGAUCGCGUCUCCAUCCAUUUGGCAACUACGUGGAAGCCCAGGAGUGCGAGGUAUUAACAUUGGCGCCGUCUGUGGGAACAUUUUUACUUUGAUUCAGUCACCAAAAAAGAUGGCUACACCUUCCCGAAGCCGAUCAUCUGGUAAAGGAGUGGAUGGAUGAUAAUUUUGAAUGACGUCAAACCAUCGAAAGAAGACAGUUGGCAAGCGAACGACAACUAAAAGCUCUCCUCCAAGAGACAGAAAGAUUGAGAGAAGAAAACACUGUAUUACGUAUCCAGGUUUCAACAUCAGGGCCUCCUCGACGUCGGCAUUCAAGGGGCCAAGUAGCAAACUCGAGGCCUCAGUAAGAGCCGGAAUCAAUAUAUCCUGGGACAACAGGGGCUAUCCCAGGGGCAUGCAACGUAAGGCCUCACGAGCCACGCACGCCUAUGCCUCGAGCUCCCCGUGAUGAAAGCUCAGACUCUACUCACUUUUCAGCAAAAAGACAACGUGAUAAAAAAUCACAGUUGUCAAAUUCGAUGCGCGCAAGACUAGGCCCGCAAGAGCCUAGAAGAUCAAGGCCACCAAUGGCCACAACCUGGGCACCACGCCCUGACCCCAUGGCCACCCCCAUGGUGCAAAACGUUCACCCGCAUCGUGACCCCGUAGUCACCCUCGUGAUGCGGAACGUUCAUUCGCACCCAGCGGAACGACCAGCUGGGAGAAACAUCCCAAACGAGCCGAUCAUUGGCUCCAUCAGCAAAAGGCUGGAUGACAUGCUCUCCACGCCUUUUUGCUCUCAUAUCAUUAAUUACGAGCCCCCAAGGGGAUUCCUCGUACCAAAGUUUUCCACAUACGAUGGAACCAACGAUCCCUUCGAUCACAUCAUGCAUUAUCGACAGCUUAUGACGCUCGAUAUUGGCAACGAUGCACUGCUAUGCAAAGUAUUUCCCGCCAGCUUACAAGGACAGGCCCUCUCAUGGUUUCAUCGCCUACCUCCCAACUCUGUUGGCGAUUUCAGGGACCUGUCCGAAGCUUUCGUGGGACAAUACUUGUGCUCCGCACGACACAAGCAAAAUAUCAGCACCCUGCAGAACAUAAAAAUGCAAGAUAACGAAUCCUUGAGGGAAUUCGUGAAGCGAUUUGGCCAGGUCGUGCUUCAAGUAGAGGCUUGUAGUAUGGAUGCUGUCCUACAGAUCUUCAAGCGAAGCAUCUGUCCAGGCACUCCAUUUUUCGAAUCACUGGCUAAAAAGCCUCCUACAACGAUGGAUGACUUAUUCAGACGAGCCAACAAAUAUUCAAUGCUCGAAGAUGACGUACGUGCAGCCACCCAGCAAGUUUUGGUUGCCGGACGGCCAUCUAGAAGUGAUGCGGAGAGAAAUACUAAGCCUUCGGAUCGACCAAAGCCGUCUGACCGAAGGCAGGAAGGGCCAAGUCGCUCGGAAAGGCCGCCUCUCACACCUCUUUCCAUAUCAUAUGAAAAACUUCUCCCCAUGAUCCAAGGCUUGUCUGACUUCAGGUGGCCAAGACCCCAAGGAACAGACCCCUCCACAAGGGAUCAUAGCAAGAGAUGUGUCUUCCACAAAGAUCAUGGCCAUACAACAGAGACAUGCCGAGCUUUCCAGUUUCUGGUCGAGAGGCUUAUAAAAGCAGGGCAUUUGAAGCAAUACCUCCGAUCAGAUAAUGGAGAAAGGGACGCAUCCCAACAUCACAACCCCGGGGCCCCUAGGGCCCCAACUGCCCCCAAGGCCAUUAUAAACUAUAUUAACGGAAGUCCAUCUGAUGAGGAGUACGACUCUAGGCGAAAGAGACAAAAAUUGUUGCGGGCCGCAUCAAUACGCGAACGCAUCAAUUCCAUCCGACCUGGGCUAACUGGAGGGGGCCCUCGCCCCAUAGAUGGGACAAUCAUUUUCCCACCAGUAGAUCCCACCAGGACACUGCAACCACAUCGCGACGCCCUCAUCCUGUCCCUGGAAAUUGGGGGCUUUGAUGUGCGGCGUAUCUUAGUUAACCCAGGCAGCUCGGCCGAUCUUAUACAAGCAUCAGUCGCUAGCCACAUGGGACACAGUCUCACAGUCCUUGAAAACCCUGGACAAAUCUUGUCCGGAUUCAACGGAUCGUCAACUAUAUCUUUGGGAGACAUUGUACUGCCGGUCCAAGCUGGCCCAGUCACUCUCAACGUGCAAUUCUCGGUAGUACAAGAGUUAUCACCCUUCAAUAUCAUCUUAGGGCGCACAUGGCUACACUACAUGAAAGCCAUCCCCUCUACAUAUCAUCAAAUGGUGAGUUUCAUCACCAGCGAGGGGCAGAUUGACCUGUAUGGCAGCCAGUUAGCCGCUCGCCAAUGCUAUCAAAUAGCACGAGAGGCAGGGGCCAACCAGGAGGAUGCAUCUCCCCCUGAACCCAACAUUGCACAUGACCAAUAGCAAUUAUUGGGUCGGGCGGACAAAGAUCCCCCGGCAGCAGAUCCUUUACAAACAAUCCAAAUUUCGAAGGAAAGCACUCACCUUACAAACAUCAGCUUCCUCAUGACAGCCGAAAAAACUCAGUGUAUGCAAAACAUUCUCAGACAGAAUCAUGACAUCUUCGCAUGGGCACAUUCUGAUAUGAAGGGAAUUCAUCCCUCUAUUGCAUCUCACAGGCUUAACGUCUUUUCAACUGCCAGACCCGUCCGGCAGAAAAUUAGGCGUUUUCACCCGGAUAGACAAAAAGUCAUCCGAAAUGAGAUGGACAAAUUGCUCGAAGUCGGAUUCAUCAGAGAAGUUUCUUAUCCGGAGUGGUUGGCAAAUGUAGUGGUGGUACCCAAAAAAGAAGGAAAGUGGCGAGUUUGUGUAGACUAUACCAAUCUCAAUAAUGCAUGUCCAAAAGACAGUUUUCCCUUGCCACGAAUAGAUCAGAUUGUGGAUUCCACGUCCAGGCAAGGGAUGCUCUCUUUCUUGGAUGACUUCUCCGGAUAUCAUCAAAUCCCCAUGUCCCCGGACGAUGAAGAAAAGACAGCAUUCAUAACGCCACACGACCUCUAUUGCUACAAAGUCAUGUCAUUCGGACUCAAAAAUGUUGGUGCCACUUAUCAAAGAUUGAUGACUAAAAUCUUCGAACCUCUAAUAGGCCACACGGUAGAGGUAUAUAUUGAUGAUAUCGUGGUUAAAAGCAAAACCCGAGAGCAGCAUGUCCUUCACUUACAAGAAGUUUUUCACCUCUUACGAAAGUAUGGCAUGAAGCUAAAUCCUUCUAAAUGCGCAUUUGGCGUAAGUGCUUGCAAAUUUCUGGGAUUUAUGGUCAGCCAAAGGGGCAUAGAAGUCAGCCCGGAUCAAGUCAAAGUAGUCAUGGAAACACCCCCUCCCAGGAACAAGAAGGAGCUACAACGACUCAUAGGCAAGCUCGUCGCACUAGGGCGUUUUAUAGCCCGCUUCACUAAUGAAUUGCGACCCUUCUUCUUGGCAAUACGAAAAGCUGGAGCACAUGGAUGGACGGACAGUUGCUAGAACGCUUUCGAAAAGAUUAAGCAUUGUCUUACGCAACCGCCCAUCUUGAGCAGCCCCAUUCCAAAAGAGAAAUUGUAUAUGUAUCUGGCGGUAUCAGAAUAGGCAAUCAGCGUCGUUCUAUUCCGCUGCCCCUCGCCCAAGGAGUGAAAACCUAUCUACUACGUCAACAGGGCAUUGGCUGACGUAGAAACCAGAUAUUCAAAAAUGGAGCUAACAGCCUUAGCCCUUCGAAACGCUGCUCAGAAGCUCCGCCUUUAUUUCCAAGCUCAUCCAGUGAUCGUACUAACUGACCAGCCCCUUCGCAAUAUUCUGCACAAGCCAGAUUUAACCGGGAGAAUGCUACAAUGGGCCAUUGAAUUAAGCGAAUUUGGAAUCGAAUUCCAACCUAGGUUGUCCAUGAAAGGCCAGGUAAUGGCUGACUUCGUGCUAGAAUAUUCCCGAAGACCCAGCCAACACCACGAAUCAAGUAAACAAGAAUGGUGGACUCUGCGAGUUGACGGAGCCUCACACUCAUUCGGCUCUGGAAUUGGGCUCCUACUACAAUCCCCAACUGGGGAACAUUUGGAGCAAGCCAUCCGGCUGGGAUUCUCUGCCUCUAACAAUGAAGCAGAAUAUGAGGCUAUCUUGUCCGGAUUGGACCUCGCCCUUGCUCUAUCCGUCUCCAAACUCCGAGUCUACAGCGACUCACAACUCGUGGUAAAGCAUGUCCAGGAGGAAUAUGAGGCUAAGGACACACGCAUGGCGCGAUACUUAGCUAAAGUAAGAGAGACUUUGCAGCAAUUCACCGAAUGGACAAUCGAAAAAAUCAAGCGAGCUAACAAUAGGCGCGCUGACGCCUUGGCUGGCGUAGCUGCCUCCCUCCCUAUCAAAGAAUCCAUUCUAUUGCCCAUACAUGUGCAACUCAACCCCUCUGUCGCAGAAAGUUCCACCUGCAAUACCAUUGAGGCACCCCAAGCGGACGGCCAAGAAUGGAUGAAUGGCAUCACAUAAUAUAUCCGGACUGGAACUUUACCAGGAGAUCUCAAACAGGCACACAAAGUCCGGGUGCAAGCUGCCCGUUUCACCCUGAUUGGGGGGCACCUAUACAAGCGAUCCUUCACAGGACCUUACCUUCGAUGCCUAGGGCAUUCAGAGGCCCAGUAUGUGUUAGCUGAGUUACACGAAGGAAUAUGCGGGAAUCAUUCAGGAGGACGAUCUCUGGCACAUCGAGCCCAUUCACAGGGAUAUUAUUGGCCAACAAUGAAGAAGGAUGCGGCAACAUACGUCAAAAAUUGUGACAAAUGUCAAAAGCAUGCUCUCAUUCCACAUAUGUCAUCAGCAACAUUGAAAUCAAUAUCAAGCCCAUGGCCCUUCGCACAAUGGGGCAUGGACAUAGUAGGACCUCUCCCAGUUGCGCCUGCCCAAAAGAAAUUUUUGCUCGUUGCCACAGAUUAUUUCAGUAAGUGGGAGGAAGCUGAAGCAUAUGCUAGCAUCAAAGACAAGGAUGUCACCAAGUUCGUAUGGAAAAAUAUUAUCUGUCGUUUUGGAAUUCCCCAAGCCAUCAUAGCUGACAAUGGUCCACAAUUUGAUAGCAUUGCAUUCAGGAACUUCUGUUCGGAGCUAAACAUCCAGAAUUCAUACUCCACACCGCGAUAUCCUCAAAGUAAUAGGCAAGCAGAAGCCACAAACAAGACCCUAAUCACUGCCUUAAAGAAUAGGCUUGAACAAGCCAAAGGAAAAUGGGUCGAGGAGCUACCCGGCGUCCUAUGAGCCUACCGAACUAUACCCAGACGGCCAACAGGAAAUACUCAUUUCGCUCUCGCAUAUGGAAUGGAUGCAGUCAUUCCUACUGAAAUAGGUCUUCCUACUAUCCGGAUUGAUGCAGCAAAACAGAGUGAUGCAAACAUGGAAUUAGGAAGAAAUUUGGAUUGGACGGAUGAAGUGAGGGAAAGCGCGGCCAUCCGGAUGGUAGAUUAUCAACAAAGGGCAUCAGCACAUUACAAUCGCAAAGUGAGGCCAAGAAGCUUAAAAAAUGGUACGCUAGUCCUUAGAAAAGUUUUUGAAAACACUGCUGAAGUCGGUGCAGAGAAAUUCCAAGCUAACUGGGAAGGACCCUAUAUAGUGUCUAAGGCAAGUGAAAGUGGAGCCUAUUAUUUACAAAAGUUAGACGGGACUCCAUUACUUAGACCAUGGAAUGUGUCCAAUUUAAAACGGUACUAUCAAUGAAAAAGAGAGACAAAAACAAAUAGAAGAAAAAGACAUAUUUUAUUGAUAUGUAUCAAUGAAUGUACAAAGAGGUCUUCGGACCACGAAAAUACAAAAAAAAAUUACAACAAAAAGUUGCAAAAAGACAAAAGCUAUCAGGGAGCAGCCUUAAAGUUUCUUCUCUUCACCCGGAGGAAUUGAAGGGACAUCCCCCUUUAUGCCAUUCUUCUUCAUACAGCAGCGAUAACCGAAGAUGAAGGUGUCAUCCACUUGUUUUUGGUAGUCCGCUUCAAGUUCCUCCCUCUCUGCAGCAAACUCCCGUUCUAGCUCUUCUUUUUGCGCUGUUAAGCGUAGCUGCAAAUCUUCUUUUUGCUUCUUUUCAAUAGAAGCCUCUGUCCGGAGUUGCCUCACUUCCCCCCCCCCCCCCCCCCCCAUCCGGGCUAUCUCAUCCUCUGCCUCAUGCAGACGGGCAAUCGAUGAUUCCUCCCGGUCCUUAGCCUCAGCCAAUUUCGCCCGAAGGGCUUCAUUGUCCUCUCGAACGGUGGAUAAGCUGGCCUCAGCCUCCGCCAGUCUCAGGCGCAACUGAUCUUCAGCAUCUUUGCGCCGAGUGGCGAAGNNNNNNNNNNNNNNNNNNNNNNNNNNNNNNNNNNNNNNNNNNNNNNNNNNNNNNNNNNNNNNNNNNNNNNNNNNNNNNNNNNNNNNNNNNNNNNNNNNNNUUUUUUUUUUUAUUGUUCAAAAGAAAUCCAAAAGGGUUUUUUGGCCCCCGAAAAUAAAAAAAAAAAUUCACAAAAAAAGUUGAAAAAAAAAAAAAGUUUUUGGGGGGCCCCCUUAAAUUUUUUUUUUUUCCCCCGGGGAAAUAGAAAGGGCCCCCCCCUUUAUCCCUUUUUUUUUUAAAACAGGGGAAAAACAAAAAAAAAAGGGUUCCCCCCCUUUUUUUUGGGGAUCCCCUUAAAAUUCCCCCCUUUUGGGCAAAAAACCCCCUUUUAAUUUUUUUUUUUGGGGAGUAAAGGGGGGCCCAAAAUUUUUUUUUUUUUUUUUUUAAAAAAAAACCCUUUUCCGGGGGUCCCCCCUUUUCCCCCCCCCCCCCCCCCCCCAUCCGGGCUAUCUCAUCCUCUGCCUCAUGCAGACGGGCAAUCGAUGAUUCCUCCCGGUCCUUAGCCUCAGCCAAUUUCGCCCGAAGGGCUUCAUUGUCCUCUCGAACGGUGGAUAAGCUGGCCUCAGCCUCCGCCAGUCUCAGGCGCAACUGAUCUUCAGCAUCUUUGCGCCGAGUGGCGAAGGUCUUCAUAUAAUCAGUGGUCCGCAGCAGGUCAGUGAAAAGAUCGUAUUGAUUGGCCAUACCACGGAGACCACUCACCAGCUGCAGGCAAACAGACAAACAAGAAAAACAAAGUUAUAAAUCACACCACAAACACAUAUCAGAAUGAGAAAGAUUCAAGGAACACAGAAAAGUAUACCGACUCCACCAUCUCGAACAUCUUGGCUGAAGGCAUAAUACUGGUCAAGCUGGGUGGAAUCUGUUUCAGCUUAUCUUCCAACUCCGCAUAGCUAAAAGGGCUAGCGGAGGUGCAAGACGCAUCAUUAACAGGAUCCCCGCCUGAUGAGGCAACAGAAGGAGACUCUGGUUCCGGAUUCGGUGCCUUAACAUUUACGACCGAAUGGGUCUCCCCGGGUGCAACCUCAGCCGGGACCAUUACAAGGACGACUGGAGGCUCAGUUGUCAUCUCCACUUCGCCCCCCUCCGGAUGAGCGUCGUGAGCGGAUGAGCAACUAACUUCGAUCUCUUGUUAACGAUCUUGAAGCCACCCGAGGAGUCCGGACCUCUGAUUGCGCGCCGAGCGCGGCCUCUUCGAAGGUGGCCCCUUCACCAGAACAAGAGUCAGACGGUCCGGAUCGUCCGAGGGCUGACUCUGGCUUUCGAUCCCCGCUUCCUCCAUCGGGUCCGCACAAACGGCUUCAACUGCAUCGACAUCCGGAUUAGGGGAGUCCGGAUGGUUGAUGGAUGCAGCUUCCUCAGCCAGAUUAGCCAGACGGGCAACCGCUGCCAAUGAGGUACUUGAGUGGUUCAGCCCCACGACGUGUCCGGAACCGCUUGAGAUAGAAUGAGGAGCAGGGUUCACUAGCUCCUCUAUUAUUACCUCCGCCUCGUGGAUAAUUGGCGGAGGAGCAAAUUCUUUGGGAGGAGUGGGCUCCUUCACUCCCUUCCCAUUCUUCACCAGCUUCUUCUUUUUCGCUGGAGCUUUAUUUGGCGGAGAGUCUGCGUCGCAUUUCUGUCUGGGAGCCUUCCGAAGGGUCCCUUCGUUUUUCUUCUUCUCCUGAUUGUCCAAGAGCGCUCGGCGUUUUUCAGCGUCAGCCUCUUUUAACGCCUGGUAAAUCGGGAGAUCUUUCACAAUGUAAUGCUCCCCAGGCACUACCUCCUUUGGCAUCUUCUUGGGGAGAAUGUUGAUGACAUACUCUUGGGGCUCUUGGACGACCGCCAUCAGGUUCCGUGCAGUCAGCAGCAUCUUGCACUGCCUCUCCUUGGCGUCUAUUUCAAAACACUUGCUGAGACAGGCAAAAGACGCAUUUCCACCCAAUCCACGAGGUAGCCCCUUUUUUCCGGACCUACAUUAACAGCAGCAAAGGUUGACAAUACCAUCCGGAGAUAUCAACAAGAAAACAACAAGGUAAAAAUCCGGACAAAAGUCGCAAAGCAAACUUACCCGGAAUCGCUAAGGAAUAGUUGGGAGAGAAGGGCCUCACCGGAUGCCUCGACCCCGCCCACGCACCCCGGACCAUCACGUGUCUCUUCGCCCCUCCAUUCGUCGAGUCUGGCAGUUCCGUCACCAAUUGAAGGGAGGGCAGGUGCGCGGACAGGCUGAAGAUGUCAGUUUUCGCCUUCUUCAGCGAAUACACGAAAAACACCUCCAGCAGCGUGAGGUCAAGGUUGUACAGCAUGUUUAUGAUGUUGCAUCCCAUCAGCACCCGGACGAUAUUGGGGUGAAUGAAGACUGGUGGAAUCUUGGUGAAAUGGAGGAAUUCCUUGAACAACGCCGGCAGAGGCAACCGGAGCCCCGCAUAGAAUUGUUCCUUCGAGAAGAUGACGGUAUCUUGUUCAGCUUUCUCAGUAGAUACGACAUCUUUCCAAUUCAAAAAUUCCACAAUCACGCCAUUUGCAAUGCAGAAUCGAUCCCGGAACUCCUUUACGCUCAGUUUGUCUGUAGGUUUCUCAUGAGCGUCGCUGGAGUGGGCAGAUGAAGUAGCUUUCUGCUUUGAAGACAUUUUCUAGCCCGAGGUUGAACUGAAACCUACAUGCAAGAAAUGCAAUAGUCAAACACAGCCAACCAACCCCACAAACCCUAAACGAUAACAAACACUCGGAAAACCUCGCACCAACAGUAUACCUAUUCCAAAAUCUUUGACUCUACCCCAACAAGAAACCCCCGACCUACAAAAACCACAGGGGGGCAACUGAAACCCUUAAAACACCCAGUCACAAACAACACUCGCCCAAACAAGCCAACAACGCCAAAGCGUACAAAAGGAAAGAACAAAGCAUAAAGAAUACGUACCGAAUGUCAGAGAGAAGCAAAGGUUGCAGAUCGCAAGGCAAGCACCGUCAAAGCGCAACAAAUCACCGUAAAAAAUUCUAGGGUUUUCACUCAAAAGAAGCAACAAUACGCACAAGGUUGACGAAGAAAGCUAUCUCAGAAAAACGCAGUAGAAAAAAGCAACAGUGAGCACAGUAUGCUAUUUAUAGGGGGACAUCCCCUCGGAAAGCCAAACGUCCAACAAACGUCAUCAUUGAAACGACAUACUGCCUGGGAAUACCCAGAGUCGGCGGCUCAUCAUAAAUGCCUUUUUGGCUCUCGCACCCCCACUCGCCACGUGGCCCAACCAGACAAAAAGUCGAUUUCGGUUUCAAAAAACCAAUUAUUUUUAACCCGCCCAUUUUUGCUCGGGCAAAAUAGGCAAGUUAAAAAGGGGGGCAUUGUAGGGACCCCUCCCUCCGAGACACGUGGCACGCAUUGUCAUCCGGGUCAUCUUCAUCCGGACCUUCUCAUAAAGCACACAUGGCACGCUUUUCCGAACUACCUCAAGGAAGAUCAAACUGCACUUAUAAGCAUAUCAUCCGGACGAUUUACACAAUGCAUCUGAAUACAAUGGUCCGGACCACUAACUAAAGUAUAGCGAGUCUUACACGCUAUCACGACAACCAGCCAUGGCCCACGUCUCAGCACCUGCAGAGUGAAAGGACGGGUUGAGGUGACAACAAGUCACUUCCCACGAUCAUUCUACAUGAUCACUUCCCACGAUCUCUAAGCAGCAGCAUCACCUACCACGGUUUCUGACAGCCGCCAGUAGGGUGGCGAUGACCAUGCUGCCUCCGAAUGUCAUCAUGACAAACAUAAAAUAUCUCCUCGCCAUUAAUGAGAGGAACAGUACUCCUAGCACUAUAUAUGAACCUUUGCACGAAGAAGAAGGUAAUCUCCAGAUACCGAGUAAAAUGCCAACUGAUUUAUAUCUCCCUCUCUAGCCAUGGCUAACAAAACCAUCGGAGGGUGCGUCCGGACACUCUGUCCGGAUGCCUUUUUGCAGGUAUAACGACUGAAUCAAGAACCUUUGUGUGUUGAGAUCGCGUCUCCAUCCAUUUGGCAACUACGUGGAAGCCCAGGAGUGCGAGGUAUUAACAGACAUAGGACACGAAAGCUACAGGAAAAUGACAUUAGAUGAGAUUUUUCUCAAUUUGGAAAGCGGAUUAUACAAUCUUUUCCAUAGUUUGAGGCUAAAGAUAUUUUGAGCUUUAACCCUCGCAAUUGUUUUGAUCAUGUUUAAGAAAAUUAAUUAGAUGUGUUGAUCUAAUUCAAAUCUUCAAUAUUGUACCAACUUAUAUUGUAAUUAAGUAUUUUUGCUUUCUUUCUUUAGAAUUUUCCCUAAACCAAACACAACCUUAGCUAUUUGUAAUUCUACAAACCUAAAAGAGUUGAGAAUCUAAGCAUGAGUUUUUUUUUUUUUCUCUUUAUGGAAAUAGAAAAUCUAGUGGAAUAAGUGGCGAUUUUGUACCAUACCAGGUGUACAAAAUCUUUCCAAAUAUACAAAUUUGAAAAUAAAUUUAUUUUUAUUAAUUUAAAAUUUUGAGAAUACGACCCUUAUUUUAUCUUCUAAUUUUUUUAAUAAUUAAUAUCUAACAAUUAAUUAAGCUUAGGCUUUGAUUUGGGCAUAUGACACAUGUCAUGAUCCUAUUUAAACACACAGAUGAUAUGUCAUAAUUAGUAACAGAAGGAAUUUAAAGAACUUUAAUAUGUUAAUAAAUGAACAAAAUUUUAAAUUUCUUAUCUUUUAAAAAAAAAUUGCUUUAUUUAGUUUCUUUUGAAUGGACUCUAUAUGACAAUUUUUUUAGUGGAAUAUUUAUCUUGGAUUUUAUAGAACAAAAUUUAAAAUGUUUAAUUGAUAAUAUAGGAUCAUAGUUGAAACAAUAAAAUUUAUUUAUCACUUAAAAGAAUUAAUUAAAUAAAUUUAAUAGAAUAAUAAAAAAUUUGUUAGGAAUAUUUGAAUUUGAAAAACCUUUAAAGAUCCAAAGUUUGUUAUGAAAUAUUCUUAAUAGUUUUUUUUAUCAAAAAAAUAUAUACUAACUAAAAGUUUGAAGUACUUUUUAUAUGAAGAACACAGCAUUACAAAAUAUCUUCAAUAUUCAGGUACAGCAUGAAUAUUUUUUUAUUUCGUAAACAAUACGUCAGACUAUAGAAAACAACAAAUGAAGCAUCCAGAGCAAAAUAAUAGACGAGUCAGAGUUCGCUGAGUUGGGACAUUGAAGAAAGGAGUGUCUAGGGUCUAGAGAAGAGCUUGGGUGAUCAUUUUGUCCAAGUUCGAGAAAGACGACCCAUUGGGACCUCUAGUGGCCUCUUCUGCUAGAGCCUUCCACUCCAAGGCCUUCUUCUUCAACUCUUUGCCUUUCUCUCCCUCCAUCAACUCCUUCACAAGCCUUUCAAUUUCAUCUCUCUUAACGUCGCUGUCUAUCUCCAUGCCUAUGCCCCACUCAGUGCAACAGUAGCGGCAGUUGGUUUGCUGCUCUGCAAAAAAGGGCCAACAAAUCAUAGGCACUCCAGCGCUCACACUUUCAAUUGUGGAAUUCCACCCGUUGUGAGUUAAGAAGCCGCCAACAGCCGGGUGACUGAGAACUUGCUCUUGAGGACACCAACCUGCUAACAGACCCCUCUCUUUCGUCUCUGCCACGAAUUCUGGCGGAAGAAUGGCCGCGUCACCGGACACAAGAUCUGGCCUGAUUAUCCAUAAGAACGUCUGAUUGCUAUUCACCAGUCCCCAAGCAAACUCAUUGAGUUGCUGCGAUGUCAUGACCGUGACGCUCCCGAAAUUCACGUAAACAACAGAGUUGGGCUCUUUGGAGUCCAGCCACUCCAGACAUUCCGGCUCUUCUUUCCACAGAUUCGAUUCCAUCAACUUCAAAUCGUUAUCUUGGAUCUGACUCAUGAGUUUGUGCAGGGGACCGAUGGUGUAGAUUGGGGGAAACAUCUGAGAAAGUGCAUCCAAAACUUCAUGCUCUAGAGCAUCAAAUGUAUUGAAAAUGAGGGCAGAUGCCUUGCGAGCUCUUUCAGCCUCCCGCAAUGGAAAUUCCAGCAUAAUGUCAUUUGGGUCCGUCGUUCGAAUGAAGCUUGGGAUAUCCCUCAAACGGAUACCUUUCAUACCCGGUAUCCAAUCAAUAACGGUAUCCAGAUACCCAUUUGUUAGGUAACUCUCAUCUGCAUUUCAUAGAAAGGAGGGGAAAAAAUAUGAGAAUCCGUAUUGAGCUUAGCUUUGAAGUAAUUAAAUGCAAAGUUGGUCAGUAUUUGAUUCAUUUGAAUGAUACCUUUGAGUGGAGCCAAACCCUUAUCGAUAAGAUUGCGAUAUUGCACGUAGCCCAUGAAGCCGCAAGCACUAGUUGUCCAGAAAAGAACUUCAGGAACGCCAAGCUCUUGAGCAGCAUCAAGAGUGAAGCUCAUGGCGCCAUCAGAAACUAUGCAAGUGACUGGAGGGCCAUCGUGGUUGAGGUUGGAAAGAAGGUCUCUAAAGGGAGGCAGGCAGUGUUUUGUGGUGGAGACACAGAGAGCGGGAGUGUCUUGGGUGGCAUCAACAUUGGAGGGAGGGAGACCAUCGGGAAUGGUCUUGAAUUGGAAGGAGGGGAUGCCUUUGAGGGAGUCUGGACCCCGAGAUUUGAGCAGGCGGUUAUGGUUGUACUCUGUGUUGACAAAGGUAAUGUGGAACCCUCUGAAAUGAAGGAACUUUGCUAGUUUUAGCAUAGGGUUUAUGUGGCCCUGUGCUGGGUACGGUAUGCAAACUGCAUGUGGCUUCUCAGCUGAGGCUAAGGAACCCAUUCUCUCUUUCUCUCUCUCUCACUUUCACUCUGCUCUCAAUUGGUAUAUGCCCAUGACAUUGGAAGUAGCUUGGGUUUUAUAGCCCCAGGAGAGAGGGUCAAACACUUUACUUAUAUAUAUAUAUAUUAAAGUCAGAAGUCAAAUAAAUGCUGCAAUAUUAAUAUAUGUACAGCUGUAUCAGAGAGUAACUGAAGGUCAACUUGGCUCUCUCCUUUAUCUAGGUUAACCCACCUGUCCUCCAUACUUCACGGCAGGUGCCUAAUGCUUUAAACACUUUACUUAUAUACAAUAUUAAUAUAUGUACAGCUGUAUCAGAGAGUAACUGAAGGUCAAACUUGGCUCUCUCCUUUAUCUAGGUUAACCCACCUGUCCUCCAUACUUCACGGCAGGUGCCUAAUGCUUUUCAUAGGAGAUGUACAACAAAUUCAAUAUUUACACAAUUAUCAACUUUUUACUUUUAAGCAAUCCAAGAUUCCCAACGAUAUAUGAAUACCUAUUUUUGUAAUGCAGUAGGAUCUUGACAAUCAAUUACUCUAAAAACUCGUUUCAAGUUGUCGGAUGUCCACACCUAUAUAUUAUUAUUUAUAGGUGUGCGAGUGGAUGAGAAAUCUAUUAUACAUGAUGUUAAUGGUUAAGUCGGACCCAUUCAAACAAAAGAUGAAAUCGGUAUAUAUAAUGGAAACAAAGAGGUGCUAAUCGGGACUUUUCUCAAUAGUAUAGUAAUUUUAAAAAGUUAUGCUUAAAUUAUUAUAGUAGAAGAAGUUAUUAUAAAUAUAUGGUAGUUUUUGCCACAUAGGAGAGAGGAGAGAGGGUGAGAGAGAGGAGAUAGGAGAGAGGAGAGAGGGUGAACGGAUAAAUUUUUUAAUUCCAUGAAAAAAAAAAUUAUAUUUUUUUAAAAAAAUAUAUAUUCUUUUUAAAAAAUUCCUAUUUAUUCAAGGGAACUCGUCUCUUCAAGAGACGAGUUCCAUGAAAAAAGACAAGGGAAAGACGAGUUACCAGGGAAAAAAAUAUAUAUAUUUUUUUUAAAUAUAUUUUUUAUUUAAAAAAAAUCCUAAAUUAAAUUUAAAAAAAUUUCCUAAAUGGAACUCGUCUCUUUGGGAAAUUUUUUUUUUUUUUAAAUAUAUAUAUUUUUAAAAAAAAAAUAUUUUUUUUUACAUGGGAACUCGUCUCUUGAAGAGACGAGUUCCCUUUAGGAAUUUUGAGGAUUUGUUUUUUUUUUUUAAUAUAUAUAUUUAAAAAAUAUUUUUUGUUUUUUUACAUNNNNNNNNNNNNNNNNNNNNNNNNNNNNNNNNNNNNNNNNNNNNNNNNNNNNNNNNNNNNNNNNNNNNNNNNNNNNNNNNNNNNNNNNNNNNNNNNNNNNAAAAAAAAAUAUAUUUUUUUAAAAAAAUAUAUAUUUUUUUUAAAAAAAUUCUAUUUAUUUAAAGGGAAUUGUCUUUUCCAAAGACGAAUUUCCUGAAAAAAAACCAGGGGAAGGGGGGUUUCCCGGGGAAAAAAAAUAUAUUUUUUUUUUUAAAAUAUUUUUUUUUUAAAAAAAAUCCUAAAUUAAAAUUUAAAAAAUUUUCUAAAAGGAAAUUGUUUUUUUGGGAAAAUUUUUUUUUUUUUAAAAAUAUAUAUUUUUAAAAAAAAAAUUUUUUUUUUUUCAAGGGAAAUUGUUUUUUGAAGAGGCGAGUUUCCCUUUGGAAUUUUGGGGAUUUUUUUUUUUUUUUUUAAAUAUAUAUUUUAAAAAAUUUUUUUUUUUUUUUUCCAGGGAAGGGACGAGUUUCCUUUGAAAAUGUUUUUUUUUUUUUUUUUUUUUUUUUUUUUUUUUUUUAAUUUGGGAUUUUUUUAAAUAAAAAAUAUAUUUUUACAAAAAAAUAUUUUUUUUCCCUAAAGGAACUCGUCUCUUUUUAAUUUAGGAUUUUUUUUAAAUAAAAAAUAUAUUUAAAAAAUAUAUAUAUAUUUUCCCAUGGGAACUCGUCUCUUCAAGAGACGACUUCCCUUUACGAAAUUUUUUUUUUUUAAAAAAAAUAUUUUUUUUACAUGGGAACUCGUCUCUUGAGGAGACGAGUUCCCUUUAGGAAUUUUGAGGAAUUAUUAUUAUUAUUUUUUUUUAAUAUAUAUAUAUAUAUAUUUUUACAUGGGAACUCGUCUCUUGAAGAGACGAGUUCCUUUAGGAUUUAUUUAUUUAUUUUUUUUUAAUUUGGGAUUUUUUUAAAAUAAAAAAUAUAUUUAAAAAAAAAUAUUUUUUUCAAGAGACGAGUUCCCUUUAGGAAUUUUUUUUUUUAAAUAUAUAUAUUUUUUUAAAAAAAAAAUUUUACAUGGGAACUCGUCUCUUGAAGAGACGAGUUCCCUUGAGGAAUUGUUGUUGUUUUUUUUUUUUUUUUGGGAUUUUUUUAAAUAAAAAAAAUAUUUUUUUUCCCAAAGGGAACUCGUCUCUUGAGUUCCUUUAGGAAUUUUUUUUUUUUUUAAUUUGGGAUUUUUUUUAAAUAAAAACUAUAUUUAAAAAAAAAAUAUUUUUUUUCCCAUGGGAACUCGUCUCUUCAGACGAGUUCCUUUAGGAAAUUUUUUUUUUUUUUAGAUAUAUAUAUUUAAAAAAAAAAUAUUUUUUUUUACAUGGGAACUCGUCUCUUCAAGAGACGAGUUCCCUUUAGGAAUUUUGAGGAAUUGUUUUUUUUUUUUUUUUUUUUUUUUAAUAUAUAUAUUUAAAAAAAAAAAAAUUUACAUGGGAACUCGUCUCUUGAAGAGACGAGUUCCCUUUGGAAUUGUUUUUUUUUUUUUUUAUUCAGGAUUUUUUUAAAUAAAAAAUAUAUUUAAAAAAAAAAUAUUUUUUUUCCUAAAGGGAAUUUUUUUUUCUUUUUUUUAAUUUGGGAUUUUUUUUCCCAGGGAACCCGCCCCUUCAGACAAGUUCCUUUAGGGAAUUUUUUUUUUUUUUAAAAAAAUAAAAAUUUUUUUUAAAUAUAAAAAAUUUUUUUAAAAAAAAUUUUUUUUUUACGGGGAAACCCGUCUUUUGAAGAGACGAGUUCCUUUUAGGAAUUUUUUUUUUUUUUUUAAUUGGGGAUGGUUUUUAAAAAAAAAAUUUAUUUUUUUUUUUUAAAANNNNNNNNNNNNNNNNNNNNNNNNNNNNNNNNNNNNNNNNNNNNNNNNNNNNNNNNNNNNNNNNNNNNNNNNNNNNNNNNNNNNNNNNNNNNNNNNNNNNGGUCCCUUUGGAAAUUUUUUUUUUUUUAAUUUGGGGUUUUUUUUAAAAAAAAACUUUUUUUUAAAAAAAAAUUUUUUUUUUUCCAAGGGAAAUUUUUUUUUUACGAAGGGUUCCCUUUGGAAAAUUUUUUUUUUUUUUGAAAUAAUAUUUUUUAAAAAAAAAAAAUUUUUUUUUCCAGGGAAAUUGUUUUUUCCAAAGACGAGUUUCCCUUUGGAAAUUUUGGGAAAUUUUUUUUUUUUUUUUUUUUUUUUUUAAUAUAUAUAUUUAAAAAAAAAAAAAUUUACAUGGGAACUCGUCUCUUGAAGAGACGAGUUCCCUUUGGAAUUGUUUUUUUUUUUUUUUAUUCAGGAUUUUUUUAAAUAAAAAAUAUAUUUAAAAAAAAAAUAUUUUUUUUCCUAAAGGGAAUUUUUUUUUCUUUUUUUUAAUUUGGGAUUUUUUUUCCCAUGGAACUCGUCUCUUCAGACGAGUUCCUUUAGGGAAUUUUUUUUUUUUUUAAAUAUAUAUAUAUUUUUUUUAAAUAUAUAUAUAUUUUUUAAAAAAAAUAUUUUUUUUACAUGGAAACUCGUCUUUUGAAGAGACGAGUUCCCUUUAGGAAUUUUUUUUUUUUUUUUAAAUUGGGAUUGUUUUUAAAUAAAAAAUAUAUUUUUUUUUUUUAAAAAAAAAAUUUUCCCAUGGGAACUCAUCUCUUGAAGAGACGAGUUCCCUUUAGGAAAUUAUUUAUUUAUUUAUUUAAUUUGGGAUUUUUUUUAAAUAAAAUAUAUAUUUAAAAAAAAAAUAUUUUUUUUCCCAUGGGAACUCGUCUAUUCAAGAGACGAGUUUCCUUUAGUUCCAAAUUGUUUUUUUUUUUUAAUUUGUGAAUUUUUUUUUUAAAAUAUAUAUUUUUUGUAAUGGGAACUCGUCUCUUGAAGAGACAAGUUUCCUUGAAGAAUUGUCUUUUUUUUUUUUUUUUUUAAUUUGAGAAUUUUUUUAAAAAUAUAUAUAUAUUUUUUUUCAUGGAACUCGUCUCUUGAAGAGACGAGUUCCCUAAUGGGGAAUUUUCUUUAAAAAAUAUAUAUUUUUUGUUUCAUGGAACUCGUCUCUUGAAGAGACGAGUUCCCUUUUUAAAAAAAAUUUAUCCGUUCACCCUCUCUCCUCUCUCCUAUCUCCUCUCUCCUUUCUCUCACCCUCUCUCCUCUCUCCUCUCUCCUAUCUCCUUUCUCCUCUCUCCUAUGUGGCAAAAACUACCAUAUAUUUGUAAUAACUUCUUCUACUACAAUAAUUUAAGCAUAACUUUUUUAAAUUACUGUACUAUUGAGAAAAGUCCGUGCUAAUCGCUAUGAAUUGAAGACAAAAUGCAUCCACCCCAUUCAGAAAUGUUGACCAUAAGAUGAAAUAAAAUAUUUAGAGAAGAUAGAUUAAGGGCGGUGACAAGAUUGAGGGGCUUAAAAGACAUGUCACUGAGUGAUGCUAAGGGCGACCGAAAAAAAGAAAUCUUAUCCCUGUGAGAGAUUCCUUGGGCGGUCUGAAUGUUUUUGCUGGCUUCCUUUGCCAUUCUUUCACGUACCUUAUGUUCGCAUUCCUGGAAAGACAACUCCCAUCUUCAUUCUUUCUUUUCAUGCAAUCAUUAUGAAGACCACAAACUUCAGUAUUGUACGGCUCUAUUUGGGUCUAUAUUUUCUGGUCAUUUUCUUGAUCCUUCCGUGAACCAUUGGAACGCCAUGGAGCUUAACUUCUUGUUUUUUUAAUAUAAUAUAAUAAGGAAAAGUGUGACAACCUCUAAAACAUGAACAUCAAAUGCAGGUAAGUUAAGACAUAGGACACGAAAGCCACAGGAAAAUGACAUUAGAUGAAAUAUUUCUCAAUUUGGAAAGCGGAUUAUACAAUCUUUUCCAUAGUUUGAGGCUAAAGAUAUUUUGAGCUUUAACCCUCGCAAUUGUUUUGAUCACAUUUAAGAAAAUUAAUUCGAUAUGCUGAUCUAAUUCAAAUCUUCAAUAUUGUACCAACUUAUACUGUAAUUAAGUAUUUUUUUCUUUCUUUCUUUAGAAUUUUCCCUAAACCAAACACAACCUUAGCUAUUUGUAAUUCUACAAACCUAAAAGAGUUGAGAAUCUAAGCAUGAGGUUUUUUUUUUUUUUUUCUCUUUAAGAAAUAGAAAAUCUAGUGGAAUAAGUGGCGAUUUUGUACCCUCAUAUGAAAUGGACCUUGUUAGAGUUUGGGAUGAAAACACGUCAAUCCCAUUCCAGGCCCACCUCAUCGCAUUGGCUAAAGAGGUUACAGGGAACCAAGUGGGGGUGACCUUAGAUGGGCCAAGUUCAGCCCAAGGUUGAUUUGCCCUAAAAUCACAAGACCAGGGCCCGAUCAACGCAGUUGUAGAUUUCACAACAGCGAUUAUCUUUAAGUAUUUGAUAUUAUAUAAUGGAAAAUUUUCUAAUUUACAAAAUGAUCAUGCGUGAUUUUACUAAAAAAUAGAUUGGAAUUUGGGCAUGAUCUUGGUUCAAUGUAUCAAGGAGAUUUUCCCCUUUUUCAAUGAUCAUGUAGAUUGCUGUUUUCAGUCAACAAAUACGGAUUACUAAAAAACUUUAAAACUAAAAAAUAUAAAAAUAAAAUAUUAGAUUUCACUUUGCUAAAUCACACUAAUUAAAAAUAUAAAUUCAAGAAAUAAUUGAAAAUACGAUGAGAGUAAAUAUUUAAUUUUGUUAUUUUUAAGUUUUUUGUUUUAAUUGUAUUUAAUUUUUCAACUAUUUUAGUUUUAAUUGUUAUAUUUAUUUUUAAAAUUUCUUAUUUUAUUGUUUAUGUCAACUAACAAAUUUUUUAUUUAAUUUAUUUUUUAAAAAAUAAGAAGAUGAAUGGAUUUAUUUAUUACAAGAUAUAAAAUCAAGAUAUUUUUUUAAAAUUAGGAUUUAUAUAAUACAAGAUAAUUUUUAGAAUUUCAAACAGAUUUGAAAAUCUAUUCAUAUUAAAGUUAUUUGCCCAUAAAUACAUCUCCAUAACUUCAAAAGAGUUGGAGAUCUAAAUUUAUUUAGAGUGAGUUCAUUUAAAAGAAAGCUUAAAUAGCCACAAGCAUUCAGGGGUUAUUGCGCCGCUUGCAAACAUGGAUCAUGUUGUCAAAGGUUGUUGCAUUGUAUUAUAGACAUGGUAUAGGAAGAGUAUAAAUAAUUUUUUUUAUAUUAUAUUUUUGGGAAGAAUCCUGUAAAUUUAUUUUAUUUUAUUUUAUUAGUUUUAUAUUUUUGGGAAGAAUCCUAUUGAGAUUGUGCUAAUGGAGUCUCAUUCCUUAUAUAAGUAAAAUCCCCUUCCACUUUGAGUCUGUUCUGAUUACAAGUAGAGUCUCAUUGGGAGUGUACAGGUCACCCCUCACUCUCUAAAUAUGAAUACCAAUUUUUCAAGAUAAUUUUUUAGAGAGUCUUUUCAUACAUCUAUUUGGAGGAAUUUUUUUUCAAAACUCGAGCCGUACAUCUCGUUUAUGCAAGAUCUAACUGUUGAAUUACACCGAGUUCGUCUUUGAGGAUGGUGAAUCUAUUUCAAGAAUAGUAUUUGUCACGCCUCAACCUAAGUUUUUCUUUUUAUUAAUUUUGUUCUUAUUUGUGUCUUUUGCACUAAUCAUUUGUUUCCAUACCUUUAAAUCUAACACAUGGAUCAAGUUGUAAAUUAAUAAACAUGCAUCACGUUGUAAGAGGUUGUUGCAUUGCAUUACAUAUAUUCAUCAAAUUAUAGGUAUUAAAAGUGUCAUGUAGAUGUGUAUAAAUUUAACUUUGAUAUAUAUACAAAAUUUAUUUCCAAAAUACUUUCCAAAAAGUUUUUUUAAACACGUCUGAUUUGAAUAUUAAUAUUCAAAGAAUAGACUUUGAAGGAGGUUUGAGUUUCAUGAAGGAAAAGAAAAACACUUUCCAAAAAUUCUUUUAUAAGCACGUGUCAUUUGAAUAUUAAUAUUCAAAGAAUAGACUUUGAAGGAGCUUUGGGUUUCAUGAAGGAAAAAAAUGAUGUUGGAGAGAAGACCGCUUCUAAUACCACCAGGUGUGCAAAAUCUUUCCAAAUAUACAAAUUUGAAAAUAAAUUUAUUUUUAUUAAUUUAAAAUUUUGAGAAUACGAUCCUUAUUUUAUCUUCUAAUUUAUUUAAUAAUUAAUAUCUAACAAUUAAUUAAGCUUAGGCUUUGAUUUGGGCAUAUGACACAUGUCAUGAUCCUAUUUAAACACACAGAUGAUAUGUCAUAAUUAGUAACAGAAGGAAUUUAAAGAAUUUCAAUAUGUUAAUAAAUGAACAAAAUUUUAAAUUUCUUAUCUUUUAAAAAAAAAUUGCUUUAUUUAGUUUCUUUUGAAUGGACUCUAUAUGACAAUUAUUUUUAGUGGAAUAUUUAUCUUGGAUUUUAUAGAACAAAAUUUAAAAUGUUUAAUUGAUAAUAUAGGAUCAUAGUUGAAACAAUAAAAUUUAUUUAUCACUUAAAAGAAUUAAUUAAAUAGAUUUAAUAGAAUAAUAAAAAAAUUUGUUAGGAAUAUUUGAAUUUGAAAAACCUUUAAAGAUCCAAAAUUUUGUAUAACAAGAAUUUAAAAGAUUUAAUUGGCAAUUAAGAAUCCUAAUGGCAAAAGGAUUUGAGCAAACAAAAUUUAUUGGCAAUUUUUUUUAUAAAAAAAAGCUGAUAUAUUUAAUUUAAUAUUUAUAAAUUCAAGUAUUAAUAAUAUUUGAAUUAAAAAACAUAAAAACAAAAAAAAAACAAAACAAAACAAAACAAAACUAAACUGGAAGACUUAUAUUUUGAAGGGUUUAUGUUGAUUGGCUUUCAAACACCACAAAAGUUUUAAUUUGAAUCUUGCAGAUUUUUGUGUAGAGCAAAUUAAAAUUUUGAUUGGUCGUUUAAAUUUCAAGUGUCACAAAAAAGUUUUGCUUUAAUUUAUGUAAGUGGCGCCGAAUUUAUUUUAUUUUAUUAUUUUUUGCUAUUCAAAAAUGAGUGAUGUUAGAAAUAUGUUUAUAAAUAAAGUAAAGAAUUAAAUAGGAGACUUCAAUCAAUGAAACUACAUCUUUUAAAGUUAUUUCAUAAAUCUAUUUCUUUAUUUUCUUCUUUUUUUCAUUAUUUUCUUUUCUAUUAUCAACCGUAUAAAAAGUAUAUGAUAAACCUACACUUUUAUCUUUUAUUUUAUUUAUAUGUAAUAAAAUUAUACUUUAAUUUUAUGGUAACUUUGAUUUUAUAUUUUAUUUAUAUAUGAUAAAAUUAUACUUUGAUUUUAUAUUUUAUUUAUUUUAUUGAAGCGCAUAAACAUACGUGGAUAUCAAUUAGAAAAUAUGUUUUUCUUUCUAGUAAAAAAUUAUUUAAAAAAUAUCAUAAUUAGAUAUUAUGAAAAAUAAGUGCAAUCCUCAUAACUGAAAGUUAUGAGAUAAAUAACAAAAUUACAAGUAUACAGUAUGCAUAUGACUUUUAAUUACUUUUUAAUUAUAUUGUAUAAUUGGAAGUCAACAAUAUUGUGUAGGUAGAAGCUAUAGAAUGAAAUAGUUCAUAACCUAAAACUAUGUAUAAAUUUACACAAUGAAUUCAUAACAUGAAGUUAUGUACAAAUUUGCUCAAUAAAUAGUUCAUAACCUGAAAUUAUAUAUAAAUUUAUAUAUUUUUUUUAUUCUGACAAAAUAAUUUGAAGUUAUAAAAAAUAUUAAUUUUUAAUUUCUAUUUUGUAUUCAUACACUUUUAUCAUAUUUGUAAUUAACAACAAAACAUAGCAAAAUCUUAUAUCAUUAUAUUUUUAGACAUUAUUUAUUUGAUAAAAUAUUGUUAAAUAAUUUUAUUAAUUUGUUUAUAUUUUAUUUCAAUAAAUUGAAAUAUUUUCUCAUUAAAUUAUUGCAUAUAUAGUUUUCAAAAAAUGUCAAGCUUGACAAAGCUUAGGUUUGUUGUCCUUGAUAUUUUAAGGCAAAAACUACUUAUCAUAAGUUCUAGAUACUAAAAUUCACCUAAAUGUAAUGAAUCUUGGAAAUAUUACUAAAAAGGAAAAUGACACAUCCUUGCAUAAUUGUACCAAAGCUUUAAUAUUCCUUGUCAUCACAUUAACGAAGGAUUAAAAGAUGAAUACCUUAUGGUAAAAAUUCCUUUCAUCAUUUGGAAUAAUCUAAGUGAACGAUAUGACCACCAAAAAAUUACAAUCCUUCCAAAAGCAUGUUAUGAUGGGAUGUACUUGAGAUUAUAAGAUUUCAUGUUUUUUAGUGGCUACAACUUAGUUUUAUUCAAAAUUAGCUCACAAUUAAAAUUAUGUGGAGAGAAAGUCAUUGAAGAAGAUAUGCUUAAAAAGACAUUUACGACUUUUCAUGUUGUGAAUGUACUCCUAUAGUAGCAAUAAUGAGAGCGUCGUUUCAUUAAAUAUUCAAAAUUGAUUUAAUGUUUUCUUAUGGUUGAACAAAAUAAUGAGCUUUUACUGAAAAACCAUCAAUCUCGUCCUAUUGGAUCUGUGUCAUUACCUAAAGCUAAUGUCCCAUAUGUCCAAACUUCUGAACAUGGACAAGAACGUGGAUAUGGAUAAGGUUGAGGUAGAGGAUGUGGUCGCGAUUGAGGUCCUAGUAAAUACAAUCCAUCACAUUGAGUUAUAGGUUUUUUUUUUUUUUUAGAAUCAAUCAUUUUAAUUGAUGUAUUAGUGGACCUUUAGGUUAUAGUUUGGACAAAUGUGUCAUUGGCUUCAAGCAAUGACACGGUCCCAACAUGAUGAAAUUAAUGGUUUUUCGGUAAAAGUUCCCUAUUUUGUUCAAUCAUAAGAAGACAUGAAAUUAAUUCUAAAUAUUUGGUGAAACAACGCUCUUAAUAUUGUUGCUGCAUGAGCACAUUUGAGGCAUGAAAAGUCGUAAAUGUCUUUUCAAGUAUAUCUUUUUUAGUGAGUUUUUCUUCACAUAAUUUUAAUUGUGAGCUAAUUUUGAAUAAAGUCAAGUUGUAAUCAUUAACAAACUUGAAAUCUUAUAAUUUCAAGUGCAUUCGAUCAUAGCAUACUUUUUAAAGGAUUACAGUCUUUUGGUGAUCAUAUUGUUCCUCCAAAUUAUUCCAAAUGAUGAAAGGAUCCUUGAUCACAAGGUAUUCACCUUUUAAUCCUUUAUCAAUGGGAUGACAAAGAAAUAUUAAAGUUUUUACGCAAUCCUACAAGGAUGCGUCAUUUCCUUUUUUUUAAUAGUGUUUCUAAGAUUCAUUACAUCUAGAUGAAUUUUAGCAUUCAUAACCUUUUAAUCCUUUAUCAAUGGGAUGGUGAAGGAAUAUUAAAGUUUUGACAUGAUCGUGUAAGAAUGCGUCAUUUCCUUUUUUAAUAGUAUUUCCAAGAUUCAUUACAUCUUGAUGAAUUUUAGUAUUCAUAACCCAAGAUAAAUAGUUUUUGCCAGAAAUAUUGAGGGUAACAAAUUCAAGCUUUGCCAAUUUUGACAUUUUCUAAAAACUAUAUAUGCAAUAAUUUAAUUAGAAAAUAUUUCAAUUUAUCAAAAUAAAAUGUAAAAAAAUUAAUAAAAUUAUUUAACAAUAUUUCAUUAAGUAAAUAGUGUCUAAAAAUAUAAUGAUCUAAAAUCCUGCUAUAUUUUGUUGUCAAUUAUAAAUAUGGUCAAAAUACGUGAAUACGAAAUAGAAUUUAAAAACUAAUUUUUUUUUAUAACUGCAAGCUAUGUUUAUUUUGUUAGAAUAAAAAAAUGUACAAUUUAUAAAUAGCUUCAAAUUAUGAACUAUUCAUUAUGCAAAUUUGCACAUACCUUAAGGUUAUAAUCUAUUCAUUCUAUAGCUUUUAACCAUAUAAUGUUGUUUUAUAUAACUUUCAAUUAUAAAGUAUAAUUAAAAAGAAAUUAGGAAUCAUAUGUAUAACUUCUUACUAUAUAUUUGUAAUGAUGUAAUUUACCCCAUAACUUCUACUUAUGAGGAUUAUAUAUAUUUUUUAUAUAUAACUUCAAGUUAUGAUCUUUUUUCAUAAUUUUUUACUAAAAAAAAAACAUAUUUUCAAAAUAAUAUCUGCAUAUGUUUAUGUAUUUAUAUACGAUAAGCAAAAUAGAAAAUCAAAGUAUAAUUUUAUCACAUAUAAAUAAAAUAGAAAAUAAAAGUAUAGGUUCAUCACAUACCUUUCAUGUGAGAAAAAAGUUUUUCUGGCAGCAAAUUCAUCACUCUUUGUUAUCAAAAAGUUUUUCUAAGGGGAAUAUAAGUUGCUCGAGUUGAUCUUCAAUAAGUAGUUUAGUAUGCAUAAAGUACUUUUUCACGUCAAUCUCUCCUUAACUAAUCAACCAUUGUUUAAGAUAGAUUGUAGAGAGUUUUAUUGAAGUCUCAAUAAGACCAUUAACCAGUGCAUUACAUAUGGAAGAGUUGUAUUAUUGUUUGAAUUCAAAGUUUUCAUAUAAUUUGUGCAUCAAAUUGUUAUAGACAUUAUUUUCAUUAUUGGUAAGAAUUUAGUGAGGAACACUACAUAGAUGCUAGUCCAAAGGAAGUUAAUAGUUGUUUCAUUAUUAACUUCCUUUAGAGUCAGUUUUGCCCAUUUGAAAAAACAAUCUAUAGCCACCAAUACACAAAUGCCUGAUCAUAUGAAGAUUUUAGUCUAAUUGAUCAUAUGAAAUUAAUUAAGUCCUCAUGCAUCAAAGGACCCAAUGCCACCCUUGGAUGUAAUGGCUCUAAGGUAGUAUCUCAUUCUCUUUAUUUAUUUAAAAACGGAUUAUACCAUGUCUAGGCCAAGUAUAAGAGCUAUUAUUGGAGUAGUUUCUUGUAAGGUAAAACAAUACGGGACGAUGUUUCAUUUAGGAGUAACAAAUCCAACCUUGAUACUACUCACUCACAACAUAAUUAUUUUAUUUAUUUAAUUAUUAAAAUUUAUUUAUUUAUUUUGAAUCUCAUAUAGAUGAUAUGCGAAAAUUAGUGAUCGAAUAACUACAAUCAAAUAAUUUGUCAUACUUGUGCAAUAAAUUACUUUGUAAUAUUUUAUUAAUAAUUUAAUAAAGCUUUUUAACAUUUUUUUUAAUAUAAGAUCAGCAUAAAUGCCAACUGUUGUGACUUUCUGAAACGGGCCGAUUAUUCGGCCUGUCAUAGAGUUACUUUCUCUUUUCAGGUCUUUUGGGUUUGAUGAUUUGGAGUGGGUAUGAUAUGUAGAACACUUGAGAAAAAAAAAAAAAUUACGAUUAAGAAGAAAUUAGAAUAUCCACACAUGUACAAUCCACUAAAAGUCAACCUUGUCAAACAACAGUUGAGCACUGCGAAGUAGAAGGGUCAAGCACUGCAGGUAGGAGGUAUUUCCUGCUGUUUACACCCAGCGCAUUAUAGCUCGCACCGGUGCUGGAAUCCACCAACAGCUCUCCGGCGUAUCCCGGAUAAGCUCCUUUCCCAUAAAUUCCUGGGCAAGCUGAAGCCACCUCCAGAGGCGCCUCAGCUGAGCCCUGGAAAUAGCCGUUUCCAAAAGGGUUGGUUACAGUUCCGGCCAGAAGAGUCGCUAUAUUUUCGACCAUGCCAUCCAACCCCACGUCCCCGUUGGGUGCAAUCAGUGGUGUUGUCUGUGGUCCGUAGAUGGGUUGGUGGAAGGGCCACGCGCAUUGGCCAGGGCACUGAGUCUCCGAGUUCCCAACCCAGAUGAAGGCUGACCUCUUUCUAGCGUCCGACCCAUGAAACCCGCAGUUGCUCAUACAGAAGCCUUCAACUGCAACGUCUUUUGCUGUGAGAACCAGAGUUAACCCACUGGAUUUGGAGCUUACAGCACGAGCCAACUCGGAAAUCUGGGAUUUCUUGAGGGUUUUGCCCAUGGAACAGGACUCAUCUGAGAUUUGAUUGGACAGUUCAAUUUGGAUCUCCCUUUUGCCAGCCUUUUUCAAGUAGGUUUGGAUAGUUUUCCACCACUGCGAGGUUGAAGGUUUUUUAGAGGAGAGAUUCUCUGGUUGAUCAUGUGGGUCGAGGGAGAGAAGAAAGUCUGCAACAAUAGAUUUCUGAGCCGGUGAGAAUUGUCCGUACCAAAGAAUUGAUACUGGGAGAUGUCCUUCAAGCAAAGCGCCAUUAUGGUAUGUGAGAGCCAUGGGUGGUGGCUGGUACAAUGAAGUUAGCUUUCUUGCGCAGAAACACGGGCUAAUGAAGAACAAGUGAAAAAUAACAACGACAACAACAAGAGAGUGUGUUUUGAGGGAGAGAGAGAAAGCCAUUUCAGAGAUAAACUAAAGAGUGUUGAUGUUCGAAUAAAGGACAGAUAGUUUAAAAUUUUAGAGAGAAAGGUUUUGGCUUGAGUGGUGUGAGAGAGAGUCAGGGAGUGGUGAGAGUAUAUGUAGGCGGGAAGGUGCAUGCACCGUGCCGAUAAACUGCCCUUGUACCUUUCAUCACCAGCUUAGCAGAUAAAAAAAUUAGAGAGAUCACGAGAAUUUGGAAAGAUGAGGUGAACGGGGAACAUCUGGCAAGAAUCUCUCUCUGUGCGUAAAGUAUUUUUUGUAUAGAGAUUAGGAGACUCUGCUGACGCUUACAUCGAUUUCAUAGAUGGUAAUGUGGCAUGCAAGGAGGGAAGUACAACCGCGACUCUUAAUGGACAAAUGGGUGGAGCUAUGGGCUGCAUGUGUUUGGAGCUGUUUCCUAGGCAGUUUCACAUUUCUUCUUCAUUAAUUAUAAUCUUUUUUAAAAGAGGAUAACUCAGAUUAAUUCAAUUGAUUUAAGGGCACCCCAACAAUUAAGAGCAUGUCUUAGCCAAGAGAGAAAUGUCCCAUUUGUUCAGACUAAAGUUGUCCACAUCAACUUGGCUUUGUCUUCUAACAUCUGCCUGAGGGCUCAGGACCUCGUUGUUGUUGCAUAAUAAUAAGUGUUUUGCAGUACUGCUGUUGGGGAUUAUGAUUUUGGUGUUUUCAAAACUCAUGUGUCCAAAUGGAGGUAGCCCAGGUUCAUAUGUACUGUAGUAAUGAUCAGAAGUCUAUCCUCAUCUAACAUGCAAUGCACUUGCCCAUACAUCAUGGGCAUUCCGAAAGUUUAGGUUCAUAUUGCAGAAAAAAUGAUGGCAGGCACUAAGCUUGCCAUGCUCUUGUGGGUCCUAAUGUUAUGUCACAUGCCUCUCUUCAUUGGGAGUGGGUGGGGUAGCUAUAAGUUGGGUAUUCUGCAAUCAACCUGGGAUAUAUAAACCUAUAGCCCAUUUCCUAUAUGCAUGUAGUAUAGUUGAUUACACAGCCUAUCCUUUUGGAAUAGGCUUUAAACUCACCUAACCAACACGGAUUAAAUUUCAUCAGCAGUACAGUCCCCUUGGCCGGUCCGUCAAAGGGUUCCCCAUCAGAGCAGUUGAAUUAAAGCAUCUCAUUAAACAUUGUUAUGGUCAUCAUUUGAUUUGACCUUUGACCUAAAAGGUUCCUUCCCAAACUUUAGUUGGAGAAUAAUGAUGGAAAUCAGAUUAAGAUUAGGAUCAAUCGAAUUGGGAGUCAUAGGAAAAAUCUCAUGAAAACAAACUGACUUGUUUUAAUUAUCCACAUUUGCAUAUCACUAAUCUGUUCGAUCUACUCAAAAGAAAAUUCAUUUAAUUCUAAAUGCAUCCCAGCGAAUUGAGACAAUGACCACACAAUGAUCACAUGUAUUUUUACUUUUAUAGCAGUCACAAACACGCUCACAUGACCCUUUUUCUAGUGUGAAAGCCUGGUACUUGGUCGGCAAGCAGACUCUGGCAAGAAAAGUGGAAUCAUCCAUUUCUUAGAGGGCGUCCGAAAUCCAAAUAGACCGUGAAGCUUACAUUUCCCAAGCACCACUCGUGCAGCUUCAAUAUUAAACUAUUCAAACUUUCAUUAAUUGGUGAAACCAUCCUCGCAAGUAUAGAAAAUAUAUGUUGAACACAUCAACUAUCAGCAGACAGGCUGGUUGCUCGGAUCGAGUUUAUUGGAAGCUGGUGGCUUAGGAGAUUAGAGGGUGUCUUCUGAUGAUGCUACGAAUUUGAUAUUGAAAAUGUCACGAUGAUAGCUUUACUUAUUCAAUGGACGCCAAAUUCAUUAAGAAAAUGAUAGUCAAUUUGUCGCCCGUCUUCUACACAUGAUUUAUGAUCAAACGGCUUAAAUUUCAUGAUCAUGAGUCAUCAUCAUUAAUUACCCUUGAACCUAGAUUUUGAGCACUUUGAAAAUGCAGAAAUAAUGGGAAGAUUGACUGUGUGAGUGUAUUAUUGAUCUUCCAGGAAGGUGGGGCAUUGACUGUUUUACAAGCAUAUCCCACAAGGCUUGCUGCCAUCUUCUCAUACAGGAAUGAUUUUUUGGAAAUGGCUUUGAAGUGAAGGCAUCUAUGUUGAAUGGGGGACAGGAUAUACAGACCAUCCAUAUUCCUCCGGUCUCCUGCUUACCUGCAUCAAUGACUUGUAACUUCAAUAAUUGUUUUUUAAAUUUCUUUCUUCUACAAACAACUUUUUCCCUUUCUUAUAUUUGAGAAUUUGAAGAAUGUUCAAAACUAUUACCAAAAAUUACAAACUAUUAUGUUAUUUAUUCAAUAAUGUUGCAUGCAGGGAUGCCACCGGGUAUGUUUUUUUGGAUGCUUGUCCUUAAAAUUUAAAUAAUAAGUUGGGGACGGAUUUAUGAUUAUUUUUUAAAAUUGGGAUGGAUUCGGACAGGUUUAGAUAUUGUUUGUCCCACCUGCCUGAUUAUUUUUCAAAAUUAAUUUUAAAUUUUAAUUUAAUUUUGAUUUUCCCAUUUUAAAAAUAUAAUAAUAAUAAUAAUAAUAAUAAUAAUAAUAAAUUACUUUGUGAUAAAAUAAGGUAUAAAAAUUAUAAUAUUUUAAUUAUUUAUAAAAUAUAUUUAUUUUAAUGUAAUUUAAAAUUUUAAAUAAAAUAAAAUAAAAUAAUUUUACAAAAAAAAGUUAAAUAGACCUAGUGGGGCAGAAGAGAGAAAUGCAUACCUAUUUUGUCCAUCCCUUCUAUUUAAUUUUUUUAAUUGGACUGAAAUAGGAAUAAUUUUGAAUAAGGGGAAUGGAGUCGGGAUGGGAUGGCCGCCCGUUACCAUCCCUGGUUGCAUACUUGCAUGUAAAUGAAUAUAAGGCAAUAGCAGCAAUUCCCACACUCACCGAAUAUUUUUCAAAUAUUGGUUCAUCCUCUGCAUGUUGGUCAAGUCAGAAUCCUUUUCUUCUGUGUAUGCCCUGGCGCAGACACUUUAAAAUUUUUUAAAUCAUUCAAGGUCUGUUUGGUAGUUUCCAUUUUGGAAAACAAACAGUAUUUUUUUUAUAUCUAAACAUAUAUGGCCAUAGAAAUGAAAACAAACACAAUUUUUUCUUUAAUUAUUUUUUCCUUUUGAAAAAACUAUAUAGUCUAUAUUUUAUAGUUGAUACUUUCUUGAAUCUCAUCUCUCAAGAAAAUAUUUCUUUUGGAAAAAUAUGAGGAUAUCGUUAAAAAUUUGAAUUGUAAGACAUUCAAAAAUUUUCAUUUGAAUUAUUAAGAAUUUCUUAUAUGGAGAAGAAGACCACCAUUUAUAAUAAUACAUGAAUUAUUGGUUAAUUUAGAUGCUUAUCCAAUUAGCACCUCAAUUUUUCUUUGAGUUUGCAAUAAAUUAUAACUUUUAGUUGACCAAUGUAUUAAUAUGAUAUUAAAUUAUCAAUUAAUUUAAAAUUUUAAUUUAUUAGGUAAUUGAUUAAUAAUAUAUUGUAAAAUAAUGGAGAAUUUAUAGAAGCCAACCCAUCAAUUUUCACCAGACAAGCUGUUUUGCUUAGGAUUAUGCAAUAUCUUCCCAUAAUAAAUUAGAAACUAUUUGGAUGUUCAGCACUUAAUUAGGUUACAAAAAAUAGCUUAAUUUUCAUUGGCCGUGGAUGAAUCGCUUAUCAAUAAUUAGUCUCUGGAGCCUGAUUUUCAGUACUUUCAAUCAGAGAAAUAGCAAGAUUGACUCAGUCGAGAUAUUAGUUGUGUUAUUGUCCUUGAAUGAAGGGAGGGCAUGAACCCUCAACAUAUCCACAAGGCCUGCUUCCAUCUUCUCAUACAAAAAUUGAUCUGUAAAUUGCUUUAAAAUGAAGCAGUUAGGUUGAAUGGGGGACACGAUGUGCAGGCCAUUCAUAUUCUUCUGGUCUCCUCUUCGCCCGCAUGCAUGACUGGUAACUUCAAUUAUUGAUUUCCAUUAAUUCUUCUUGCGAUAUAUAUUUUUUUCCCAUCUCUUCUAUUUGAGGCUUUUAAGAGUACCCAUAGCUUUAGGAAUCAAAAUAAUUCAAAAACAAACAAACAAACAAACCCAUCCUUCCAUGUGAAUGAACAGCUUCCAUAUUCUUCCAGCUUCAAAUUGAAUUUUAGAUUCAAUUAAUUGAAAAACUAUGGCAUACUUUCAUGCCCAUCAGACAUCCAAGCAAGAAUGUAAUCUUGCUCUGAUCCAAAGGGAUGAGAAGAUGAGUGCAAAUGGACAAGUACAGCUACAAGCUCUCCACAUUACAGACAAAAAGAAUCCCUUAUGAGGUGAAAGUCAAGAAAAUGAGCAAGCAAUCUAGGCUUAGAUUCACGAGACACACCACCCGUGCCCCUACAAAGCCAUAUUAAACUGAGGAUAAAGCCUGCACCACCACCAGACACGGCGUCGAAUUUAAGAAGAGUAAUGCAAAUGGAUGCAUUAUCAAAACAUUUCAACGUUAUUAAUAUAUAGAGUUGAGAUAAGGUAGUUUUAUAAUCACAUGGAUUAAUUAGGAGUGAAUGCCUCGUGGCCCGUGGGUGCUAGCUUUUGGAUAAUGUUUUAAGAUAUCGUUGCCUGGCUCGUGAAUUCUAGGUUUUAGUCUUUUAGAUAGGGUGACGACUGGCCUCCGCCCUCCGCCCUCCGCCCUCAGCUCACCUUUCUCUUUACUUUGAUUUCCACCUAAUUUGUUUUUAUCAGGCACAAAUCCAAAGUCCAACUAAGAAGCUUCCAUUCACUAUGUCAAGCUAUCCAAUAUCAUCAUCAUAGAUUCAUAGCUUCCCUUGUCUAUUUCUUGGAAAAAUCUUUCAGGAUUUCAUUUAUUUUAUAAGAAAUUUAAUGUUAAAAAGUUGUAAAACAGUUUAAUAAACCAUACUUAAUUGCCACAAAACACCAUUCAUACGUCAUUCAUAUUCUAAUUAAAAAAAAAAUAAUUUCUUCACUGAGAAUUGAGAUUGCAAACAUUGUUUUGAUGAAAGAAUGUAAAAUUAUAUCGAAAACGAUGGGAUAAAUUUUUUUAUGCUAUUCUGAAAAUCAUUACCAUAUCAAAUUAAAAAUAUAAAUUUAAAUAGGAUUAAAAUUUUAACUAUGAGUAACUUUAAAUUUUCAAAUGUAAUUUGAGAAGUAAAAUUUAAUUUAAUAUAUUCAUUUGUAUAUCAAAAUUAGAAAAAAAUAAUCUUUCACAACAUGUUUAAAAUUUAUGUCUAAAUUAAAAAAAUUAUCAGGUACUUAUAAAUUAUUUUUCAAAUCAAUACUCCAUUUAAAUGAAUAUAAUGAAUUUGCUAUUUAUUAAACUUUCAUUUGGGUACAUUUUUAUAUUUUUACUUAAUUUCUAUCUAUAAAAUGUAGAAACUUUAAUAGAAAAAAAAUUACAAAUUUAUUUUUUGUUUUAAAAAAUUAUUUUUUAAAAUUCUAAAUUUUUAGAUGGUAAUUUUUUUUAAUACCUCACAAUUUCCAAUCAAUUUUUAGAAACCUUUUAAGAUUUUUUUUAAUAUUUUAUAUGUAAGUUACUAUUGUUUUUUGUUUUUUGUUUUUAAAUUACAUCUAAUACACUAACGCUCAUUUAGACGCAUUUCCUUCUUUUUUUUUUUUUUUUUUAAUGAUAAUAACUUUUACAACAUAUUAUAAUAGCUCCUAUGUAAAAGAUAUACACAUUUCUUGUGAUUUUUUAAAAUUUUGAGAUAAUAAUUUUUUUAGUGGCUCUAAUUUCAUAAACAAAUUUUUAAGUAAAUUUCUUGUUACAGAAGUUAUUAUUUUAUGUUUCUAAAAUAAAAAAUUGACAAAUGUAUCCAAAGUACUCAUUUACAAACUCCAUCUAUAUCAACAUUUGGAAUAACAAAAAAUAAAUUAAUCUGGGUCUUUUGGUCACAUUUUUAUUCUUUUAACUUAAAAACAAAUUUAAGAAAACAUGGUUAAAUGACCCAUGUUUUCCUUUUGAUUUUAAAAAUUGAUAAAAAAAUUUCUACUUAUUUUUAAAAAUUAUUUUUAAUUUCAUUUUUUUUAAAAAAAAAUUGUUUAUAAAGAAGAACAACCAAAUAUUUUUUUUUUUAAAUAAAGCUCUUUUUAAAUCACCAUGAAACAUGCUUUUAUUUACCACAAAAUAAAAAAACUUUUAAUUUCUUAAACAGUUUUUCAUUUAAAAAAUUUAUCCGUGUAUAAAUUUUGAAAUUGUUAGGAGCAAUGGCUUUUAAUCAUUUUGAUGACAUGCCCCAAAAUCUAAAAUUUUUAUUAAGCAAUUAAAAUAUCUCUGAGAGAUAUUUUUGUUCAAUGAAUCAAUGGAAUGGAGUGCAUGAGAAGAUAUUCAAAUGGUGUACAUGAGAAGACAUAUCAUGUUUGGUUCAAUGUUGGGGAUUAGAAAUGACAAUGAAACGAAUUGUCUCGUCCCGUCUCCAUCAUUCAAGCAUAGUAGUUUCAUUCCCACCCAAAACGCCAUCCUUACCCUGGACUACACAUCUUACUUACCCUCCACGCCUUUUACAGCUCAGCUCUCUCAUAGACAAUGAUUGGCAUCAUUAUUUGGAAAAGAAAAAGGCAGACAAUAAUCAUCGAGACAAAAAUUAAUAAAACAUAUGUUAAAAAUCCAACCUGUAAGGCUGUAACCCACCAAAAGUCCCUGAGAAGGUGCAGGGGAAAUGCUAGUAUGAUUUUGUGCACACAGUUGAUUGAGGAUUGCCAUGAAACUUAAUGUGUAAGUCAAAAUUCUAACCACUACGGAAAUAAAUCUUAAAUGGAAAAUGAAAAAUGAAAAAUAUUUGAAUAAAAGAUAUGUUUGGAGAAACAAGUCUAUCAUAAUUCUGCAUUGGUAGCAUUAUUUGGAAAAAAAUAUAAACCAUGGCUUAUCUUUUAUUAACCUGCAUUGCUCAAAGCAGUAGUAACCAAUUUUUUUUUCUUUAUUUAGAUUGGUCAAUUUUAAAUCUUGAAACACGUAGCCCCACACGUGACCAGCAAAAUGGCUUGGUACUAGGAAAAGCAAUUUGUGCCCAAAACGUGGGAGUAACAAAAUGGGUAUGAGACUUUUAGUUUUAGUCACUGGGGAGAGAAUUUUGGCAGCAACAAGUUUCUUCUUUCUUAACAUUACAGUCUUACAGAGUAAACUUAGGGCCAUGCUACCAGGGAGAGGCAAGGGAUUUGGCCCCAAAAUGUACGAUUUUUCUUUGUUAAAUCAAUGCAAACAACUAUCACCCAUUAAUUUUAAUGAGUGAAAUCAUUUUACUCCAGAAAUCAGAAGUUGCAAUAGAGUAGUAAUAGAAGGCGUUCAUAAUUUUGGGUUUAAAGUGGGAAGUUAAUUAAAAUUUGGGCAAAACGUGCUUACUGGGGGUAGUGGGCAAUAAAGAAGUGAAUAGAGGUGGUAGGGGAGCUGUCAUCCAGCUGGACUCUCAAAUGCAAAAAUGGGUAUUCGUUUAUCCCAACUCACAAGUCACAAGUCACGAGUAGUAUGUGAAUUGGCAAUGGCAGCUAAUGACUCAUGAGAAAUGGCAGAGCGCGUCAUCUCUCCUUCUCGCCUCGGAUGCUCACUGUCACACUGUUUCCCCACUCUUUUAUCAACCUCAAGGUCCCAAUGCUGACUGCCAGUUGGAUCGUCCGCGCUUCCCGAUAUUAUUUCUAUAUUGAGCCCCAAGCCCCUUCCAGCCUGUCACCUUUCCUACCUUCUCCAACGUCUCUCUCUGCCUUUUUUGCUUUUCCCAUUCAAUGCCCUUCACUCUCUCCACCGCUACGGCUCCACAGUACUCAUUCUGAGGCCUACUUUGGUCAAAUCAAAAGUCCUCUCAAACUGUAUCCAAGCUGUAUUUAGGUUUUGUCCUGUAGCUAUAAAAAUUGAAAAGGAAAGGAGAAACUGACUUUAACAGGGGCACUCCUCUGGAAACUUUUAAAAAAGUGCCGGCUGGCAUUGCCCUUUGUGUUCUUAAUGCAUACAAAAGUGCAAAUGGCUUUGUGAUUUUUCUGACUGGAGCGUGUUAUUUGGGGCCUCAGGUUUUUUAUAGAACCGCGUUGGAGAGUACCGUUGCCUCUCUCAAACUUCAACUGCCCCUUGCAUCUUUCUGAGCAGGUUCGAACGAGGCCCCACCGCACAGCCCACUCCUUCGAUUUAAAAUUGUGACACCAGACGGUCUAUAUAUAGAGACUCACACCCCUCUUGUCUCUACACAGACUCAAAACCACAUCAGCAGCCUCUCCUCCUGCUUCAUUUUCCUUGUCCACAACAUUUCUCUAUCUGCGUUCUAAAUAUGGUUUCUUUUAUCUCUAUACGCCAUUUUCUGCCAUUCCUCUUUGUGAUCUCUCUGUUCCAUGUGAGCUAUGCUGCGAGGAAGCUCAAUGAGCUGGUACAACAGCAGCCUCUGCUCUUGGAAUACCAUAAUGGCCCUCUCCUCUCUGGAAAAAUCUCUAUAAACCUAAUCUGGUACGGCAAAUUCAAGCCUUCCCAGCGGGCUAUCGUUUCAGAUUUCAUUACCUCCCUUUCUUCUUCUUCCCUGUCUCAGGACCAGCCUUCCGUUGCCACCUGGUGGAAAACCACAGAGAAGUACUACCACCUCACCUCCAAGAACCCAUCUUCACUCAAGCUCUCCUUGGGCGAACAAAUACUCGAUGAGACCUACUCGCUCGGGAAGUCACUCACAGGGAAGCAAAUCGUUCAGUUGGCUUCCAAGGGUGAACAAAUGAACGCCAUUAACGUGGUUUUGACCUCCUCUGAUGUGGCCGUGGAAGGGUUCUGCUCCAGCCGCUGCGGGACUCAUGGAUCUUCUUCGAGUUCCAAGAAUGUUCAAGUCAAGGGCAAGAACUACAAGUUUGCAUACGUCUGGGUUGGGAACUCUGAGACUCAGUGCCCUGGCCAAUGCGCCUGGCCCUUCCACCAGCCCAUCUACGGACCCCAGAGCCCACCGCUAGUCGCACCGAACAACGAUGUGGGUCUGGAUGGCAUAGUCAUAAACUUGGCUAGCCUCUUGGCUGGAACUGCGACCAACCCUUUUGGAAAUGGCUACUUCCAGGGUCCGGCGGAGGCGCCCCUAGAAGCUGCAUCGGCUUGCCCUGGGGUUUACGGGAAGGGGGCAUACCCUGGGUAUGCUGGGGAUUUGUUGGUGGAUUCAGUGACUGGUGCUAGCUAUAAUGCCCAUGGUGCCAACGGGAGGAAGUACUUGCUUCCUGCCUUGUAUGAUCCUUCUACAUCCUCGUGUUCUACUCUGGUCUGAAGCAGAUUAGUGUCUUGACGACAGAAACUUCGUAGAAUUUACAGGCCUUAGAAAAAUCCAGAGAGAUACUGUUAUUCAUUCAUUUAUUUGUUCUUCCCGUGGUAGUUUCAAUAAUAUCAAAGCAAAUUGGUUUGGUUUGCUUUUUUCACUUGAAUGCAUCUUUCCAAAUUACAAUGCCUCAACAUGAAUGAAUGAGGUGAUUUGUUGCAGUGUUGAGGAUAUUCCCAGUGAAAUGGGUUCUACUCAUUGAGAAUUACUUUAAUUACUCUUAUGUCCUUCCUUCUCAGUGGUUGUACCUGUGCCAGCGCUUAAAGCCGUGUGCAGUAUGUAUAAAGGCGUGGCAUAUGGAAUUUUAUCUCUUAACAGGGUAUUGGAUCACAAGCACCCCCAACACAAUCACGGGAUUGAGGCGAAAUAGACAUAAUAGCAUCCUCCCACGUAGAAAUUGUUGACUUUGAUCCUCAAACAAGAAAUUGUUAAUACCUAAAUAUAAGAUUCUAACAAUUUUAAACGGAUUUACAUAAUUAAGAAAAAUUUAUACAUAAUUAAAAAACGUUUAGUCACGUCUAAAAUUUCCCGUUGGAUAGAAUUAUUAUUUUAUCAAGAGCUUUCAUACAAUACCAAUGCCAUUUAAUGUGCCGAUAAUAAUAACAUUAUCUUAGCAAUGUAUAAUAACAUUUGGCACUUUCAUCUUUACGUUUGCCUUAAUGAGUAAAUUACCAAUUAAAAAUAUUGCUAAGAAGCUCUAAACGGCAUUUUGCAUUGGAGAUGCUCUAAAACAUGUGUUAAUCACACAUUUCUAAGUCUCUUAACUCUGGAUCUACUUCAUUAAAUCAGGAAUUGUGAGGUUACCAUUAAUAGUGAAAAAUGAGACACACACUUCCCAAUUAUCUUACUAUUAUAACCUCGGAUUCUCCGCCGGCUUGGCUGAAUCUAAGUACUGGGUGUGAGGGUUUAUAAGUGGAUAUACUCAAGGCAACUAAGCCUUUUUUUUUUUUUUUUUUAUGAAGUGAGAUCUUAUACUUUGAAAAGCAUUGGAAGAUCAACUAAAUCUAUUUUUCUACGGAAGAAGUGAGAUCUUAUAUAUAUAUAUAUAUAUAUAUAUAUAUUCUUGUUUUGUAUAAGUGGAUAAUUUAUUUUCCUAAGAUAAUUUAUUCCUAAGAAAAUCUUACUUCAAGUAUUUUAUGGAAUCUAAAAAUUUAAAAUUUUUAUUUUUAUUUAUAAUCUAAAUGUUAAAUAAAAUUUUAAUAUUAAUUUUAUAAUUUUAUACAAAUUUAUGAUUUCUCAUUUUAGUAAGGGAAAUUUUUUUUAAAAUUAUAUAAAUAUGAAUUUUUCUUCAUUAUUUAGAAGCCGUUAAUGUUCUUUUGACUCACACGCAUAUAAUAUCUAUCCGAUUAAAAUUGCACCAUUAAUAUGUUUGUAAUAUCUCAUGUUAAUGUUCUUUUGACUCAAACGCAUAUAAUAUCUAUCCGAUUGAAAUAGCACCAUGAAUAUGUUUGUAAUAUCUCAUAUUGAUCGGGGAAAAUAGAAGAUAUUUUUUUAUGCAAACCUCCACAACCCGCUUAAAGAACGAAGAAUCGAAACCAUUUAAUGUACGCGUCCGGACAGAUAGUAAUGGAGCAGAGCCAUUUCCAUUUCUCUUUCUUCAGGUAUGCACUAACCAGGAAGCACCCAACUUUCUCCCUUCCCAUUUUCCUUGUUGGAGUCAGCUGUCUUCAGUGUCCGUAUCUAGUUUUUGUUCCGCUAUCACACUCCUUUUUGUUCCGCUAUCACACUCCAUCUAGUUAUGUGCCAUAAUUCCCUUUGUCAUAUUCUGACGGAAAAACCAAUUAAAUCCUUAAUCAUCAAGCUAAAACAUUUGUUCUUUGAAACUACAAAUUUAGGCUCUAUGUGGACCCCGCAUUUCGGCUUAAUGCGUUUCCCACUCGAUGACGAAACUCGAUUUUUAUUUGAAAAAAAUUGAUUUUUAUUGAUUAAGAAAAAUGACUUGGAGUCGUCACUUAUUUUUGUUUUAUUUUUAAAGGGUAAACAAAAUAAGAAAGAAAAACCCUAAGUGUAACUCCUUAUUUUGGAAAAGGUGGUCUGUGAAAAACCGGAUCGGGUUCGGGGGUUAGGUUACUUAUCGGGAAGGUACGGUAAAGACCAUAGCACCCCUCUAAGUCCCUAAAAACGGGUCUCUACUAAUAAAAUGAAGCUAACAUGGCAACCAAUGAGAAAGUCAAUGAAUACUCAAAUCGAUCAUGCACGUAUGAGUAUCAGAAUAUGCAAUAGAGGAUAACCGAAGUGAAAGUGGAUGCGUACCUGAUCAGCAAACGGCAACGCGCUGAAAGAACCCUUUUCCAGUAAGGCUCUGUUUAGCUGUCAAUGCCUUCAAUCCUCCUCCAAUGUCGACAAAGCCAACCAGCUUACCCUUCUGAACAGCACCCCCUCCUCCUGCAGCUCCAAUGAACCCCUCCGAAGCUCCCUUCUCCUCUCCAGCUCAAGAGAUCACUCUCUCAGCCAAAAGAUUUCUCCUCUGCCCCAAAAACUGCAAAACCCCCACAACCUUCCAAAAGCAACCUCACUUUCUCAGAAUCCUUCCUCCCUUCCUGCCUCAAAAUGACUAAACAAAAGCUCUCCCCUCAAAAGAUCUCUGCAGCCUCCAACUUCUCUCUCCCCUCGUUUUUCCCCUCAACCCUCCGUGUCAAGAUAUCUUCACCUCUUUUACUAAAAGCCCAUCUCUGAAAAGCAUCUCCCUCUCUGAAAAAAAAUCCCCAACGGCAGCCCAGACCCCUUCUCCUGCAGCUGGCCUGCUGCUCCUCAACAGAAACGUACCUCCUCUCUAACGGCCAGAAUAUCUCCAUGCCACGUGUCAAACUCUCACUCGCUCCUCAAUUCCACCAUCUGUUUCUAUGACCACCAACCACGAGGCGACACGUGGCUCCUUGAGAGCCCUCCACCUGCAAAGAAUUAUAACCUGUAGAGAUGCAAAGGAAUGAGCCCCAAAUGGGGGUCUACACUCUAAUAUUAAAAUUUAUUUUUAAAAUAAAAAAAUAGAUACUAUAUCUAUUAAUGUUUAUUACUUAUUUUUAAGAGUUUUGGGUCAAAAUGGUCAUUUUAAAAAAAAAAAAUUGUAACAUCUAACCACUCUUUGAAACUUAUGUUCAAAUUAGGCUCUUUGGUACCACGUAGACGCCGUCUUCAUUAAAAAAUAUUUUUUUCAUCAUUUUAGUUAAAGUCGCAGUUGAUAAUCGCGAUUUCAUUUUUGAACUAAAGUCGCAGUUGGCAAUUGUGGCUUCAUUUUUAAACUAAAGUCGCAGUUGACAAUUGCAGUUUUAUUUUUGAAAAAACUGUAGUUGUCAACUGAGACUUUAGUUAAUUUUUUUUUAAAAUUUAAAAUUUAAUUAAAAAUUAUUAAAUUACAAAUUUAUGAUUGAAAAAUUAAAAUAUACUUAAAUAAUAAAUUAUUUAUAUUUAAAUUUAAAAAUCUAGUAUUACUUCAGCAAACAUAAAUUGAUAAAUAGAAUAUAUUAUAAAUGAAUAUUUUAUUUAUUAAUAAAUUAAUAAUCUUAAAAUAAUAAACUUGUAUAACAUAUAAAUAAUAUAUAAAAUUGUAUAAUUUAUUAAUUUAAGAUAUUUAAUUUGUUGUUUUUUAAAAUAUUAAUUUAUUUGUAUUAUGAUAAAUUUAUCUUUAUCGAAAUAAUUGUAUACUUUUAAGCUGCAAUUGAUAACUAAGAUUUCAAUUAUAAUUUUUUUUACUUUCAAAUUUAAUUAAAAACUAUUAAAUUACAAUUUAUGAUUGAAAUUUAAAAAAUAUACUUAAAUAAUAAAUUAUUUAUAUUUAAACUUAAAUUAUUUAUAAGAACAUGUUCAUAUUUAAAUAUAAAUAAUUUAUUAUUUAAGUAUAUUUUUUAAAUUUCAAUUAAUUUUUAAUUAAAUUUGAAAGUAAAAAAAAAAAAUUAUAAUUGAAAUCUCAAUUAUCAAUUGCGGGUUAAAAGUAUAUUAUUAUUUUGAUAAAGAUAAAUUUAUCAUAAUACAAAUAAAUUAAUAUCUUAAAAAACAAAAAAUUAAAUAUCUUAAAUUAAUAAAUUAUAUAAUUUUAUAUAUUAUUUAUAUGUUAUAUAAGUUUAUUAUUUUAAGAUUAUUAAUUUAUUAAUAAAUAAAAAUAUUUAUUUGUAAUAUAUUUUAUUUAUCAAUUUAUAUUUAUUAAAGUAAUACUAGAUUUUUAAAUUUAAAUAUAAAUAAUUUAUUAUUUAAGUAUAUUUUUAAAUUUUAAUCAUAAAUUAUAAUUUAAUAAUUUUUAAUUAAAUUUUAAAUUUUUUUAAAAAAUUAACUAACAGUUAACAAUUACGACUUCAAUUAAAAUGACGAAAUUUUUUUUUAAUAAUAUAAUAUUUAGGUGUUACCAAAAAAAAUCAAUUUGAACAUCAUAAGUCUCAAAGUGGCGGAUGUUACCAUUUUUUUUUUUUAAGGUUCAUUUUGACCCAAAACUCUAUUUUUAAAAUCUGGUUUUCAAAACAAUCAUGGAGGAUGAUGAGUUGUUCUCCAAAGACGUUCAAAUAAAUGUAUUUAUAAUUUAGAAAAUGGUAAAAAAAAAUAACAAAAUGGAAGAAAAAUAAUAAAGAAAAGAAAAGUUUGACGAUGAUAAAAAGUCACCCCUAGGCUCUUAAUGUCCUUAGCUGUAAACGUAGGGUUUUUGAUUUUUCACAGCGAAAGACAGAUCCGCACUCAACCAGAUUAAUUUCGAACGCGCUAUUGAGUAUUGAGCUGGCAUUUGCUUCGCUUUUCGCCUUUUCCCUUCCUUCUCGGCACUUUCAUUCAUACCCUCCCCCUCGCUCCUCUCACGCUGUUGGUCACACUCUCCCCACUGCCUAUUUUACUAUAUAUAUGAAACCCCCAAUUCAUCUUCUCCUCACUCCAAAGUUCCAAACCCCCACCAAAGCCAUCUAUCUCUACAGCUUAGCUUCACUGCACUCUAAAGUCCUAACUACCAUGGCAUCUUUCGUUCCUACUCAAUGCCUUUUACAACUCCUCUUUGUGGCUUCUCUGUUUCCAUUCAUCUCAGCAGCCAGGAGACUUGCUCAAGACCAGCAACCUCUGCUUCUUCAAUACCACAAUGGCCCUCUUCUUUCCGGAAAAAUCUCCAUUAAUCUCAUCUGGUACGGAAAGUUCAAGCCUUCCCAACGCGCCAUUGUUUCUGAUUUCAUUACCUCCCUCUCUUCCUCCAAAACCACCCCCCACCAACCCUCUGUUGCGGCGUGGUGGAAUACCAUCGACAAAUACUACCUCCUCAUUAAGUCCAAGAAAUCCACCUCCCUCGGUCUCUCCCUAGGCACCCAAAUCCUCGACGAGAACUACUCUUUGGGUAAAUCACUGACCAGUCGAAAUCUCAAACAGUUGGCAGCAAAGGGGCAGCAGAGCAACGCCAUUAACGUAGUCUUGACAUCUUCUGAUGUAGCCGUUGAAGGGUUCUGCUCCAGCAGGUGCGGAACACAUGGGUCUUCUCCCAGCUCCAAGACUGCUAAGGUUAAUGGCAAGAUCUCCAAGUUCGCAUACAUCUGGGUGGGUAACUCCGAGACUCAGUGCCCAGGUCAAUGCGCAUGGCCAUUCCACCAGCCCAUUUACGGACCCCAGAGUCCACCCCUGUCCGCACCCAACAACGAUGUGGGUAUGGAAGGUAUAGUUAUGAACCUGGCUAGCCUCUUGGCUGGAACUGUUACGAACCCCUUUGGAAAUGGAUACUACCAAGGUUCCGCAGAGGCUCCCCUGGAGGCUGCAUCGGCUUGCCCUGGGAUUUAUGGGAAGGGCGCGUACCCUGGCUAUGCCGGAAAGCUGUUGGAGGAUCCCACCACAGGUGCUAGCUAUAAUGCCAAUGGUGUGAAUGGGAGGAAGUACCUGCUUCCUGCAUUGCUUGAUCCUUCAACUUCCACCUGUUCUACUCUGGUCUGAUAGACUGAUACUACUAUGCUUCUCUAAAUUCAUUUAGUUGUAUAGCACGGAGAGGAUAAGCGAUUCUUUGUUUGUAUUUGAUUAAUUACCAUUAUGUAUUCUUUUUCCCGUCUGAAUAAAUGAAAUUCCAAUGUUUUCUUUCAUAUCCAAACCAGCUCAGCCUUCCUCUGAUAUUUUUUCUUCACAUCCCAAUCCCAAUCCCAACAAAAGCCGCACUGCGCCCUCCUCUGCUAUUCAAACUCGUCUGUGGUCAAAAUCAUUAAUGAGAUCCACCAUUGGAGAAAGCUUUAUAAUAAGGAAAGUUUUAAGCAAAACCUUUAGGACAUGGAAUGAUCUGCUGCUUUUCUCGUCCUAUAUUUUUAAUUUUUAAUUUAAGACUUGAUUUUCCAACCUCCUCUACAUGCCAUCAUUAUUUAUUCUGAAGUUGCAAUUGAAAGAAACGUUUAUAGCACGUUUUGCAGGAAUAUUAUUAAUAAUUUAACUAUGUAACAUUCUCAAAAGGCAGUCUAAGAAGAUGUAUACUUCCAACCUUGGAUUUUGUCACAAUUAUUCAUGGCCCGGCCUCCACAUGAAAUUCUAAUAGAUGUUCAAUAAUUCAAACGGAAAUGUGCAAUAGAAUAUGUCAACCCUUCAAUGUGAGGAUGGUUUGGCUAAAAUUUUAGCUUAAAUUAAGAUUUUAGAGAAUAUAACAUCAUAAUUUUUUUUCAUGUUUGUCGUAAGGAAGAUAUAAAAAGGGCCUUAUCACGUUUGUGAUAUAAAUUUUCUAAUUUAAUUUGAUAAUUUCUUUUUUCUCAUGAAAAAAAAUUUCCUCAGAAUGAAUGCAAGUUGGUUUUUGAGAUAACAAUACGUUGGCUAGAUGUGUAAUAUAUGAAAAAUUAGAAAAUAAAAUAUUUAACAAAUUUUCUCCUGUUAAUUCAACAUUUCUCAAUAUUUUUAUAAAAUUAAAAUUAUUAUUUUUAAAAUAUUAUUUAUAAAUCAAUUUAAAAUAUUUAAUAUUAUUAUUCUAUAACAAAAUAACCUAUUAAUUUUUCUUUUUAACUUUUUAAUACCUAAUAAAAAUAAAAUAUUAAAUCAACAAACUACUUAAUACUAUUUAAUUAUAAAGUCUAUUUAAAAUUAAAUUCGAAAAAAAAAAAGAAAAUACCAUCUUAAUCAUUUCGAAUCAAUUCUCCAAAUUAGAUUUUGAGGGCUUAAUUUUUUAACAUAGCAUCAUUUGAAAUUUUGAAUCGAUACAACUUUUAUAAUAAAUAAGUUUUUGGCUAAAAAGAGUAUAUAUAAAAAUAAUUUAAUUUCACACCGUCUAUGUAUCUUUGUAAAAAGUUACUUUAUAAAAGUAUUUGAUUCUUAACUUAAUUUUUAGAAAAAGCUCCUUAAUCACGAAUCUCUCAUUUUUUAUAUAUUUAAUAAAUUUGUUUUAUAAAAUUUCUUGAAUUGUUUGAAACAUAUGCUAUAUGAUUUCAAUGAUAUUUAAAGUAAAACCUUGAUCAACUAACUUUCUAGAAGACAUAAAUUUUUUAGAAAUCUAGAACUUUAGGUGUAGCAAUAACAAAGAUAUUUAAGUGGCAUACAAGUCAGAUUGUUUUUGAGGAGUUUCAAACUUCAAAUCAUAACCGGUCCAAAUGUUAUACAUUUGAGCAGGAAACAGAAAGACUGUCACUAAUUUGGGGUGUUAGUUUAGCCAAAUUAAGCUAGGGCCAUAAGAUGUUUGGGACCACCUCGAUUUUAAGUCAUUUUGCCAACAACUAUGGAGGCAUUAACAACUAACUAGGCAGGCCGGACCCUUAUCCAUUUCUAUAAAAGACAUCAUCUGUAUGGCUACCGACCUAAAUUUAUUGCAUGCCAAAUGAACAAAUUUCAUACCCAAUAAUCACAUGUAACUUCUAAUUAGCUGGGUGUAAUUGUUUUGUCAUUAAAAUUGCUGUCCCGGUCCCAUCACAUGGUGCGAAUACAUCGUGAUUUGUUAACUUAAUUGGAAAUAUUACAAUCCAAACAACUAAGAUUGUGGGUAUUAAUGGAAAAUCCAAUAUUGCAAUGUUGAUGGUUGCAACUUGCAGCUUGGAUCUUAUACUUAUAGUCUCACACUUGUUUCACACGUAGUCGAUAUGAUCAUGAAUAACGGGGUCCAUCCCCUAGGGCCCCGUGAUAACAACAGAGCACCUAAAAAUUAAAAUGGUGUGCAUGUAGCCGCCGCCAGGAAAACCAUGCCAGUGUUCGGAAUAAUUUUGGCUUUUGUGUCUUUCAAGCUAGCCGCUUCUCCAGAGAGAUGGAAGCACGGUAUCGAUCGAAUCAAGUGGAUCAGGGCCCGGAGUUUUAAAUGGCGCACACCGAUGUUUUGAGCCAUCUAAAACCAUGAGCAUUAUUGAUUCCUUGAGUUAUUUAGAAAAUGGGGAUGUGCUUUCAGCAUAUACAAACUCACCUGUGACUAUCUUACUCUUAAAGCAAAUAAUCACGGACGAGUGCUAACCCUAGGAUCGUUAUCUUCACAUGCAAGGAUUACCUACUUGUUAUUCCCCCUGUCCCUUGACUUUGGGUUUUAUAUUUUUGGACGAUCAGAAAGAAGGAGACACCUACCCUUGAUAACCACGUCAUCAGACACAACCUGGCGAAAACUGCCACGCGUUUGACACUAAAAGUGGUCAAUUAAUCAACGCGGCACGAUUUCAAUGUUUCUUCCAUCACCCCCUUUUGGCCAGCGCCACACGCGCACGCCAUGACGACACUACCUUUCUAUGACUAUAAGUAUCGCAACAAUCGAACUCUUCCUUCACACUCAUUCCUCACCAAUCCAGCUUUUCACACUCUCUGCAUCACCUUCACCCCACUACUUUACCUUCUCAAUGACUUCUACUUACCAUUUCUCCAUCUUUGUUUCACUUCUCCUACUCUCCUUCCUUCUCAACCCCACCUCCGCCACACCUCGAAAACUCUUCUCUCUUGUUCAAGAGCAACCUCUCAUUCUCAAGUACCACAACGGGCCACUCCUUAAGGGCAACAUCACCCUCAAUCUCGUUUGGUACGGAAACUUCUCCCCCAUCCAACGCUCCAUACUCGUCGACUUCCUCCAGUCUCUCAAUUCCCACACCACCACGCCCCACUCCGUCUCAUCGUGGUGGCAGACCAUCCAGAAGUACAAAGGAGUCUCCUGCACCCUCGCCGUUGGGAAUCAGAUCCUCGAUGAAGACUACUCUCUAGGGAAGUCAUUGCGAAGUUCAGACAUCAUUUCCUUGGCUUCUAGAUCAAACCAAAGGAGCGAAAUAACCGUGGUGUUCACGUCGGCAGACGUGGCGGUAGAAGGGUUCUGCAUGAGCCGGUGCGGGACUCACGGGUCAACUCAGAGUAAGUGGGCCUACGCGUGGGUGGGUAACUCGGAGACUCAGUGUCCGGGUCAGUGCGCAUGGCCAUUUCACCAGCCCAUGUAUGGACCACAGACUCCGCCGCUGGUGUCUCCAAACGGGGACGUGGGAAUUGACGGAAUGCUGAUCAAUUUAGCGACUGUUUUGGCGGGAACGGUGACUAAUCCGUUUGAUAACGGCUACUUUCAAGGGUCGGCUAGCGCGCCGUUAGAGGCGGUGACGGCUUGUACAGGUAUAUUCGGGACAGGAGCUUAUCCAGGAUAUCCCGGCGAAGUUCUGGCGGAUGGAACGACUGGGGCUAGCUAUAAUGCUGUUGGGGUGGAUGGGCGUAAAUACUUAUUGCCGGCGAUGUGGGACCCUCAAACCUCCACCUGCAAGACAUUAGUCUGAAGCCUGAACCUAAUGGAUGAUUUGUGUUCUGUGUGGUACCAGCAAUUGUUUGUUUGGAGGAGCUUUGUACUCCCAGCUUUGAAGUUUGUUCUUUUUUUUCAUCAACCUUAUCAUAUGUAAAUGUUUAUGUAUCAUUAAUUAAAUUUGUUUCAUUAGUCAACCAAUCCUCUGUCUCCUUUGCCUUCUAAAAAGUUUCAAAUUUUUUCUAACAAUUUUGGGUCAUUAGGUUUAGGUGGAAGUUUCAAGUUGACUAACCAGUUAGCUUCUGGAUUUAACUUAACCCCAUAUUAAGCUGAGGAACCAAUCUGGUUUUAGCACAUGUGCAUUGAUUGGUAUUCUUUAUAAUGGAAUGUAACUGCUUUCUUUUUUACCCCAUGAGAAGAUUUCACCAUAUUGUCCUCCAUUCUUGCACACAACCGUAUCAUCUGACUGAAUUUUCUAUGAAAUAAUAAUUAUUUUGGUUUUUUUUUUUCAUUUUUCUUUUUUCUAACACAUAUAAAGUAAAAAAAGAAAAAAUUAUUAUUAAAAUAAAUUACAAAAUUUAUUUAUAAAUUAUAUUUAUUUUCAAUAGAAUUAAAUUAAAAAAAUUAAAGAGAUAGGACGAAACCGGAAAUUCUCAUAUUUGUUUCAUUCGAAUCUUUUUAGGGAUAGAGUAACAAUUCUGUUGUCGCCUCGCGUAUCCGGUGGUCCACGUUGCUGCUAUAUGGAUGGACACGUGAUUCUCAACACACAAGGGGUUCUUGAUUUAGUGGUUGCACCUGCAAAAGGCAUCCGGACAGGGUGUCCGGACGCACCCUCCGAUGGUAUUGUUAGCCAUGGUUAUUUUAAUUGACCAUCCAGACGAUUUAUAUCCGGAUGGCUCAUGCUGAUCAUCCAGAUGUGUUGUGGAGACCAUCCGGAUGUCUACGCUCUGCCUGCGUCGUUUGCUCUUCCUUGGAUAGGGCUUGGCUUUCCUUGAGGUGGUCCGGAUAGGAUAACUGCACCAUGCAUACCUUUAGGGGAAUCCGGAUGAUGAUGGUCCGGAUGAUAAUAUGUGCCACGCGUCACCAUGAACUACGUGCCACGUGUUUCUCAAGGGGAGGGGUCCCUACAUUGCCCCCCUUUUUAACUUGCCUAUUUUGCCCGAAAAAAUGGGCGGGUUAAAAAUAACUGGCUUUUGAAAUUUGAAGAGGUCCCUUCGUUUGACUAGGCCACGUGGCGAGUGGCGGUGCGGAAGCCAAAAAAGGCAUUUAUGACGAGCCGCCGACCCUGUGUAUCCCCAGACAAUAUGUCGUUUCAAUGAUAUCAUGGCUGUUGGUUUGCCUUUCCGAGGGGCUGUCCUGCUAUAAAUAGGGCACUGUACCUCUUUUUGCAAUUUUUCCUACUGCAUUCUCUUGAGAGCCUUUCUUCUUACUGCUUUUUCUGCGCCCUUUGCUUCUCUGAGACAAACUUCGAAAGCUCUUUUGCACCGGUGUUUUUGUAUCGCGACUUUGUCUGUUUGCUGCUGGUGAUUUUGUAUCGAGGUAGUAACCGUUCUUCUUCUUCGGAGCUUUAUUUGGUACGUACGUCUUUGCUACUGUCACUCCUUUGGUUGCGUUUGCUGGUUCUUUAAUCUUGGUUUUUGGCUUGCUUGGGCAUUGUUUUGGACAGGUCGCUUGCAAUUGUUGUUGAAUGUUGGUAUUUUGCUGAUGUUCGGGGGUGUUUUGAGGGGUUUUUCUGACUGCUUUGGGUUAGGGUUUGUGUAUUUUCUAACUGCUUGGUUUGAACCGUUGCAUUGCUUUUGUAUGUAGGUUGUGGUUUAGCUUUGUGGUACGAAAUGGCUCCAAAAAAGACUGUUUCAUCUGUCCGGGUUAGCGAAGCUAGCGAAAAGGCGAUAGACAAAUUAAAUGCGAAGGAGUUCCGGGAGCGAUUCCGCAUCCCCCAUGACGUAUUGAUAGACUUGGUGAACGAGGAGGCGGCUAUGCCUACUGAGAAAGGUGGAAAAAACGUUAUCCUCUUCACAAAGGAACAAUUCAACGCGGGGCUCCGGUUCCCUCUGCCGGCGUUGUUCAAGGAAUUCCUCCACUUCUCUCAGAUUCCCCCCAUCUUUAUUCAUCCCAACCUUGUCCGGGUGCUGAUGGGAUGCAGCAUCAUCAACAUGCUGUACAGCCUCGACCUGACGCUACUGGAAGUGUUCUUUGUCUAUUCCCUGAAGAAAGCAAAGACUGAUAUCUUCAGUGUGUCCGCGCACCUGCCCUCCCUUCAAAUGGUAACAGAGCUGUCAGAUUCAACAAAGGGAGGGGCGAGGGGGCUGGUGGCAGUCCGGGGUGGAUGGGCGGGGCUAUCGCAGCAUCCGUCGAGGCCUUUUUCUCCAAAUUAUACCUUAAAAAUUCCGGGUAAUCUUGUUUUGCGAUUUUUUUGUCCGGAUUUUGCUUUGCUGACUUUUUGAUUUUUCCGGACGGAAUUCUCACCUUUUGUUGCUGUUAAUGCAGGUCUGGAAUUGAGGGGCCACCUUGUGGAUUGGGUGGAAAAGGCGUCCUUUGCCUGCGUCUGCAAAUUAUUCGAAAUAGAUCCCAAGGAGAGGGCCUACAAAACAUUGCUCUCCGCGCAGAAUUUGAUAGAGGUCGUCCGGGAGCCCCAGGAAUAUGUUAUCAAUAUUCUUCCUAGGAAACUGGCAAAGGAUGAGAUAGUGCAUGGGGAGCAUUAUACAGUGAAGGAGCUCCCCCUCUAUCAGGAAGCUAAAGAGGCUGACGCUGAAAGGCGGCGAAAGCUCCUGGAGGAUAGAGAUCAGAAAAAAUCUGAAGGCACUAUCCGGAAGGCUCCCGGACAGAAGGGGGGGCCGGACCCUCCUUCAAAGAAAAUUCCAGGCAAGAGGGGGAAGCUUGUGAAGAAGCAUGGGAAGGAUGUGAAGGAACCCACUCCUCCCAAGGAGUUUCCUUCUCCACAAACUACCUAUGAGGGGGAAGUAAUGAUAGAGGAGCCAGUAAAUGCUGCUCCGCACUCUAUCUCAAGCGGCCCCGGACGCAUGUCGGGGUUAAAUCAUUCGGGUCCUUCCUUAGUCGCGGCUGCGCGUCUGGCUAACGUGGCUGAGGAAGCUGCAUCUAUCAACCAUCCGGGCAACCUUAAUCCGGAUGCUGAUGCAGCUGAAACGACCCCGUUGGAGGAAGCGGGGGCAGAAAGCCAAAGUCAGCCUUCCGACGACCCGGAUCGCCUGGCCAUAGUCCUGGUGAAAGGGCCUCCUCUCAAGAAGCCGCGUUUGACGCGCGAUCUACAGUCCGGACUGUUUGAGCGGCUUCAAGAGCGGCAGCAAGAGAUUGAAAUUAGCUGCGCUUCUGCCCAUGACGCUCAUCCGGAUGGAGGCGAGGUGGAGAUGGCUACUGAGACCUCAGCCGCCCCGGCAAUAAUUCCGGAUGAGGAUGCAUCCGGACCUAUGCGUCCGAACGAAGAUAUGGGGGUUCCGAUUCCGGGACAAGAGUUACCUUCUGCUUCCUCCUCUGAGGAGGAAUCUGCUGACGAUGCCGCUCCUACUAGCCCUUUCAGCUACGCGGAGUUGGAAGUUAAGUUAAAGCAGAUUACUCCUGACUGGAAAGCCAUCAAGCCCUCUGCUAAGAUGUUUGAUAUGAUAGAAACGGUACACCGUUGUCUUGUGUUUUUGCUUUUUGACUUUUUGUUGCACUGGUGUGUUUGUUGUAGUAUAAUUUAUGUUUCUGCUUUUCUUGUUUGCGUGUCAGCUGGUGAGGGGCCUCCGCAGCAUGUCUCAACAACACGAUCUUUUUACUCAGUUGCUGCAGACUGCAGACUAUAUGAGGACCUUCUCCUCUCGGCGCCAAGAGAUUGAAAAUCAGCUGCGUCUGAGAAUGGAGGAGGCUGAGGCCAAUUUAUCCACCAUGCGAGAGGAAAAUGAAGCCCUCCGAGCGGAGCUGGCUGAGGCGAAGAGUCGCGAAGAAUCAACUGCGGGUCGCCUAUAUGAGGUGGAGGGUGAGGCAGCCCGGCUGAGGGAUGAAGUGAGUCAACUCCGGACCGAGGUAUCGAAUGAAAAGAAACAGAAGGAAGACUUGCAGCUGCGCCUGGAUGUGCAAAAAGAGGAACUUGAACGGGAGUUUGCUGUGGAAAGGGAGGAACUUGCAGCGGACUACCAGCAGCAAGUGGAUGAUACGUUUAUCUUUGGGUAUCGCUGCUGCAUGAAGAAGAACGGCAUUAAGCGAGAUACCCCUUCAAUUCCUCCGGGUGAAGAAAAGAAGCUAUAUGAGAAGCCCGCUCCCUGAUAGUUAUCUCUUUUUGCAAUUUUUCUGCUGUAAUUUUUCCUUCUGUCUUUUUGUGGUCCGGAGAUCUCUUUGUAAUUACAUUUAUUUAUAUCAAUAAAAAUAUAUUUCUUUCUCAUUUGCACUUGUGUAUACUUUUUACUGAUAGUACUGCUUUAAAUUGGACACAUUCCAUGGUCUGAGUAACGGAGUGCCAUCUAGCUUUUGUAAAUGAUAGGCUCCAUUUUCGUUUGCCUUAGACACUAUGUAGGGUCCUUCCCAAUUGGCUUGGAACUUUCCCGCGCCUACUUCAGCAGUAUUUUCAAAAACUUUUCUAAGUACUAGCGUACCAUUUUUGAAGUUUCGGGGCUUGACUUUUCGAUUGUAAUGCGCUGAUGCCCUUUGUUGAUAAUCUGCCAUCCGGAUGGACGCGCUUUCUCUGACUUCGUCAGCCCAGUCCAAAUUUCUUCCUAGUUCCGUGUUGGCGUCUUUUUGCUUUGCUGCAUCAGUCCGGAUAGUAGGAAGACCUAUUUCAGUGGGAAUGACUGCAUCCAUUCCAUAUGUGAGGGCAAAAGGAGUAUUUCCUGUUGGUCGUCCGGAUGUGGUUCGAUAGGCCCACAGGACGCCGGGUAGUUCCUCCACCCACUUCCCUUUGGCUUGCUCCAGCCUUUUCUUUAAGGCAUUGAUUAGAGUUUUGUUUGUGGCUUCCGCCUGGCCAUUGCUUUGAGGAUAACGUGGCGUGGAGUAUGAAUUCCGGAUAUUCAAUUCCGAACAGAAAUUCCUGAAUGCAAUGCUGUCAAAUUGUGGACCAUUGUCAGCUAUGAUGAUUUGGGGAAUUCCAAAGCGGCAAACAAUGUUCUUCCAUACGAAUUUGGUGACAUCUUUAUCUUUGAUGCUUGCAUAUGCUUCAACUUCUACCCAUUUACUGAAGUAAUCAGUGGCGACAAGGAGGAAUUUCUUCUGGGCAGGUGCUGCUGGGAGGGGUCCCACAAUGUCCAUGCCCCAUUGCGCGAAAGGCCAUGGGCCUGAGACCGAUUUUAAUGCGGCUGAUGGCAUGCGUGGAAUGGGAGCGUAUCUUUGACAUUUAUCGCACUUUUGGACAUAUGCUGCCGCGUUUUUCUUCAUUGUUGGCUAAUAGUACCCUUGUGAAUGAGCUCUAUGUGCUAGGGAUCGUCCUCCCGUAUGAUUUCCGCAUAUUCCUUCAUGUAAUUCAGCUAGUACAUACUGGGCCUCUGAAUGCCCAAGACAGCGAAGAUAAGGUCCUGUGAAGGAUCGCUUGUACAGGUGCCCCCCGAUCAGGGUGAAACGGGCAGCUUGCACCCGGAUUUUGUGCGCUUGUUUAGGAUCUUCAGGUAAAGUGCCUGUCCGGAGAUAUUCUACAAUAUCAUGCGUCCAUUCUUGAUGAUCCGUUUGGUUUGCCUCAAUGGUGUUGCAAGUAGAAUCUUCUGUGACAGAGGGAUUGGCUUGCACAUGUAUGGGCAGUAGAAUGGCUUCUUUGAUAGGGAGGGAGGCAGCUAUGCCGGCCAAAGCGUCAGCGCGCCUAUUGUCAGCUCGCCUAAUUUUUUCGAUUGUCCACUCGGUGAAUUGCUGUAAGGUGCUUCUUACUUUGGCCAAGUAUCGCGCCAUGCGUGAGUCCUUAGCCUCAUAUUCUUUCUGGACAUGCCUUACCACUAGCUGCGAGUCGCUGUAGAUCCGAAGUUUGGAGACGGAUAGCGCAAGGGCGAGGUCCAAUCCGGACAGGAUGGCCUCGUAUUCUGCUUCAUUGUUAGACGCGGAGAAUCCCAGCCGGAUGGCUUGCUCCAGGUGUUCCCCAGUUGGGGACUGUAGUAAGAGCCCAACUCCAGAGCCCGAUGAGCGUGAGGCUCCGUCAACUCGUAGUGUCCACCACUCCUGUUCACUUGACUCGUGGUGCUGAUUGGGUCUUCGUGAAUAUUCGAGCACGAAGUCGGCCAUUACUUGGCCUUUUUUGGAUAAUCUGGGUUGGAAUUCGAUUCCAAAUUCGCUCAAUUCGAUGGCCCAUUGUAGCAUUCGCCCCGUUAAAUCUGGUUUGUGCAGAAUGCUACGAAGGGGUUGGUCGGUUAGUACAAUCACUGGGUGGGCUUGAAAAUAGGGGCAGAGCUUUUGGGCAGCACUUCGAAGAGCUAAGGCUGUUAGCUCCAUUUUUGAAUACCUGGUUUCUACAUCUGCCAAUGCCCUGCUGACAUAGUAGACAGGUCUCUGCUCCUUUGGUGAAGGGCAGCGGAAUAGGACGGCGCUGAUUGCCCAUUCUGAGACAGCCAGAUACAUGUAUAGCUUUUCCUUUGGGAUGAGGCUGCUUAAGAUGGGUGGAUGCACAAGAUAAUGUUUAAUUUUUUCCAACGCGUUUUGGCAAUUGUCCGUCCACCCAUGCGUUCCAGCUUUUCGUAUUGCCAAGAAGAAGGGUCGCAACUCAUCAGUGAAGCGGGCUAUGAAACGCCCUAACUCAACGAGCUUGCCUGUGAGGCGUUGUAACUCCUUUUUGUUCCUGGGAGGGGGUGUCUCCAUGACUGCUUUGACUUGAUCCGGGCUGACUUCUAUGCCUCUUUGGCUGACCAUAAAUCCCAGAAAUUUGCCAGCACUCACGCCAAAGGCACAUUUGGAAGGAUUUAACUUCAUGCCAUACGUCCGUAAGAGGUGAAAAACUUCUUGCAAAUGAAGGAUAUGCUGUUCUCGAGUUUUGCUUUUAACCACGAUAUCGUCAAUAUAUACCUCUACUGAGUGGCCUAUCAGAGGUUUGAAGAUUUUAGUCAUCAAUCUUUGAUAAGUGGCGCCAGCAUUUUUGAGUCCAAAUGGCAUGACUUUGUAGCAAUAGAGGUCGUGUGGUGUUAUGAAUGCUGUCUUUUCUUCGUCAUCGGGAGUCAUGGGAAUCUGGUGAUAUCCGGAGAAGGCAUCCAAGAAAGAGAGCAUCCCUUGCCCUGAAGUGGAAUCCACAAUUUGAUCUAUUCGUGGUAAUGGAAAACUGUCUUUUGGACAUGCGUUAUUGAGAUUGGUGUAAUCAACACAGACUCGCCAUUUGCCCUCUUUUUUUGGUACCACUACUACAUUUGCCAACCAAUCCGGAUAAGAUACCUCUCUGAUGAAUCCGGCUUCCAACAAUUUGUUAAUUUCAUCUUGGAUAACUCUUUGUCUAUCCGGAUGAAAGCGUCUAAUCUUCUGUCGAAUGGGUCUGGCUGCUGGAAAGACGUUAAGCUUGUGAGAGGCAAUAGAGGGAUGAAUUCCUUUCAUAUCCGAAUGUGUCCAUGCGAAGAUGUCAUGGUUGCUUCGAAGGAUAUUUUGUAUGCUCUGAGUUUCUUCUUGCGUCAUGAGGGAACUGAUAUUCGUGAGGUGAUCAUUCUCUUCUGAGAUUUGGAUUGUUUGUAAGGGAUCCGCUGCCGGGGGAUCUUUGUCCGCCGGACCCAAUAAUUGCUAUUGGUCGUGUGCAAUGCUAGGCUCAGGGGGAGAUGCAUCCUCCUGGUUAGCGACUGCCUCACGUGCUAUUUGAUAGCACUGACGAGCGGCUAACUGGCUGCCAUACAAGUCAGUUUGCCCUUCGUCGGUGAGGAAACUCACCAUUUGAUGAUAUGUGGACGGGAUGGCUUUCAUGUAGUGAAGCCAUGUGCGUCCCAAGAUGACAUUGAAGGGUGAUAACUCUUGUACCACUGAGAAUUGCACGUUGAGAGUGACUGUGCCAACUUUGACCGGCAGUAUAAUGUCUCCUAAGGACGUGGUUGAUGAUCCGUUGAAUCCGAAUAAGAUUCGUCCGGGGUUUUCGAGACCCGCGAGACUAUGUCCCAUAUGGCCAAUGACUGAUGCUUGUACCAGAUCGGCUGAACUGCCUGGGUCAACCAAGAUACGCCUUACAUCGAAAUCUCCUAUUUCUAGGGAGAGGAUGAGGGCGUCGCGAUGUGGCUGUAGCGUCCGGGUGGGAUCUACUGGUGGGAAAAUGAUUGUCCCAUCUAUGGGGCGAGGGCCCUCUCCAGUAAGACCCGGCCGGAUGGAAUUAAUGCGUUCGUGUAUUGACGCGGCCCGCAGCAAUUUCUGCCUUUUACGCCUGGAAUCGUAUUCUUCGUCAGACGGGCCCCCAUUGAUAUAGUUUAUGACAGCCUUGGGGGCGACUGGGGCCCUCGGGGCCCCAGAGUUAUGACGCUGAGAUACGUCCCUUCCUCCAGUAUCUGAGCGGAGGUACUGUUUUAAAUGUCCUGCUUUGAUGAGCCUUUCAACUAGAUACUGGAGGGAUCGACAUGUCUCUGUUGUAUGACCAUGGUCUUUGUGGAAGGCGCAUUUCUUGCUGCGGUCUCUUAUGGAUGGGUCCGUUUCGAGGGGUCUAGGCCACCUGAAGUCGGACAACCCUUGGAUCAUUGGGAGAAGUUUUUCGUAUGAUAUGGAUAGGGGUGUGACGGGCGGCCUAUCCGGACGACUCGGCCCGUCCUGUCUCCGGUCAACUGGUUUUGGACGGUCCGGAGGUUUGGCAUGUCUGUCCGCGUUAUCUCUAGAAGCCCGUCCGGCAACCAAAACUUGCUGAGUGGCUGCACGCACGUCAUCUUCGAGCAUUGAAUAUUUGUUAGCACGUCUGAACAAAUCGUCCAUCGUUGUAGGAGGCUUUUUUGCCAGUGAUUCAAAAAAUGGAGUGCCUGGACAAAUGCUUCUCUUGAAGAUUUGUAGGACAGCAUCCAUGCUGCAAACCUCUAUUUGGAGUACGGCUUGGCCAAAUCGUUUCACAAAUUCCCUUAAAGAUUCGUUGUCUUUCAUUUUUAUAUUCUGGAGGGUGCUGAUAUUCUGCUUGUGUCGAGCAGAGCACAGAUACUGUCCCACGAAUGCUUCAGAGAGAUCCCUGAAAUUGUCAAUAGAGUUAGGAGGUAGGCGAUGAAACCAUGAGAGGGCCUGCCCUUGAAGGCUGGCGGGGAAUACUUUGCAUAGCAAUGCAUCGUUGCCAAUAUCGAGCGUCAUGAGCUGUCGAUAGUGCAUGAUGUGAUCGAAGGGAUCAUUGGUCCCAUCGUAUGUGGAAAACUUUGGUACGAGGAAUCCCCUUGGGGGCUCGUAAUGGGUGAUAUGAGAGCAAAAGGGCGUGGAGAGCAUGUCAUCCAGCCUUUUGCUGAUGGAGCCAAUAGGUGGUUCGUUUGGGAGGUUUCUCCCAGCUGGUCGUUCCGCUAGGUGUGAGUGAACGUUCCGCAUCGCCGGGAUGACCAAGGGGUCACGAUGCGGAGGUACGUUCUGCACCAUGGGAGCGACCAUAGGAUCGGGGCGUGGUGCCCGGGUUGUGGCUACUAGUGGCUUUGAUCUCCCAAGCUCUUGUGGGCCUAGUCUUGCGCGCAUAGAACUUGACAACUGUGAUUUUCUAUCGCGUUGUCUUUUUGCUGAAAAAUGAGUGGAAUCUGAGCUUUCCUCACGGGGAGCUCGAGGCAUGGGUGUGCGUGGCUCAUGGGGCCUUGCGUUGUAUGCUCCUGGGACAGCUCCUGUUGACCCAGGAUAUAUUGAUUCUGGUUCUGGCCUAGAGUUUGCCACCUGGCCCCUUGAACGCUGACGACGAGGAGGGCCUGACGUUGAGGCUUGAAUGCGUAACACCGCGUUUUCUUCCCUUAACCUCUCCGUCUCCUGGAGGAGAGCUCUUAGUUGUUUUUCGCUCGCCAACUGUCUUUUUUCGAUGGCCUGACGCCAUUCGUGAUUAUCUUCCUCCUUUCUUCCAGAUGAUCGACUUUGGGAAGGUGUGGCCAUCUUUGCUAGUGACUGAAUCAGAAUGAAAAGUAAAAGUCUUCCCACAGACGGCGCCAAUGUUGUCGCCUCGCGUAUCCGGUGGUCCACGUUGCUGCUAUAUGGAUGGACACGUGAUUCUCAACACACAAGGGGUUCUUGAUUCAGUGGUUGCACCUGCAAAAGGCAUCCGGACAGGGUGUCCGGACGCACCCUCCGAUGGUAUUGUUAGCCAUGGUGAGAGAGAUAUAUAUAAAUCAGUUGGCCUUUUACUAGGUAUCAAGAGGUUACAAGGGGAUCCCCCUCUUCUUCGUGCGAAGGUAUAUAUAUAUAGCUUCAGGGGUACUGUUCCUCUCAUUAAUGGUGAGGAGAUAUUUUAUGUUGUGAUGAUGACAAUAGGUGUUAGUAGGAGCAUUAUCGCCCUACGAACGACCGUCAGAAAUCAUGGUAGGUGAUGCGGCUGUCAGAGAUCGUGGGCAGUGAUUAUGUAGAAUGAUCGUGGGAAGUGACUUGCUGUCACUUCCCCUUGUCUUCUCACUCUGCAGGUGAUGGGAUGUGGGUCAUGGCUGCUUGUUGUGAUUGCGUGUAAGACUCGCUUUAUUUUAAUUGACCAUCCAGACGAUUUAUAUCCGGAUGGCUCAUGCUAAUCAUCCGGAUGUGUUGUGGAGACCAUCCGGAUGUCUACGCUCUGCCUGCGUCGUUUGCUCUUCCUUGGAUAGGGCUUGGCUUUCCUUGAGGUGGUCCGGAUAGGAUAACUGCACCAUGCAUACCUUUAGGGGAAUCCGGAUGAUGAUGGUCCGGAUGAUAAUAUGUGCCACGCGUCACCAUGAACUGCGUGCCACGUGUUUCUCAAGGGGAGGGGUCCCUACAAAUUCGAAUCCACCUCGCUAUCAUUCCUGGAUGUUUGAGCAAUGGGUCUGGUCGAGCAGCCCGACCUGUGGACACUGGGAUCCUGGAGCACAGCGCUGUCCUUCUAGUUAAUAAGUUGGAAUCAUGGUUCGACUUGGUUUCUGUUCACGUCGUAGCCAUUUGCGAUUUGCUCAGUAACAAUGGUGACUUAAUCAUGGGCCGUGGGCUGCUUUCAAGACUUGGGCUUUUCAAUUGGAUUCGGCCCAAUUGGGUUUGGACUCAGGUGAUGAAUGAGCCGGCCCAAUCCGGAGAAUGUUGAAUUUAAAGUUUGGACCAUAUUAUCUGUUGGAAGUUCUGAUUUCUUAAAAUUUUUAUGUUUUUGAAGGUUUAAGGAGUGAGGACUUGAGUGUGAAUUCAUCGCAGAGCAUAGUUUGGUGGAAUGGCUGUGUACAUUCGCCUGAUUCUUUGUAAUAUUAUGUAAAAGAAAAAAAAAAAAUUUGAGAUUAAAGAAAAACACAUGACCAAGCUGAGUCGCAGAAAAGAAAAAAGAAUCAAGGCUUUUUAAGGCAGAAGACGGUGAUCUCCUCAGUUUCCAGUUUCCAGUUUCCGCCAUCCACAGCCAAAUCUCAUGGAUCCCCAUCAACACCAACCCAUUGGACAAGCAGACGAAACCUCGCCCCCUCCCUCCAACACCGCUGCCACUUCAUGCCGCUGCUGCGGCGGCCCCACCACAUGCCCACCUCCACCGGCAUGGUCCGACAUCUCUCCGCCACCCUCCUACCGCCCCAUCCGCGCCCCCGCCAUCAACCUUCCUCCUUCCAACUCUCAACAAGCUAUCAUCCUAGCCCCCGUUCCUCAAGCCCAGAAGACCCCCGUUGUCUCUCCGCCCUAUCUUUUCCAAAUCCCCGUCAAGCGAAUCCAGACCCCAGACGACAUUCGCCAUUUCCAUGACUCCGAUUCCGGCAAGAACUUCUUAGGUUUCGUCGUUUCCCUUAGCGAAUCCAUUCGCUCCCACAAAAUUUCCGACCCUUGCCACCAAUCACCAAUCCUCAAUUCUAUUCUCUCCAUCCUUCAAUCUCUAAUCGACUGGGUCGACGAAAUACCUCCCGUUCAACAAUCUUCCCGUUACGGUAAUCUCUCUUUUAGGGUUUGGCAAAGUCGGUUGUUCGAUAAUAGCGAGCAACUGAUGCUCCAAUUCCUCCCCGAUGAUCUGCGGUCAGCUACCGUCGAACUCGUCCCUUACUUUGCCGAUAGUUUUGGGAAUUCGAGUCGAAUCGAUUAUGGAACCGGUCAUGAGACCAAUUUUGCUGCGUGGCUUUAUUGUUUGGCUAGAUUAGGGUUGCUCAAGGAAGAGGAUUACCAGGCUCUUGUUUCUAGGGUUUUUGUGAAGUACCUUGAAUUGAUGAGGAAAUUGCAAUUCGUCUAUUGCCUUGAACCUGCGGGAUCCCAUGGAGUUUGGGGUCUGGACGACUAUCAUUUUCUGCCAUUUAUAUUUGGGUCGUCGCAGCUGAUCGAUCACAAGUAUAUGAAACCCAAGUCAAUUCAUAAUCAGGAUAUUCUGGACAACUUCUCCAAGGAGUAUAUGUAUAUUUCUUGCAUUGCAUUUGUGAAGCAGGUGAAGAAAGGCCUAUUUGCAGAGCAUUCCCCAUUGUUAGAUGAUAUCAGUGGUGUACCUAAUUGGAACAAAGUGAAUAGUGGGAUGCUCAAAAUGUAUAAAGCUGAGGUGUUGGAGAAGGUUCCAAUUAUGCAGCAUUUCCUAUUUGGGUGGCUCAUCAAAUGGUAUGAUCACUGUUAAUGAGUAAUUAGCCCUGUAUGUGAUUCAUGCAUUUUUAGUUCAUUAUAAGUCAUCCACACUUUGCAUCAUGUUUAAUUGGGAAUCUUAAAAUUAUUACGAGUUUUUAUGGUGUUUUAUGAGCAUAAUGGUUAUAUUUAUAUCGUCUAUAUCAGUAGCCUAUAUGGAUAUUUGGUGCUAAACCUGAUAUUUUUGGUCCCUGUAUAUUCAUCUAUUAUUUCAAUGACAAUGUUGGUUGAGGAACAACUCUAGUGUUGAUACCUUGAUCCAUGGGUUUUGUCAGGCUGAGACUUUCAUUAGCUAUUUGAUCCUCACCACCACUGAUUGCUAUACUGAUUUUUUUUUUACCUAUGAUUUCUGUCAUCAUUUUAUUUAAUGCAUAGAACCCUACUUGUUAGCUAUAUGAUGUAGAAGUGAUGCACUGAGUCAAUGUUCAUGAUGAAAUAGAACCAAAGAGAUUGGCAUUAUGUUGGGUUGGUCCAUUUUUUUGGAUUCAUUAACCAAGUUACUACAUAUGUUCCUUUGAUAUUUAUUAUUUGAGUAAUGGCCAUAAACACACACAUAUGUGUGUGUGUGUGUGCAUGUGUAUAUAUGUAUGUACAAACUACAAUAAAUAUCAGCCUUUUCAUAAAAAUUUUGCUUGAGUUUUCCUUCUCUCUGCACUUUUAACAUGUGUUAAUGUUUCAACAGUCUGCUUUAGUCCUCAUUCUAAGCUUGUUAAUGUGCCUUUACUUCAAACAUCUUUUCCCACCUUCUGAGUCAUUUCUUUUAAGUCAUGUAUCUCAUCUUAUAGAAAUUCAAGUGUAAUCUAAUGUCUUGAGCCAUUUUAAUUAUUUUAGUUUGAUUUGAUUUAAAAAAAAAUUUUAAUGAUCAAAACUUUCAAAUUAUAAUGCAUUUGGCUAGUGAAUAUUACUUAUAAGCCCAAUGUCUCUAGACAAAUAUAUCUGGGUUUUUAAUACAUCUCAUGAGUUCCAUUUGGUAUUCUAACCCUUUUAGCUAAGUGGUUGCAUUUCUACAUGGGAGGUCUGAGAAUCUCUGAAAGCUAAAACUAAAAUAAAGUGAUUUAGUUAGUUAGUGCUUAUAUUCUGACUACUGGUUGUGUAAUAAGGGAUUUUUUUUGUGGCCAUUUCGGAUAAUGGCAUAAUUUCCUAUGUUUCUGAGCUUUUCAAAAUCUCACCUAUCAACAACUUUCAUAUGAAACUCUGAAUGAAGUUUUUUUUUUAUAAUCAUUAAUGGUAUAUUUUGGUAAUUGAAUAGCUGAUACUACUUAUGGGACAGGCAGCACAGUGGAAUCCUGGUCAAACCCCCUCCAAAAACCCCAGAAAGGGAUGUCUUUAGAACUGUAAUAGAAAAGAGAAGACAUUUUGAAGCUAUUAUAACCAUAUUAUUGCAUGUUACUUCAAUCCAUUGGGAGAUUUGAAGAACAGGUGUUCCAAUACUGAAACUGGUGCUUGAUGAGCAUGACGGAAUCAGUUCUAGGAUGGAUAAAACUGCAGGCUCACACACAGAAACACACCUGUGCACACAGUGAACAUGUGCACAUGUGCAAACACACAUUUGGUUGGUCUCCCCCAGUGGGUGUACUUCUGUAUGAUGAGAUCAAUGAGGACAUAUUGUGUCUUUGUUCCGGAUCCUGACCAUCUUAGUCCCAUACAAUUUGGUCCAAGUUGGCUUACAAUUACCCAAAGCCACAUAAGAACCACUUUGUGGCUUGCAUGAUAUUUGUGACAAUGAUUAGUAAAGGCAUCUUCUUUAUGGGGUCUUUGGGUUCAUCUUGGAGUCCUCCAUUUUGACUUGAUGUGUCAUCUAUAGCUACUUCAAGUAGGGAAUUGCCUACAUAGAGAUAUACAUUACUAAUUCGAUUAAAGUCUACAUUGCUCUCAACAUAGUGAAUCUAUUUCAUUCAGGAUAUGGCUUUGUCAGAACUGAUCAUCUUGCAAUUAUGCGUAUUGUUCAAACUUUUAUUUUUGGAUCUUUAGAACCUUGUUCAUGUAACUUUUGAUUUGUCUUCUAAUUUUUUCAUUUCUUGGAUUAUGACUUGCAAAGUGUCUGAUUGUUGUUUAAUUUUUAAGCCAUGCAUCUGGCAUAUUUUUUUCAAUGUCAUGAAUGUUUGAAAAUCCUGGCUUACAUAUGCAUAUAGGUUUUAGCACAUCAAGUGCUACCCUGAUUGGUCAUGGGUAAAUACAGGUAAUUGUGAUUCAUAGAAAAGGAUGAUAUGAUUCUUAAAACAUUGUCCAUUUUCUGUUGUUCAAGAAGAUUGAUAAAUUCUUUGUUAUUUAUAUUUUCCCCAGGGACUAAUUUGGUGUAUCUGCUCUGUUGAAACAUUUUCUGUGGAACAAAGAGAGUUCAUUUCCCACUAUGCUUUACAGAGAUGUAAGAAUGAAAAAUUAUUAAACCGGAAUCAUCUGUACUUCUUGGAUAGUAUAUAGAGUUUGAGUUCUCUGUUUCUUUAUGAUGUAUUUGCUUUCGGCUAACACAGAUCUAUUUCUGCAUUUUUUUUGUUUAUGAUAUUUGACAUCUUAAUGGAAAUCAGGCAGUUUUCUUUUUUUAAUAGCCAAGUAUUGAAACUGCAGAAUUUUUACAUUUGAUAUUGAUGUAAUAUAAAAUCCUAUGGAAAGACAGUAAAUUUUUCAAGUUUCCCCUGAAGCUUUGGUUUGGUUUUAAGACAAAUGUAUUUAUAAGCUUAGAAAGCAAUAAUUAAAAUGUGAUGCAGCUGCACAUUCUCAUCUGUUGAUAUGCAAAUAAUGUGAAAGCAAGUAAUUGCAAGUUUAUGUUGUACACCAUGUUUUGAUUUUGAGACUGAUGUAUUGGGCACAAAACAUUACUUAAUACUAGCUAAACUGCCUGUGGUAAUGAAGGAGAAUUGCCGAACAAGUUUCAAGUGUGACAAGCAGUGUCAUAACCUCAACUUGCAAUCUUGUCUGAUGUUUCUUACCUUAGUUGAUUUUCUUGUUUUAUUGGCCAUCUACCAGUUGGAGUCUAUGGUUUCCAAACUCCUCUUCAUUCAUUUAAUUCUUUGAGACUAAUGGAUUCACCUUCUCUAUUCUUAUUUUCAAUGGCAAAGAUACUCUUCUUUGUUUACUAUUCUACAAAAAAUUAGACAUUGUAUUUCAUCUUGUAUCAGUACCUAAUUUGAAAUGACUGACUUCCUUUACUCUGCAAAUUUUAGAUUAUUAUGCCAAGUGAAUUUCAGGCUCAAAACUUCCACAAGGUUGGUUUUAGGAUUUUGAGUUUGACUUCCAACUAGAUUCUUGCUAGUUUUGGCCUUUGGAAUUCCAUUUGUUAGUAGUUUGUGUCAAUAUAAACUAUAUGACUCCUCUUGGUUACUUAAAACCUCCAAUUCAGUUAGCCAACAUGCAUUAUUAUAGAACCCAGCUUUUGUUGUGGUACCCAGUUUUAGUGCAGAGGAUGGCUUGAACUUGAAUUUUUGUACUGGAAUGGAGGUUUUCUGUGAAUAUAAACAAGUUGUGCUCCAUUGGAUUGCUGUGUUCUCUGAAUGAAUUUGGAUCUCUGCCAGCUCCAAUGAAAUCUUGUCUCCUAGUCAACACUGGUAAUAGACCUUGUAGUUGUUCUGAUGAUUUAUUAUUUUGUUUGCAGAAUGUGAUAAAUGAAGAGACCUAAGGGUUCCUAGUUAGGUUAUAGGAUGAAGCAUUUAGUUUGUAGUUUAACAAUUGAAAAUUCUUGAAGCUUUGGAUCCAUGUCAUAACUCAUGUCAAUUAAAACACCCAUAGAUAUGUCAAGAAGAUAAUGAAAACAAAGGCAAGUAGGAAAUUGUUCACAUACCUGAAAAGCCACCUAUAAUACACAUUCAUUGCCCUGCUGCAUAGUUAGUUUCUCUAUCAAAACCCCACCCAGUCCUAUUUAUGGUGUCUUUUGUUUUUGUUUAAGCAGUUACUAAAAAUGCUGGUUCUUUUCUAUGUUUUUUCGCAUAAUGUUUUUACUUCAUCUGUUAACCCCUAGCUUGCCAACAAGGGUCGUUCUUUAUCACUACAACUACUAGUCCUAGAUGAGUCUGUUGCUGCUGUUGGUUUUUUCAUUUUAAAAGCUGCUGGCAUUUUCGGGUUUCAUUAUAGGGUAUCUUUGCAUAUAGUUAUUGAAUAUAGGAAGCUAUUUUAGGUACAUUAUAGUUUUAAUGCUUCAUAUUGGAUUGGUUUAUGCGUUGGUGUCAUUUCACCUUAACCUCUCUUACUUGGUUGCAAAGAAAACUGGAGGAAAAUAAUAGCAAAUGAAACAUUGAUUUUUAUGCUUUUUAUUUUUACAAUUUUUUAAUGUUCUUUUAGUUUCCAUGUGAUGGAAAAAUUCACCACACAUGAAUUAGAUUGUUAUGUUAGGAUACCAAAUGGAGGUUUAUGGUCUCUUUUGUCCCAAUUAAUGCAGAAUGUAGGAUUUGAAGUUUCAUAUCUUAUCUUUUGUUUUGUUUUCUUUGCAAUCAAAUGGAUCAUGUAGCGUGAUUGCCUUUUUUUUUUUUUUGCAAGAUUUAAAAAUGAAAACAUAUUAGCUAACAGAUUAUGGUAACUGAGCUACUAGAAUCUUUUGUAUUUGUUGCUCACUUGUUUCAAGCUGGAUUCAAUUUUGGGAAAUAACUGAUUGUGUUUACUUCUUACUGAUAAAAUUUAGGCAAAUGAUUGUAUUUAGGUUCUGAUGUUGUAAAUGGAUUGUAAGGUUCAAAUAAGAAAGAUUAUAAGAUCAAAUUGAGCCGUCUCAAAAUUAAAAAAUAGUCAAACAAGUGGAAUUUAAUUGUAUAAAUAUAUUCUUAGCAUGUGCAAGCUAACAAGGGUAAUUCCUUUGAUUCUCAAGGGACUGACUUUGGCCUCAGGACUUCUUAUAAAGACACAAUUGCUAAGUGGUUUCUUAUAACUCCUAAAAUGCUCGAAAAGGUUUUCCCUUUUGGUUCCUAAAAUCAAGAUGUGGGCUGAUUAGUUAAAGGACUAUUUUUUAUUUUUUUUUAUGUAAGUUGCUGAUUAAUUAAAGGACUUUGUUCUUUUGAGUAAUUCAUGGCCCAUAAAAUUGUUGUAUGUGUUGCAUAUGGAUGCUGAAAUUGUUUUUUCAUGCUUUUUUCUCUAAAAAACUAAAAAAAAAAAAUCCCUUUUUGGUGUUCUUUUAAAACCAAGUUUUGGUAUUUGAAUUUUGAAAUUUAUGGUUUAAAAAUUUGGAUAUGUUCUCUCCUUCUUCUAAGAUUGCAUGUUGAUUCUGAUCACCUAUGAUUUAAUAGAGGACACAGGGUCCUAUGUAGUUGGGGUGGUAGGCGGUUUAAAACUAAAUUCAAGGCAAUAGAGAUUUUUGGGCCUUUGUAGCAGUGAAGAAUACAGAGGCUGAAAUCACUUGCAUUCAAAUUUUGAAGCGAUUCUUGUUCUCUAUUAGGAAGUUUUGAGCAUUUAGAAUGCUUUCAACCAUUUUAUUAUUAUCAUUAAUGGUGCGAGGGAAUUAGGAAGUUUUGAGCAGCUAGAAUGCUUUCUACCAUUUUUUUUUGGGAAGUUUUUAAUAAAUAAAUGUAAUUGCCACGAAAUUGAGAUGAGCGCUUUUUACCUUUGUCAUCAUUUGACAGGGAAAAAAAUAAAAAGCCCACUUGUACCUGUCACCUUAUAUUUGGUGGUGUGAAAAUGAAAAUCAGUUGGAUGGCAUACCAAAUGGUGUGCUUGAGCUUUACUCAAUUCCCACCAACAAGUGGGUUAACCUUUUUCCAUGUAGGUUUGUUGGCAGCAUUAUUUUUUGGGAAAACAUUUGCAUGGUGCACCAGUAACAGCCACAGUUUUUACGCAUGCGGAACUUGCUCCUGGAUUUUGCCUUUUUACAUCAUUUACUUAACGGAGGAGAUAUUUCUACUUCUCUUUGUCGUUACUUUCUCCCACAAUGUUGAACUAGUUGCUCCCCUUCGUUUUAAUGCCUUCUUCACAUCUCACUGCUUCGUGGAAGUUAUCUCAAGAUUGUAAUUCCACCAUAUAUAUAUAUAUAUAUAUGGCAUCGAUUUCAGUCAUAGUUGAGAUCAACUCGAAGUCCUAUGUUAUAUCUAUGCUCUUUCAGGUUCACAGGGAAGUGCUUUUAGAUAUGGUUUCCCAUUAAAUUUCAUUUGAUUUUAGAACGUGGGUUCCUUUGUUCCUGGGUCUGCCAUCAAUCCAAGCUCUUGGUAUUGGUGGCCUCACACAUAAGUCAAUCGGUGAAAGUAAUAUUUGAUAAGGUUGGUCGAGUCUUGAUGUUCCUUAUGUAACAAUAAUCGUCAUUUAAAGGAAAAUUCUUUAUAAGCAUUUUUAUUAUCAAAAAUAUUUUUGAAAUGGUAAUGAAGAAUGGGUAUCCUGAUUUAGCCCUCAUGGAACCCGGGAUAGGACUGCAUUCUAAUUUUUUUCACUAGGAGGAAAUUUCGUUUUUAUAUAUUGUUAUUUUCUAGUGGUAGUUCUAUUUCUGCUCAAUUAGUGUAUAGCUUUCAACAAUCAAUAUUCGUUUCCAUUUUAAGGUUUUUAAAGAUGAAAUCAUAAGGCGUGAUGGAGAAGAGAAGUGGAUGCAGGUGGAACGAGGCCCAAUAUGCCACUACCGCCCAAGCUGCAGGCCAAGAGUUUUGGUACGUGAUGUCAAAACAGAACAGAUGUGAUCUCAAAAAAAAAAAAAUGCACUAUAUGUAAAAUCAAGGAUAUUUUGUCCAUCGGGGUGGGUGGGUAUAUUAACGUAGCGAAGCUCUUUGCUGUUUCACGUAAACAGCUCCCUCUUUUUAUUCAAACUUUAGAAGCAGCUUAUUUAAAUGAGUUGGUCUCCUGAUCUAAUCAUUUUGAGCUUUGUAGUUGUUGAGACUAUUGAAAAAUAUUUGAAAGUAUAUGGUAAAUAAUUUAAAUGCAGGUGGGGGAAACAUAUAUGAUGUAAAAUUUUGUCAAAUAUCCAGCAUCCAUUGGAGUUGCAUUUGAAUAGGAAUGUAGGAUUUGGGGGAUAAUAAAGACGACCCCGUCCCCACUCCCCCACUCCCACUCCUACUCUCACAUACAUAGUUUGCGUCUCCCGCAAGUGAAUUGGAAAAAGGACGAAUCCAUGUCCCACUUUUUUACUAUUUUACCUGGAAAAGUGUCAUUCCCUCUGUUCCAAACGACCCCACGCCCCACCGGUCACCGGUGCUCACCACUCACCACAACCACCUUUUUUUUCCUUUUUCUUUUUAACUCAACUCCAAUGUUAACCAUUUCGUAAAUUUAGAGAGUGAUGUAGCUGCUGAACCUCUUAAAUUAAAUCUUAAUGAACAACGGCUUUACCACCACUCAUCCACAUCUAAAGUCUUGGUUAAAGCUCCAUCUUCUAGUAAAAAUCCAUGUUCAAAGUCAGAUCAAAAUAGCGUUGGAAGUUGGAACCAUCAACUACAGUCUCAUCCUCUCUAUUAAAGACUGGUCAAUAACCAGCAAAACCAGAGUCUGAGUUCAAAUCGGUUUUAGGAGAUUCGGCUCUGACACCGAUAUUACCCUUUUUACCCUUACUCCUCCUAACCUACCACUCCUGUCGGUGCCUUCCUCCUUGGGACCCUAUUUGGAACUUGCAACCAUCUCUCACUGCCUCCCUGUUCCCAUUUCUCCUUCUCAACACCCAUCUUUCAUUGAAACGUGUAAAAGUAUAUUUCCAAUGCUGUUAUUAAAAUCUCUUACUACUAACACCAAUUUCUCACAUUUUCAGUAUCACGAUAAGAAGUAAGAACCACCCGUUUCUUAUUUUGCUCCAAACUAUAUAUAUAUAUACACACACGACCUUUUUCCCUCAUACGUUUUGUGGCUUUACUUUAUUUUAUCCUUGGGCGCUGUGGUUUAUGGCACGCCUGCACUGAGGCUAUGAGCUGGAGUGUAAGUGUAGUUUUAUAGCCUUCUUUCCCCCUUAUCCUUUUCUCUAUCUCUUUCUCUCUUAUCUAUGUCCUUCUUUGAUUCCUCCAUAUAUCCAAAGAGGAAAAAAGGGACAAAUUUUGGAUGAAAAUCUCACAUCUUGGGAGUAUAUGUAAUCCUUAUUUUCUCAUUCUUUUUCCUAGAUUUUAGUCCAGCUUGCCCACAUUAUCAAUGGAGUUGUUGAAACAGUUUUCCUUUAAAAUAAAUAAUAAAUGCAGUGUCUUCGGGGGUUUUCGUUUAUUUUCCCCCUCAUCUUCUUCUUCGUUUCUUCUGUAAGAUAAAUGCAAUGCUUCUGUGAACACUUCCACUGGAAAAUGGUUUUCAAGCGCAGUUUUCUCAUCCGGGUGAAUGCUUUUGAUCGAUGAAACUGGUGGAUAGCUUUCUUUCUGUGCUUUCAGUAUUGAUUUAUUGUCCGGCUUUGCUAUCAUCCUGAUAUGGGUUUUCCGUUAGUUUCUUUUAUUCUUCCACAAAGUUUAAAUCUUUGCUUUGUUAUUAUUAUCAGAAGAAAUGCUUUUCCCCCCUCCUAUUCUUGUGCAAGCUUCGUUGAAAUAUUUAUGGAUAUAUGUUUUUUGGCCUAUUUACUCGUUUAACCCAUCGUUUUCCCUUAUUUGUGGAUCAUGACUUCUUGAUAUUUGCUCUCGGUUUACAUGGAUUCAUAGUCUAUUUUAGGCGGGAUCAUUUGUAUUUACAGUGAAAUUGUUUUCCCCUCUGUGUUCUUCAUUUUUGAAGGAAGAAUAGAUGGAAGAGGAAAGUGAUAUUCGGCGCUGGGACGAGCUAAUACCCGAUGCUUUGGGUCUAAUCUUUAGAAAUCUUUCACUCCGGGAAAUACUGACUGUGAUUCCCAGGGUCUGCAAAUCAUGGGACGAAGCAGUGAAAGGGCCUUAUUGCUGGCAAGAGAUAGACAUUGGAGAAUGGAGUGACCAAUGGCCGGAGCACCUUGAUCGCAUGCUUGAAAUACUAAUCAGAAGAAGCUGCGGUUCCCUCCGCAAGCUCUGCGUUUUCGGUCUCCAAAACGACAGGCUUCUCUCUUUCAUUGCAGAACAGUGAGUAGAAUUGCACUCUCCAUGUUUGAAAGCGUUGAUGCCUUGCUUUUAAUCCUUAGCUUAGGAAGAACUUUUGGAAAACCAUUAGUCCAAUUUUGAUCCCAUUUUGGUACGCUUACACCAAUUUACUGGUUCAGAUAACAAUUUCUUGAACCAAUUAGCCUAAUUUGAUGCUUUAUUGGAGAGCAUUCCCAAUUGGAGGAUUUAGGCAGAAAUUAGAUAAAUCCUUUAGUCCAUAUUUAAAAAUUCACUGGAUCAGAAGAAUUCCAAGUCGAUCCACUGUCCAAUUUUUUUGCUUUCAUAGUUGGGUUGCUUGUUUGAUCCACACUUUGGUGAUUUCGCAUGUUAUUGUCUUUGUCUUUUGGUUUUGUAAGUGCUGGUUCUCUUCAGACCCUGCAACUGAUAAGAAGCGAAAUAAGUGAUUCUCUAGUGGAAGAGAUUGCUGGAAGGUUUUCAACACUCACUUUCUUGGAUGUGAGUUGCUGCAAUAAAAUGGGCAGCCGAGCUCUUGAGGCCAUUGGAAAGAACUGCAAAUCGCUUGUGGGGCUGUGCCGGAACAUGCACCCACUAACUACUGCAGGCAAGCUCUCGCAGGAUGAGGAGGCUCACGCCAUUGCCACCACAAUGCCCAAGCUCAAGCACCUUGAGAUGGCUUACCAUCUUCUCAGCACAAAAAGUGUUCUUGAGAUCCUCUCGUGCUGUCCCGAGCUUGAGCUUUUGGAUUUGAGAGGGUGUUGGCAUGUGGAACUUAACGUGAAGUUCCUCAAAGAGAAGUUCCCAAAAUUGAGGGUCUUGGGGCCUGUUGUUGUGGACUACUGUCGGUAUUAUGAAAUGAAUGAAUGUGACGAUUACUCGGACUAUGAUGAGAGUUCAGAUGGAACAUGGGAUGAUGAGGGCGGGCUGGAAGAGCUAGAGGUGCGAUUCUAUGAAGGAUUUGGCGAGCAUCCAGAGUAUGGUUGGCCUACAUCUCCUUAACUCUACUGUCUAGUACUUGGUUAUCUGAUGCUUCUAUUUCUCUUUACUUCCAUAUCCUAUGUUUUAAUGGAAAUGCAGUGUGGUGUUUGUUUCUCUGUCAUUAUUAAGCUCAUAGAGCUAAAUCUAAAACAAGCUUAAACUCACCCAGAAUAGAAUAUCAUGCAUAGAAAUUGAGCCUGGAAGCUAACAACCAUAAAACUAACUCUUCAGUUUAAUUCUUUUCAUGGCCAAGCACAAAUUUCUGAUUAUUACCCUGCGGACUAAAAGGGUCCAGAAUUGCCCAUCUUAUUUUGAAUUUGAAGGGAGAGGUUGGCCCUACUAAUAUUUCUAUAGGAUGGAUAACAGGUAAUCACUGCCCAUCGGGUUCCCAAGUGCUCAAUAUUCUUCUUCAAUUCUCAUCAAACGUCACUCAGAAGAGACAUUCACCAUAUUAUAGCAUAUGGGUCUCAACUCUAGAUAGUCUGCCAACUAGCAGAGUCAACAUAGAAGGCAAAUUCAUCCCCAUCUGACUGGGGUUAAAGAAUUCUCUUACGGCAUCUUUCAGAAAAAUGCUAAUUGACACACUAGGAAUAUAUGGAUGAUAAAAUCGAAGUAGUGCAUUCUGAGUCCAAGCAAUGCCUGAAAAAAUAUUGAACAGUUAUGGGUGGCUGGUUGAGACAGAGUACUUGAUGGGUUGGCUUGCCGUGCAGGUUAAUAAAAAUAUAUGCAGAGUCCUCAAUGUGCGCGCAUAAACUCGGGAGGCGCAGGCAGAGAUAGUGAGGGGCGCUUAUUUUGUGUGCGCCUAAUGCUCCUAGGAAUGUCUAUCAAACAUGUUCGUUUGUACAUUUGUUUGUGUUUAUAUUAUAUGUUUGUUGUUUGCUAAUCAUGAACUUAGGAGGAAGGGAUUCCAACUUUAUAUUACCUAGUUCACAGUCACAUGAUCACAUGUGAUUCAUGUCUUUGGAUCUUGUACCCCACCAUUUCAAAAUUUCUUGAUAUCCGCGUUUGACCAAACAGUUGGACAAGCCACUCUCAAAGUAUGUGUUGCACGUGUUGGAGGGAAAUUUUUGAAUCUAUUCUGAAGCAUGACAGUAAUACCAAGACUUCUUUAGAUGGAAAAAUAUACUUGCAAUGACCCAUAAGCUAUGGGCUUCCAAAAGUAUAGCUGAGAUUAGAUAAUGUUAGAAACAGGCUUAAGGUUGAAUUCAAUCAUCCGCCUAUGCUAUGCAUAUCCGAAUCGAGUCACCUUAAAGAUACCAGAAUUUUAUUGAAAUAUUGGCUUUUCCCAAGAUGCAGAUGAAAACCUUGUCUCUUAAUCAUCAUUGCAAUGGAUGGAAUUCAGUUCAUCUUUUUCCUCUCUUUUCCUGAAUCAGGCUCUGGCCAUGGACCCACCACCAACUGCAGCCCCUGUUUGUAUGUACCUUACGGUGGUUGUCGCUUUUUGUAAGGGUUUUUCAUUUUUGAAUGGGAGUAAUUGAGGACGUGUAAUGGCCCUACCCAGACGUGUAUUGAGAAGUUUGAUGAUAUCGAACAGCGGUCCCUCGUCCCUCCUUUCCAUCCCCGGAUACCCGUGCAUUAACAUGAUAAAUCGAAGGAGAGGCAUGCACAGACAGAUGAAGAGUACCCCAUUAACUGUGGGACGACCUUUUUGGAGAGACAUUGAGCGAGCUUUACAUCAUGGAAGCAACCACAUUCACCAAUGGGUUGCUGAUGCCCACAUAUUUCUAUAUGACAGCUAAUAUUACAAACACAUUCUUGGAAUUAAUAUUACAAACUGCAAAAAUAUCCAGGAUAUGAGUACUUAUUUCCCUACCAAAGGGUCGAUUUUGAUCAUUUGGUACUGUGGUCCCCCUCCUCCAUAUUGGAAGAUUCUCCCCCUUUUAGUUCCUACUCUUCAAUUUCAUUCUCCGUCACCAUAAGAAAAUCAUUGGUGUUCAAAUAGUGCUCCAGGUCAACCAAGGCAAAGGAAGUAAAUAAAUGGAGGAAAAACAUAUGGAACUGGAAGUCUCAAAAGAAAGAGCGGAUGAUGAAAGGGCUCCUGAUAUCAAAUUGGAGUCAUCUGUCGUGGCUAUAAUUAUCUGUGCUCCCAGAAGGCUUCAGUUUCAGCCUUUCAGGUCAACAAUCAAGAGGGGCUUGUUGGCAACUGGGAGUUGGUAUUUGAUGCUAAUUAGCAAUUAAUUACAAGCCAUGUGCAUGCAUCUGCAUAGCCUGUGCGAAACAUUUAUGGUACAAGGACAGCAUGGCUUCAUCAAUAUUCUCACAACUGUUUUUGCAUUACCCCUUGGAGGUGUUUUAGAUAAUCUCAAUCUUAUAGGAGGUGAUGAAGGAAAUUGGGAUCGUACCAAGAUUAAUUGUUUUACGUCUCUAUUGUAUGAAGCUGGUUUUUAUCUUGAAUUGGCGUGGUGUAUAAAAAUUAGAAAUUUUUUAACCAUCUUAUGAAAAAGUAGUCAUUAUUAUGUGAAAUGUAUUAUUUCAAUGAAAUUAGUAGUAUUUAAGAAGAUAUAUCCCAACCUCGUUCUUGUUAUUAAGAAAACUAGUGUAAACUUUCAAAAUCUUCAUGAAUAUGUGAUUGACAAGAACCUUCAAAACAAAAGACGUAAUAUUUGUUAAGUGGUUGAAAAAUAAAUUUGUUGAAUUUAUCAAACUAAUGAAAGAUUCAAAUUAAAAUUUGAUGGUUUAAGGAUAGAUGAUAAAAGUAACCCAGAACAAGUUAUUAGAGAAUAUAAUGAAAUCAUAAAAAUAAUAAGUAGGCAAAAGAUGAUGUUGGUUUGUUAAGAACAAUGAGUUUUUAAAUCUAGGAUUGAAGGCGAUCAAAAAACAAUAAUAGAUUGUUAUAAUAAAAAGAUUAAUAUUUCUAAUUUUAUUAUAUUAUUAAUAUAGGACAUUUAAAAGUUAAUUCAAGAUUUAAAUAUUUACAAUUAUUAUUGUAUUUAUAAGGAAAUAAAUAGAACAAGAGAUUUGUAGUAUUUCAAUUAAAGUUUUGAGACAACGGAAUGCUUUAAAUUAUGAUAUGUUCUCUUAAAAUUUUGAUUUAUGAAUUAAUUUUUGCAUAUUGAUUUAGAUCCUAAUAAUAUUUUGAAUAAAAUUAUUGAUCUAUCAAUACAAUUAGUUUGAUUAUUGAAAUACUUUCUAAUUAUUUUAUGUAUAAAUUACUCCACACUUAUAAAAUCAAAUGUACGAUAUAUUUAAGAAAUAUAUAACUUUAAAUUAUCUCUUUCAUAUUUGUUUUGUUGUGUUAUAGAUGUUUUUAUUGCUUUUACAUAACUUAUUAAGGUAAGUCAUCAUUGAUGACUAAUAUUUUUCCGUUAAUUUUAACUAUUUCUCUAUGAUAAUAUUUUUUCAACUGUAUAAAGGAGAUGUAUUAAUGACAUGUUUUAUGACUUGUUAUUUUGAUAAAAUUCUUGUCUUAUUAAUUGCACAACAUUGAUAACAAACAAUGUUAAUAUUAUAUCAGGUGAUAGAAACUUGAUUAAAGGCUCUAGAAAAGUUUAUAUUAUGUUAUUAGUAGUAUUUGAUUAUAUGUGAAUGACACUUUAUACUAUGCUAGAUUCAGAAGAAUCUUAUAAGACCAACCCGGUCCCCCAGAGUAAACAAUGAUACAUUAAUUCAUUGUAAAGUCAUAUGAACAUACAUUAUAAAAAACUAGAAGUUUUUAUUUAGUGAUUAAUCUACUUAUAUACUUGAAAGAUAGAAUAACAUGUUGUGCAGAUUAUCAUUUUAAUGAGACAAAUUUCUAAUCUUUAAGGAGAGAAGAGCCAGUUCUAGAUAUGGUGUGAAAUUAUUUGGAAUGUAUUGACUUUGACUUAUCUUGAUCCUCAUACUAAUAAAUUUAAACUGGAAGUUCAAAAGAUUAUUUAUUUGCAAGAACUUGUAAAUCAACUACCAAAUGCUUUAAUUGAUGCAAAUAAAGUGACAAAAUCAUUUUUACUGACUUAGAAUAUUCUAGUAUGAAUUGGUGUCCCUAGAAGACAAUUAAAUAAUGUGUUGAUGUCCGUGAAAGACAAUUAAAUAAUGAGUUGAUGUCCCUGAAAAACAAUUAAAUAAUAAGUCUAAGGCGCGCUUGAAGCAUGGUAGACCCUAAAGAGAUAAACAUAUUCCCUAGAAAAGGAAAACACAAGGAAAUAUACAUGAAAGGUGACACUCUUGAAGAGUUGCAUAUAAAAUGGGUUAUUAAAAUGACUGAUCAGUCUCAAGUAGUCCUUGAAGAGACAUAGUUUAAAUAAGUAGCCCUAGGAGAGACAUAUGUUUUACAAUUAGCUCCUAAAAAGGUACAAGUACCUAAUAAUGAUGAAAUCUCAAUUAUCUACUUGUAUAUGGAGAAAAAUGGGAUUGAAAUACUUUUUGUCAUUAACAAUAUAUUUUCUUUCCAAGUGACUAUUGGUAUUAUAAGAAAUGAUGAGGAUCCCAAAUUAGAAACUAUGGAUGAAUGACAACAUAGAAAAUAUUGGUCAAAAUGGAAAGAAUAUAUCAUAACAAAAUUAAACACAUUAGAAAAAUGUGAAGUAUUUGGACCUGUAGUCCAAACACUUGAAAUAGUCAAACUUGUUAGAUAUAAAGGAAUAUUUAUAAGAAAAUAUAAUAAGAAAAAUGAAAUAAUGAGAUAUAAAGCGUGACUCAUAGUUCAAGGUUUCUUGUAAAGACCUAAUAUUGACUAUGAGGAAACAUAUUCUCCUAUAAUGGAGACAACUAUAUUUAGAUAUCUAAUUUGUUUAGCAGUCUCAAAAGGACUGAAUUUGCGUCUCAUGGAUGUUGUUACUGCAUAUUUACAUGGACAUUUAGAUAAUGACAUAUAUAUGAAAAUCCCUGGAAGAUUUCAAAUGCUUGAAAAAACUAAUUCAAAACAUUAUAGCAUAUAAUCAAUUAAGCUACAAAGAUCAUUGUAUCGAUUAAGUAAUCCAAAGACAAGUGGUACAAUCACUUCAAUGAAUAUUUGAAACAGAAAGUAUAUAUGUAAUACCUCAUUUGCCUAUGCAUAUUCAUUAUGUUGAAUAUUUAUAAUUGUUAUAGUAUAUGUGGAAUAUUUGAAUUUUGUUGGAACUCUUAAAGAGCUUACAAGAAUAGUUGACUAUUUGAAAAGUAAAUUUGAAAUGAAAGAUUUUGGAAAACAAUAUUUUUGUCUUAGUCUACAGAUUGAGUACUUUUCAAAUAAAAUGUUAGUUUAUUAGUCAACAUAUACAAAGAAAGUCUUGAAUCACUUUCAUAUGGAUAAAUCACAUCCAUUAAUUUCUUUGAUGAUAGUUCAUUCACUUGAAGUGAAAAAAACCUCUUUUGUCCUAAAGAAGAUAAUGAAAAACUACUUGGUCCAAAAGUACCAUAUCUCAGUAUUAUUGGUGCAUUGAUAUAUCUUGCAAAUUAUAUAUGACUAGAUAUUGUAUUCCUUGUUAACUUGCGAGAUAUAAUUUUACAUCAACUCAGAGACAUUGAAAUAGUUUCAAACAUAUACCACAAUGACAUGGGUUUAUUUUAUUUGAAAGGAUCAGAAUCUCAAUUGUUUGUAUAUGUAAAUGUUUACUAUCUUUCAAAUCCCCAUAAAACUCAAUCUCAAAUGAAGUAUGCAUUUAUCUAUGGUGGUACGAUAAUAUCGUAGAGAUCAAUCAAGCAAAUAAUGGAAACAUGUGGACUACCCUCCAUAAGAGGUAAUGCUACCAAGUUAAUAAUGUUGCAUACAUUGCACAAAUUAAAGAAUGAUAUAUUAAGGGUGAUAGAAUCAAGCAUAUAUCGCGGCCCAAGUCUUUUACUUUAAUUAAAUCUAAUAGAGUGAUGAAAUUGUUAUUCAACAAGUAAGAUCAAGUAACAAUUUAGUAAAUCUAUUCACAAAGGCGUUGUCAACUGCAAUCAAGGAGGAAAAAUUUGAAUAACAAUUUGUGAAUAGAUUUACUAAAUCUAUUCACAAAUCUAUUCGCGUGUCGACGAGGAGCGAAACGACAUUUGGAGGAGAUAAGUCGGCGGGGCGAUUUUUCGCUAAAAAUCACCAAAAAAUCGGCGAUAUAUCGCCGAUAUAUCAAAGAUAUAUUCAAGGGUGGUGCAAUUAAAGAAACGAUGGGACGCUUAAUCAGCAAAUUCUUCAUUUAUGAGAGUGUCGCAUCCGCAAAAGCAAAGUCUCAUCACUUCAAGAAUAUGAUUAUUGGUGCACAAUAAGCAAGUAAUUACUAAUUUAUCAAAUGUUAUAUUGUGUUAUACUUUUAGUAAGUACAGUAUUUUGUGACAUGUUUUACAUAUGAAGUGCAGGAAUGGGAAUCGAACCUCCAUUUCCAUAUGAAAUAAAGAACAAAUACUUGGAAAUGGAGUACAAAGAAAUGUAAGCUUAUGUGAACUAACAAAGGGAAAAAUGGAAGACAUAUGGGUGCACAAUAAUGUUAGAUGGAUGGACAGGGCCCAUUAUUAAUUUCAUGGUUUAUUCUAAAGGGACCACAAUGUUCCUUAAGUCAGUCGAUGCAUCGAACUAUAUCAAAGACCACAAGUAUAUAUAUGAGCUUUUGAAGACUAUUAUCAAAGAAGUCGGUAAGGAAAAUGUGGUCCAAAUUAUCACAGAUAAUGGGUCGGCAUUCAUGAAAGCAGGGAAACAAUUGAUGAAGAAGUAUAACUUAUAUUGGACUCCGUGUGCGGCGCACUGCAUCAACUUAAUAUUUGAAGACAUCGGUAAAAGACCUAGUGUUAUCGAGGUGAUAAACAAUGCUCGCAAGAUAACUAACUUCAUUUACAAUCAUGGUUGGUUACUAGCACAAAUGAGAAAGUAUUGUGGUGGAGACAUUGUUCGAUCAAGAGCUACAAGGUUUGCUACCAAUUAUAUUGCUCUUGACAGUCUUCUCAAAAAAAUGGUUGAUUUGAAAAAAUUGUUUAUGAGUGAUGAAUGGGCACAACACAAACUUAUUCGAACAAAACUUGGACGAGAAUUGGAGCAAUUAUUGUUUGACCAUAUGUAUUGGGACAGAUUGACAAAUAUAGUUUCAUUAUAUGAGACAUUAUACGUGGUGCUUCGACUUGUGGAUUCUGAAGUUGUUCUCACAAUGUCAUUUGUGUACGAGCUUAUGCACGUGAUGAAAGAGAACCUUAUUCGUCAAGGAGCUGGAGAUUGGAUGUUCAAAAUAAUACAAGAUCGUUGGGAGAAAACACUAAAACAUUCACUUCAUGCAGCAGGUACUUAAGUACUAUAUAUAUUUAUAAGUUUUUAUUUUGUAUUUAAGUUUCUUUAAAAAAAAAAUAUUAACUCUACUAAAUUUUAUUGUAGCAUACUUCUUGAAUCCAAGAUUUCAAUAUAGGCAUGGAGUUGGUAGUGAUCCGGAACUACUUCAAGCUGUCCAUGAUGUUUUUGCAAAAUUAGAUCCAACUACUGAAUCGCUUGGUCAAUUUGGAAAUGAGGUGAAUAAAAAAUUGUUAUUUUUGUCAAUAAAACAAUAAUUUCAUUCAUCAAUUUAUUUGAACGUUUACUAACAAAUUAAAUGUUGAAUACAUAGCUUGUACUUUUUCGAGAUGCAAAAAGAGGAUUCAGUGAUUGAGCGGCAAUUGCAUCAAGGUCAACCAUGGUGCCCGGUGAGUCUUUAUAGGAAAAAAUUGAUUAUUAUUAUUAUAAAUUCACCACAUAAGUAUUUAUAUGAUUAUCAAAUUCGUUGCAGCUGAAUGGUGGUUUAUGUAUGGGAAUCAAACACCUACAUUGAGAAAGUUAGCCAUCAAAGUUCUCUCACAAACUGCGUCAUCUUCUGCAUGUGAGAGAAAUUGGAGCACGUUUGCUCUCAUCCACACAAAGCAACGAAAUCGUUUGACUUACCCUCAAUUGGAGCAAUUAGUUUUUUGUUAGUAUAAUAUGAGGCUAAAGUUACACGAUAUAGAGGCAGAAAAUGAUCGAGUUGCUGAAAAAGAUUACCUUGAUCUUCUUGACAUUUCAGCUGAGGUGGCUGAAAAAGAAGAUAAUCAGUUGUUCCAGUGGGUUAGGCCUAUACACUUGGAUGACGAAGUUGGAAAUCCUUAUCCACGAAUUGCCGUUCAUGCUCGAGAAUUUGGAGUUAAUGUUGAACGUGUGUUGUCCGAAGAAGUUCACUCUGAAAGUUUUAGCAAAGAUACUGAUAAUUCACUUCAUGCGACAUUGCAUUCCCACCAAGAGAUUGACUCCACAAGUGCUGGCCAUAGUAGUAGACCUAGUGCUGUAGGGACUUCUGCUUCUGGUUACGAUGGUUCAAGAGGUGGAACUGAUGAUGGAGGUGAUAAUGUGGGAUGAGAUAUUGAUGAACGUCGACAUAGUCAAUAUCCAAUCAGUCAAUUUACUUGUGAAAAUGAUUUCACACACUGCACAUAGGAUGAAGACCAUGGCUCUAGAAGAGCUGGUCCAGACAUUGGAGCUAUUAGGAAGCCUUAUAGAGGAAGAGAACGAAUGAAGGAACCAUAUAACGAGGAGUUACUUUCAGGAAGUUUUGAAUCUAUGAGUAUAGGGACUCAAUUUAGUGACUCCUCGAAUGAGGCUAACGUCUACCCUCCUCAUGUGAUGAGUUAUGGUCAACCUUCAAGUUCAACAGAUGAAGAGUAUGGUAUGUCACGUUAUUCCCCUUCUAGACAAAUACCAUACCAAAUUCCAUAUCAGAUGGAAUAAGGAUUUAGCGUUAAUACUUGGGUGAACUUUGAGUAUCCUAUUCAUGUAGAGGUAGUAGGCAGGACUCAAGAGAUAUAUGCAUGACAUGUUAGAAUUUAUAACCAAUAUUAUCGAGGCUUAUUGAGUUGGUACCAAUAUUGUCUCCAACAGCAAGUCGGGGUUCCUUCAUCUAUCAAUCCCAUUGAACCGCAUCGAUCCUCAUUUUGGUACUAAAAGGACAUUGCAAUGUAAUGUGUACAAAUUAUUGUUAUUUAAUGAAAUGAAGUAUUUUAUGUGACUUUAUAAUGAGAACAAUUACGAAAUUAACAUUUCUUAUAGAUCGACAUGAUAUAAUUACAUCUAAUAUCGCAAAUUAUAUCAUAUGUAUAUCAAAUUUUUCAAUAAAACAACUUUAAAAUGUCUAUUAUACUUCUAAUUAUAUUAUUAUGAGGUUUUUCUUGCAUUUCCAUGAGUUUUUAACAAUUUUAAGCCUACCGAUAUUUUUUUCCAGAAUAUCUGCCGAUAUAUCUCCGAUAUAUCCGUAAAAUCGAAGUACCGAUAUAUCCGUGAUUACCGAUAUUUUCAUCCUUGACUACAAUACUCAAUAAGCUCAUUAGAAUACGUUGGCUCAAAUAUCUCCAUGUUGUGCUACUAGAGAAAAUAUAAUCAUGUCAACAUGAGAAGGAACUAAUUGAUAAGAAUAUCACUACGCUGUACAAUUUUUUCUUUCAUCUAGGUUUUACUGAUAAGGUUUUUAACGAGGUAGUUGUAGCAAUCCAAAAGAAUAUUGUACUAUUUUUCCUUCAUUAGAGUUCUUUUUAGUAAGGUUUUAAUGAUGCAUAUUCUUAUGAUUAUCCAAGGGAAAGCGUUAUAAAAUAUGAGAUUUUAUUGGAUUAUAGAAACUUGUGGAUGAUCAUUUAUAUUGAUAUAUAUCUUUUUGUAACUCUUUUUAAAAGGGAGAUACCUUUAAUGAAAAUUCAUUCCAUUGGCUUCCUACAUUUUAUUAUACUUUUAUUUGAAUAUUUUUGUUUGUUCUUUUGUAUUUUUUUCUUCUUAUUCUUUUAUUUUAUAAUGAGAUAUUAUUUUUCUAAUUUUUAGCUUCUUUUGGCCUACCCGUAAUAUUUUUAUUUUGUGUUGGAUUUUGGGUUGACUUUUGGUUCCCAAAUCAAAUUUUUUUUGGUUGGGUUGAAAUUUUCCAAUCCAAUCUUAUAAUUGUCCGGAUUGAAGCAAGAUUGAAUAGAACUCAAACUUGGGCUGGGUGAAGGACCCACUAUACUUGCAAUUGGAUCAGCUAAGCCAAGUCCAAUCCAAUGGCGGUAACCAAAGCCUGAAUUGCGUCCAACGGCAUCUAAGACACCAGCAAGUGCCAUACCAACUCUUACAGAUUCCAGCUCGGAUAAAAUCAUGAAAAAGAGCAAGCAGACCUCUACAACACCUUUAUCUAUGAUUCUAUGUAGAGGUAGCAUCAUCCAAAAUAGGAAUACCAGGAGACAUUAGGCAUUACUUUCUAUCUCCAGGUUCAAGAUGCUUCAUUCUAAUGAAGCCCAUAAGAAUGCUUAAUCUGCUCUCUGAAGACUAGAAUGCAUGCUGAUGGUUUUAUGGACCUUUUGGACCGGGCUCCCUCUUGUUUCUAAGCGAGAGUUUGGGCCUCAGCAGUUGAGCCCGCAGCCCCGCCUCUCUUGCUUAGGUCUGAAAAUCAAAUGCUAAUGACAAAUAUGCAAUGAUAAUUUUUUUUCCAGGAAAAGCUCCAUUUUGUAUUUUUAUUAUUAUUAUUAUUUAAAAGUUUCUUCCAUUUAAUAAAUAAUUAUAUAUGUUUAAUUUUUAUAGUUGUUGAUUUUAAAAAAUGGAAAAAAUUAACACUUUGAUUUUUUUACAUUCAAUUAUUUUUUAUUACCAACGCAAAAGCAAAUAGAAAAUUUAAGAAAAUUGGGGACGACAGUUGAUUUUAAAGUACAAUUCUAAUAUAAUUAAUUUAGAAAAAUUUUGACGUGACAUUAUUUAAAAUCAUAAAUUUAAAAAUUCUCACUUAGGUGGAUUUUUUUGGGUACUUAUAAAAAAAGCAUCACUGCUUGAAUAGUACAUGUAUAUAAUUUUGGUCUUAUUAUUUAUAUCGAUCUCAUUAAUUUGUACUUUUAUAUAUUGAUUCCAUUUAAUCGUGUAUUUAUUUAAUGACCUAAAUUUCAUUAUAAUACCACUUCUUAACCUUAAUAUUUUCCAAAAAUAUAGCUUAAGAAUUUGUAAACAUAGGCACAUGUAACCUUAUCAGUUAUAAGAAGGGCACUGGAGGCUUCCUCUUUCAAGAAAAUAGUGAGCUGCGGUUCAUUCAACUUUGAUGGGAAGAUACUGUGAGCCUGAGACAUGAAUAUCACGAACUUAGAAGUUUCAUUCAAACCCAAUCACGUACGGGUGCUGACCGUAGGACGUAAGGCAGGUUUGACAUGCUGGGUCCAAGUGUGUGAGCCAAAGCAUUGAGCAUAAAACAAGAGAAUAUGCCGAAGCGUGAAGGAACACGUGUCGUGAAAGAAAAAUGAAAACAAAUGAGGUUCGGUUGGUGGGAGAGGGGAAGAGAUGUGCAUGAAGCGGAAGAGGGUAGGUGGGGGUGACCCGGUCUCCUCCUCUCUGCUGAGUGCUGCUGAGUGCUGAGUUGAUCGUCAAGGGGUAAUGGGCCUAUUCGUAAUUUCGCUCACUCUCGUCGCCCCCGCUUUUGGUCGUCUUUCAAAUGACUUUCUUUCCCCACAAACUGGCUUGGCUCCUUGCUUGGCUCCACUCCAUUCUACAGGUGAUCUAGCUAACUUUUUGGGGCUUCUCAGAAAUGGGAACGGGCAUUCGCCACAUCCCCCCAUCCAUCAUCCAUCUUGUCUACACGCAGUUUUCUCUCAUCAACAAACCUGAAAUCUGGUGGUGGGCUUGAAAAUUUGGUAUAUAUCCGGGAGAGUGGGUUCCGGUCAUUACUUCCAUCUACAAAUUAAAGCACAAACAACCCUUUCUUCAAUACAAUCAUAAUCGGUUGAAUGGACUCCAUUCCUGGCAACCCUAUGGAGGAAUAUCAGAUUAUCAUUGCCGAACGUAUAUAACCUACCCAAUAAGUAUUUAGUAUUCUGCUUAUAAACAGUAAACAAUUUAAGACUUCCUGUUUUCUUUAGAUAUACCAACCCCUGAAGUUGGAAGAGUUUUUUUAACUCACCUAGGAUGUGAUAUUUCGUUAGUCUGGUUUCUAGAUAAUAAAGACAAGAGAGGAGGGCAAUUUAUGUUUCUUUCAUUCUUUGUUUGUACCGGAAUCCAAUAUUCAUGAAUAUUGGUACUACAUGGAUCACUACCUAAUUUACACUAAUACCCAGUAUAGAAAUAAAAUUUAAUAAUUUUUUUUUUCAAUCUAAUCAAAUAUUAGAAUGGAAACCUCAUUUCUAUUAAAUUUUAAACAUUUAUAUAUAUAUAUAUAUAUAAGUGAAAUGAUUUUUAAAAGGUUUUAACUUUUAAGUAACUAUAAAAAAAUUGUUAGAGGUUCCAAAUAUUAAGUUUAAGGUUUUUAAGCACUUUAUAGUGCAAAGUCUAAAAACUAGUUGAGUCAGUUGAGUAUGAUGGAUCGAGAGGUAUUUACACAUCCUCUUUCUUUUCGUAAUAAAAAUAUUGUCGGUUGAGGCAGAACCUCAACUAAUUAAGAAUUGGUCGAGUCCCUAUCAAGGUUUGAUUGAAGUUAUAACCCCCAACAAUAACUUAUCAAAGUAUUAAAUGUUCAAUAACUACCGGACCAAUCAACCCUCAAAUUUGCUUUAUCAAUUUGGGUUUUCAAACCCUACUGUUUUAAACUUCUUUAUUUUAGAGUAUAAGAGUUAUAAAUUUUUUAUGAACAUCAUUUAGCUCUUCGGGAAGGGGGGGUGUUUUGAGUGCACUUUGUUUUCAAAUACAUAUUCAUUAGUGUACCUCAAUCCUAGUUUAUUUUAUAUUAUUUAAAUAAAAAAAUUUACAUUAGGAUUUUAUGAGAAUAUUUCUUAUAAUUUUUUUGUAAAUCUUUAAAAGGGAAAAAUUUAACUGUAAGGAUUAUCAAGUGUGAAGUAUUGUUGGAAAGAUUGUUAAGAGUAGAGUAUUUCUUGAGGAUUGUAAAGAGUGUUUAGUUCAAUUGUAAUGGUUUGAGCUUUAGAAGCUUUGACUUAAAGAAAGUCUUAGUUAAUUAGGAGUUUGAGAAGAGUGGAUAUAGAUCGGGUUGUAUUAAAUCACUAUAAAAACUAGUGUUUGCAUCCCCCAUUUCUUGCUUUUUAUUUUAUUUUUCAUUGUAUUUAUUAUAUAAUUGCAUAUAUUUUUUAUUUGUAUUUAUAUAAUUUAAAUUUAUAAAAAUUGAUCAUCACCUUAUUCACCCUCCCCAUUAGGUUGAGUCUCUUAGGUCGAUAUAACUAAAAUCUUAAUAAUGUUUUAGAGUUUUCAGUAGAAUAUAAUAAGUAUAAAGGACACGAAAGACACAUAAUUAGUUUAAAAUUUAUGAAAUAUAUAUGGAUAAAAACACUCUUGACUUGACUCUCCAAAGAAAGAAAAAUUAAAAUAAAUUUACUUGAAAAUAUAAAAUAACUUACAACAUAUUUAUAAGAGAUAAAACAAAAAAAAGGGAUACAAAUCUUGAAUAUUCAAAUUUUUAUAAAAAUGAAGAAAUGUUGCCCAUGUUUUCUUUUUCUAUAACUCAAGAAAAGUUGAAAGAAAACUUUAAAAAAAAAAAAAAAUCUUGAAAAAUCAAUUCCCAUGGAUCUCCAAUGGUUAUAUAAUAACUAACCCAUUACAGGAUAAGAUAAAAAUGGUGUUUUUGAAGGUUAUAAUUCAUUAAAAUGAAUUUAAAAUUUUUUAGAAUUUUGUUUUCUUAUGUGUUUUUUUUUAUGCAUGUUUUUGCUAUAAAAGUCUAUCCCCUUUUCAAGUGGGAAUGGAUUAAGAAUGUUUUGAAUAUUAUUACAUAGUUGUUAAAUAUUCUUAGCAUCAAUUAUAUUCCAACUUUUAGAUUUUGGACUUAAUUAUACAUCAUUUAUCAUUUAGGUUCAUUAUAUGCUAUUGAAAGCCUUAAAGGAUCAUCAUCCCCAUUAUCAUACGAUAAGAUGGCAAAUAUAUAUAUAUAUAAAAACCAUUCCAUCCAUCUUAUAUUUUAUCUAAAGGGUUUUGUCAACCAUAAUCCUUCAAGUCAAACAAAAAGGCAUUACACAUUUCUUUUAUUAUUAAGGCAAUACAAUAUAGCCCCAUUAGGAAUUUUUUUAAUUUUUAUUUUUGCCCUUUUAUUCUUUAUUUAAAUAAUUUAAAUUGAAAAUGAUAAUUCACAUGUUUAUAAAUUUCCACUAGUAUUAUGAGUUGGUUACCUUUCCCAAGGUUUUGCAAUUUUUUGCACAAAUGAUAAUUGUGAUUUAUUGCAACAAUACCCUAUUAUUUUCGGAGCAAACAUUUAUGAUUUUGUUUCUAAAAAAUAUUUUUGUUACUUUCUUAUUUAAAGAAUCAUAUGAGAAAGAGUCGAGGAGAGUGCUAGCGUAAAUUCUUGGUACAACACCCAAAAAAAAAAAGAGAAAAAUUUAAAUAUUCUACUCAUUUGAGAAAGAAAAUAUCUACUCAAUAUUACUCCUAAAAUGCUAGGUGGGUGACAAAAACACUUCAUCAAUUUACCAAUCAUAAUUAGGCACAACCACUAAUCACCAUACUUGGAGGGAUGCUAGGGGACACAUUACCACAUUCCUUGAUAGCCCCAAUACCCUACAAGACCUAUUUUUUUUUUUUUUCCUUUUUACGUACCUAUAUCUAUCUCACACUCUGGAUAGUGAUAUGUAAACUAGGAAGAAACUACAAGUUCCACUAUUGGAUUUUAUUGUAUCAACUUGAGAAACCACUUAUAGAGCUUACCAAGAUCAUAAUUAAUUAGAAGCUUAUCAAAAUAUUAUAUAUUCGAUACUAGGCAUUGUGACCUAAUUCUUGCUCUUAUGACUCAACACAAUCCAAUAACAAACUCAUCACCUCACCUCAAAAAUGUUCAAUUAUUCACUCUUUCAUGAGGAGAGAGUUGACCAUAUCCCUAUCACAACAAUCAAUACAAGUUUUAUAGGCCUAUAUAAAAUAAAGAAACCCAUAUUUAUAAAAGGAAAAUUCCUAUACAAUAUUUUCUAUCUAAAAUAAGUUUCAUAAAAAUAGCAAAAAAGUUAAACAUUCGAGACACUUUCCAAUAAAUAUCACCCGACUCACCCCAGUUAAAAUCUUUCUACACUUGAAUUUCAUAGCGACCACGGAAAAAAAGAAGACAUUAUUUAAAAUUAGAAUUUAGAAAAGGAGGAGUGUUGAUAAAUGGUAUUUUAUAUUGGAAUACAAGGGGUUGUAGUUGAAUACGAAUGUAUUUAGUAUUUACAAUAAGGAAAUGGAGACUGGAGAGAAUGGAAAGGGGGGAGUAGGUUGGGCUCGGCUGAGUGGAGUGGCUGAGAGCUGAUGGCUGAUGGCUAAUUGGCUAUAGUCAUAAUCAAAUUUAGUAGGUAAAAAAGCCGCAAAGCAGGGCAGAGGAAAUGAAUCAGCUUGACAAUGGACCCUACCAAAAAUUAGGUAGCUGAAAUACCAAAACUGCCCCUUUCCCCAACUACCACCACCAGCCACCGCCUGUCCCUGCCCCGCCAUCACUCUACCCUUAGUCUCCUCUUUCUAACCUUAUAAAUUCUCUCCCCAUUUCUCUCCCUUCCUUUCAUUGCUCACUGUCGUCUCUCGCCCUCUUUCUCUGCCAGUCUUCCUUUUCAAAUCCAAAAGCAAUAAAAAGGAGAGAUAGAAAAAGAAAAAGAGAAUGGCUCUCGCGGGCACUUCCAUUAUUCCCACCAAUUCCAACUCCUUCCUUCAAACCCAAGCUCUUCCAUCUUCGACCUCCAAAUCCCACCAACCCUAUCUUCUCACCAACCCCACCAAAUCCGCAUCUUUCCGACCCAUCUCUGCCGUUCAUUCCGCUGAUCCCUCCAAGAAUCCCGUCGUCUCCGAUAAGUCCCCGAAGGCCCCCGCCGCCGCUGCCUCCUCUGCAGCCACCACUGCCUCUACCACUAAAGUCUCUGGUGCUGUUCCUGGCAAAUGGAGCAUAGAAAGCUGGAAAUCCAAGAAGGCUUUGCAGCUCCCAGAAUAUCCGGAUCCGGAGGAUCUGGAGUCGGUUCUUCGUACCCUGGAAGCGUUCCCUCCCAUUGUGUUCGCCGGAGAAGCCAGGAGCUUGGAGGAACGCCUUGCGGAAGCCGCCAUGGGAAAUGCUUUUCUCUUGCAGGGUGGUGAUUGUGCCGAGAGUUUUAAGGAGUUCAAUGCCAACAACAUUCGUGACACCUUCAGAAUUCUUCUUCAAAUGGGCGCUGUUUUGAUGUUCGGAGGGCAAGUUCCCGUAAUCAAGGUCAGAUCUCUGUUGUUGUUUGUUGUUGUUGUUGGUUUUUUUUUUUUUUUUUUGGGAUGAUUUGGGAUUGUGCGUGUGAAGUUGGUUUUGAAUUGGGGUUGAUGGUUGUUUAGGUCGGAAGAAUGGCGGGUCAGUUUGCGAAGCCGAGGUCAGAAUCGUUCGAGGAGAAGAAUGGCGUGAAGCUGCCGAGUUACAGAGGUGAUAAUGUGAAUGGAGAUGCGUUCGAUGUCAAAUCGAGGACUCCGGACCCUCAGAGGAUGAUCAGAGCUUAUUGCCAAGCUGCAGCUACCCUCAAUCUCUUGAGGGCUUUCGCCACCGGAGGGUAUGCUUCUAUGCAGAGGGUGACCCAGUGGAAUUUGGAUUUCACAGAGCACAGUGAGCAGGGAGAUAGGUAUAUUUCAUUAAACCUCUUUUAGAUUUAGGUUGUUCUUCUUCUAAGUCAAUUUCAGAUUGGGAAGUGGAAACACCCUUUUGAUUUUGUUUUUUGGAAAUUCUUUUGAAAAUAAUUAAAAAGAAUCCUCUAAUAGGCAUUGAUGAUCGGUUGUUUUGGCGUAUUUUGCGAUAAUUGACCUUCCAAUUGUAGUUUGCCAAUUAGUGUAUGGAACAGAUGAUGAUGUUGAACUCCAUAAGCCAGUUCCAUCAAUAUCAUUAUUGUAUCUACUCUUCCAAAUAGUCCAAAAUAGAUCUCUUUUACAUAUAUAAAACCCCUUCCCCCC
rnacentral:lncRNA from 1 species